CUCGUUUGAUAAUUGGAAGCUUGAAGAUGGAGUUGUGCCGGAAAAAAUGAACAUGGAAGAGAAGUUUGGCCUCAGUUUACGGAUGGCUCACCCUCUGAUAGCUGUGCCCAUCAAGUAUUAGGAGAACCAAACCUAGCUAGCUAUGGUUUCUACGAUAAAUGGAUUUAUGUUUUUAUUAGGGAGUUACAAUAAUUAAUCCUACUAAUGAUAGGAAAUGGUCAGUUGUCAGUUGUCAGUAAUGUUGUUAUUAGGCCAUAACUCCAUAUUUAAGUUUAUGAUAGUAGCUUGCUGUAAUUGUAGAUUGUUCUCCACAGACUUCAUAUAUAUAUGUGUGUGUGUGUGUGUGUAUUGUAUAAUAAUCAUAUGAAUGACUAUGGAAAAAUAAGUUUCUACAUGGUAUCAGAGCUAAUGGCUAAUGCCGAUUAGCGAUCCUCUAAUUACCAAAUUGAGAGUCGUUGGCACUCCUCACUCCUCACUCCUCACCCUUAAGGGUUUUUGUUUAUGUAUAGUGCUUUUUCAUCUCCUCUUCUCAAAGACGAAUAUGUUUUUCCUUUCCACCUUAGCUGUAGCCACACCUUUCUUUUACCACUGCAACCUUUUCUUCUAUUAGCCCGUUAUUUUUGUGUCUCCGUCGCGCCGUCUUUAUUGCAGACCAUCCCCUCCAUUGAGCUCUCCCGGGGCAACCCACAGCAGCUCCAUUUAUCUCCCUUGGCCAUGAUGGCCAGAUUUCUGUUUCCUUCGCGAGCCUCGUCACCACUCACCGAGUCUUCUCCUCGCCGGCCUUUAUCUCUCUCAUGCCAUGCUAUCUUGCUGUUGUUAUUCUCUUGCACAGCCGUUGCCUAUCCCUCUUAUGGCUCGCCGGCCCCUUGUUAUCCAUCAAUGUUGGGCCACUUCUCUCUGCUGAAACUGAGCAGCAAAUUUUCCUUACCUUCUUGAGCUUCUUGUUCUCAUAAGCUCCAUCUUUUUGUCUGUUUUCCCUCAAAGACCAUACCUCUGUAUCAUUGGUUUCUCUCAUUUUCUUGAAAUCUCCCUCCACUUUCUUUAUUUUGAGCUUCUUUCUCUGUUUAUCUGAGAGACUCUCCCUCCCUAUCAAGGAGUUCUCUUUUCUCUCUCUUCCAUUUUCAACAUUUUUGGUUUUUUUUUUUUUUUUUUUUGUAAUCUUCUUGUUUUACUCUUCACACCACUGAUAUCCCUUUGCUUAGCUCUCUUUCUUGAGCUCUAUAUUUCUAUGCUUCCCACGUGCUGGGUUUUGCUCUCAUUUUCUUAUAUUUAUUUUAUUUAAAAAAAACAUAAUUUGUUUAUGAACUUGUCUCAAGAGCCUGUCUUGCUCACGCUCCUUUUUUUUUGUCUAUCUCACCGUGAAACUCUUACAUGGUUUUUUUUUUCCCUCUUUUUUGUCUAUGCCCAAUGGCAAGUGUUUGUUUGUUUGUUUUUUUUUUUUUUUUUUUGUGGUUUUUUUCUUCCCCAUCCCUUUACUUUUAAAAAUUGGGUUUCUCUCUCUUUGUGCACUACUUUCUGGCCUUUAUUUUCCCACUUACCGCAUGCUCUCUAUCCUACCUAAAGGGUGAUUCCUAGGUAGAGUUAUGUUUCUCAGGUGCCUAGAGUUGUUUCCUAUGUACAUUUGACUUGUAUGUCAGCCCGUCAUGUUUUUUCUUUCCUUCCAUGAGCCCAUGCACUAUACAUUUGACUUGUAUGUCAGCCCGUCAUUUUAUUCUUUCCUUCCAUGAGCCCAUGAGCUCCUUCACUUGUUGCCUUUCAAUGGGCAUUAUUUUUAUUUUUCUGUUACUUUGUUUCUCUCAAGCCAUUGUUGCACCUAUGGAGUUCUUCUUUUUGGUUUCCCUUACUGGACUACUACAUUCGAUUGCUGCCACCAUCUCCAUCACCAUGUAGUUUCUUCACUCAAAUCUUGCUAUGUUGUGUGCGAAGAUGGUUCUCUACAGACUUGUAUAUAUAUAUAAUGUAUAAUGAUCAUAUGAAUUACUAAGGAAAAAUCAGUUUAUAUAGUUUUCAUCUUUUAUAAAUUAAGAUUAUGUUGUGUAUGCAUCCACCUUGUAACUCAAGUGGUUUUGAACUAGGGAUGGCAAUGGGUCGAAUCAGGGGUGGGCAUGGCAUUUCCAUCCCCAUCCCAUUAAGCUUUUUUCCCCAUUCCCGCCUUCAUAACUGUAAUAUUCAUAUCGGGGAUUCCCUAUCCCCACCUUCAAUGGAGAAUGGAUUCUGAUAGGAUCCGCUCCGGAAUUUCCAGGAAACCGAAGCGGACCCCGUCUUUGUUCCGACAUCUACCCGAUGCCGGGCCCACUUACGAAGAAACCGAGACUUUCUACCAAAAAUUUGGCAGAGUCUCCCCUGUAAUUUAAGCAAACCCAACAAAAAUUUUCAACAUGCAACAUACAUAAAUUAAAAAUCCUAACCAGCAACAUGCUUUCAUAAUUCAACAAGUCAUACUAAAUGGCCUCCGGCCUCACAAGUAUAAUCUACCAUGGGUGAUAACAGAGCAUCUACUGAAUUUAGAUUACAAGAACAGUUGAGUAGAAGAAAUUACUCAAAUCCUAACUAGGAAGGUUCACAGUUCGAGGCUCGUACACCAUUUGCACGCUUCCGGGAGCGACUAUUGGCUGAGGGGCGCGAAACAGAAAACAUGUGAGUAGACAAAAACCAUAUUUGCAGUUUAAAAUAAUAUAGUAACCCCAUCGUGUAAAAAUAAUGCUCAAAUCAUGCAGGUUCACAAUUCAAUAUUUAAUUACUCAAAACAUGAUUCAUUUAAAACUCUUCAAAAUACAAAUCAUCUCCUUCAUAAACCCCAUUCUCUCAAACUUACAACUCCUGCCAAACCACUGAAAAAAUUUAAUUCUACACUCACUCAACUAUACAUAUAUAUAUAUAUAUAUAAAUAUAAAUAUACAUAUAUAUAUAUAUAACUAUAAAUAGUUAUACGAUAUACUCAUCACACUACCUAGGUACCGGAAAAACGAUCCAACUGGGGGGAUCGUUUGAUUAGUCCACAGGAUUUCCAGGUGCUAUCCUGCGUCUAGGGAUGAGCGGUCCAACAGGGGGACGAAACUCCAAAGCUCCCACACCGGAACAUCCAACGCCAUGUGUAGCCCCCAAACUAUGUCCUACGCGCGCAGACUGGAUCAUCACACACCAGAACAUCCAACGCCAUGGGUGAUGACCCUAAACACUAUACAGGUCUUUCCAUACGCCGGAACAUUCAACGCCGCAUAUAGAAAGUGUCUCACACGCUGGAACAUCCAACGCCGCGAGUGAGACGCAUAACCUAUUCUUCCCACACGCCGGAACAUCCAACUCCGCGUGUGAAAAGUCUAAUAACUGAGGAAGGUACUUACAUAGUGUAAUCAUACAACUUCUCACAACAACCCCUCAUAAUCAAGUUCUAUCACAACGCACUACAACAACCCAAGUAUCUCGCCUAUAGAGAAUAUAUAUAUACUUCCCCAAAAUCCUUAUAAAACACACUCUCGAUACCCAAAAUGCCAAACUUACAAUAUAUUGCCAAGCGCUAUACAAACAUUAUAUUCAACUCAAGAAUAUAAUAUAUUCAAUAAGCCAUUAAAAUAUUAUGCAAAAAUAUUUCGUCAAUAAAACCAUGCAUAUGAUUGAAAACAAAGUCCACUCACAAAUAUUCCCACACUGCCUGACCACGUGAGCGUCAUGCCUGCUAAGUACGUGCAGUCGAAACACCUAUUUCGAGAUACGAACCGUUAAUUAAUAUAAAAUUACGUCGAAGCGGAAAUCACAAAUUAAAUGCUUAAAUCCCCAAAUUCCCAAUACGUGCACGUUGAAGAAGGUGUCCUAAGGUCCGAUUACAGGUUUGGAAUCGUUCACGAUUUUACGGUUAUCGCUAACCCGCAAACUUUGCGUUAUUGAAUCGGAACAUCCGGGACUCCGAUUCAUAAUCCGUGAAGUCCCAUACGGUCCUAGGAAUACCUAGAACAACAUAUUUUAAUUCGGAAAAGAUCUAAGGGUCGGAACCUAUCGAACCCGGAUAACGCACAAUAUGCGAAAAUCCGUUCGAUAGUCAAACGACGUCCGAAUUGAGAUCCGCGAAUUUCUAUGUGCUCGUGACAACCUAAGGAUCUCAUUGGGUUAAAUUGCAUCUUCACAGCCUCGCCCACGCGCUGCCACAUGCGCCAGCAGUGCGUGGGUGUGUAGAGUAAUUUCGGUGACAGAGAAACUCCACACCCGAGCUCACCCUUCCUAUCCUAGCUUCUACUCAAGGUCAGGAUCACUUCAUUCAACUAUGGGAAGGUCCAAUUCGGGCGGCAAUUGGCCGGAAUUUCACUUUGAAAUCCAGCCAAAACCUAGGUUUCUAAUCGAUUUUCUAGACAACAAUUCGGUCCAAACCUAUACAACAAUCAGCUAGAACUCGGAAAAUGGAUGAGAAACCAUACCUCACUCAUCGGGUUUGGGCGGCGGAGGCAGCGGCGCGACGACGGGAAAGCUCCAGUUCAAACCAGUCGAGCUCGUGGCCGGAGUUCGUGGUUUCCGACGGGAAAAACCGGCUAGCCUUGAUCGGGACGUCGAGGCGAAUCGAUCGGGACCGGUGGCGUGCCUGGCCGUGGCCGGUGCAGAGAGAACCGAAGAGAGAGAGUGUCGGUGUCGGGGAGAGAGAGAGACUGAGGAGAGAGAAAGCUGAGCGCGGGCGAGGAGAGAGAGAGAGCUUAGGUGAAAAAAAUCUGAUUUUUACUCUAACCUUUUCGAAAUAAUUAUAGUUUUGCCACUGAUAGAGUUUUGCUCGUAACUUUUUCGUUACAACUCCGAUUCAAGCCUACCGCGUGUCUACGAAUUCGUCUCAGUACCACCUACCCGAAAAUACCAUUCAUGGUCCCAAAAUCCUUCUGGAUAAGAAAAUGACCAAUUUACCCCUACCCCAAGGGUAAAUUCGUCAUUUAUUUUAAAUCAAUUAAAAUAGACAUUAAUUUUGGAGUCGGGGUGUUACAGAUUCCUUGACCUGCCCCAUUACGUAUGAAAGAAAAAAUUAAUAUAAAACUACUUUAUUUGAAAGAAAGAAAAAAAAAAAGGACUAGGGCAAGAUAAUGAAUAUAUAUAAUAUAUUAUCUAUGUACAAGACAAUAUAAGAAUGUUUAUAUGUUGACUGGAAGUUAACUAAAUAUAUAAGUAGUGUAGCUUAAAAUUUGUAUAAAUUUUAUAAAUAUAUAAUAUAAUAAUAAAAAAUAUAAAAAUAAAUCGACACAAUCACUUUAAUAGCAUAUUUAUAUAUACUAUAGUGUGUGUAUAUAUAUAUAUGUAUAUUCUAAAAAGGAGGGGGAGGAGGGGUGGGGUGGUUCGGGUUGGGGAUUAAAAUAUCAUCCCUACCCUUCCCCUAACACUAUACCCAAAAAAUUUAUUGUACCCGUCCCCAUACCUGUUUUUUAUCCUUCUUACUCGACCAUUAGGGUUGAAUCUGUGUGAAGACCCUUACCCGUGGUUAAAAUUGCCAUCCAUAUUUUGAAUAGUUAUCUUCCUUGCACUAUGUAGGGGCUUUUUUGUUCCGGCAGCUACAGAUGGGCCUGAGCUGCUGUAAAAAGCAAAAUAGGUGGAACUGCCCGUGUGUUUGAGUUCAAUAAUCAGACCCCAAGAGUGCUUCGAAAGGUUCUUGGAGCCUUAGGAAACACCUUGGCUUCCUUCACCAACAAAACCAACAGUUGCUUAUAGAUAAGUAUUUAGGCUUGGCUUGAGAAGUUUGUGGCAUGGGAGCUGAGCAUUCAUGAGUUUAGCAUGAGAGAGAGAGAGCUUGGGUUUCUUAUGAGAAACAGAGGCUUGAAGUAAGGGGAAUAGGGAGUUUUUGGGUGGAUUUGUUGAGGGAAGAGAGGGAAAGAUGAAGAUGGAAGAAUGAGUGGUUUUAGCAAAUUUUCAGCAGCUUGACGAAAGUUUUGUCAGGCUCUUGAGUGUUUUGCCAGAAGAGAAAAGGGGAAGCAAUGGAAGAACAUGGCUCGAAAUUGUAGGGUUCCAGUGGUGAGAGGUGUUGCUUGCUCUCUCUAGAUGCGGUUAUGGGAGAGAGAGGAAGAACAUGGAAGAAUGGGUGGUUUAGCAAAUUUCCAGUAGCUUGACGAAAGCUUCGUCAAGCUCUUGAGUGCUUUGCCAGAAGAGAAAAUGGGAAGGAAUGGAAGAACAGGGCUCGAAAUUGAAGGGUUCCAGUGGUGAGCGGUGCUGCUUGCUCUCUCUGGAUGUGGUUGAGAUGAUGGGUAGGAGAUACCCAUUUUUAUAGGUGCUGGAAACUUUUUUUUCCCAAGAAACCCUAACUGAUUCUUCCCAAAUCAGCCAAGUCUCCCCCUAUAUUCCUCUUCUCUUCCUUUGAUUCAUCAUUAUUUUAUGAAAUCCCCCUAAUCCGAACACACAGAGACAAGAUUUUUUGGAGCUCUAGAGUCUUCCCGCAGCUGCUGCAGUGGUGAUCUCCUAUCUUUGGCUACCACCUCUCCUUCUUUCCUCCCUUAUUUCAUGGCAAGAGCUGGUAGGAGAAAGAAAUAGGUAACGGCGUUGGUAUGAAGGCUGCUUUUCUCCUAGCAACCUGCGCACGCAAAUAUCCUUUGGUUUUCUCCAAUAGUCUGUCUUGGGUUUGCCUUUGGAGACUCCCAGUAGCUUGCUCAUACAAGUAUCCUUGGUUUUCGGUUAUGGUUUUGUCUCUAGCCAUGUGCUAGAGACUUUCAGAUAUUUUCUAAGUCACUUGGGCCAUUCCCAAAGGUGAUGGGCUAGUUUACUAAGGGCCAACUUUCUAAAGUGAUGGACUAAUUUAAUAAGAUGAUGGGCCAAUUUUCUAAGGUGAUGGGCUAUCUUUCCUCUCUUUCAUACUUACCCACAUAUUUGGGCUCAAGAAAUGGGCUCGAGUUUUGGGGUUCCCAAGCAGCCCAAAACUUCCACUUUUUGGCUCAUCAAUGGGCUAUGUGAAUGCUCGUAACCAUCCAUACCACAACCCACUCAGCAAGCCCUGGUCAUUUGUGUGGCUUGGGCCCACUUAAGCUUGUAGCGUGGCUAGGUGCAAAAUAAAGGUUUUUCGCUUGGCAUUGCAUGUCGAUUGGCAUGCUCGUGCUCGAAUUUUAUUAUUUUUUAAAUGGCUAUGGUCGAGUCAAAACGACGCUUGACGGGAUAACAUUUAGCAUGGGUUCAUAGAGCCAGUACAUUUUACGGGCUUGCUACGACCUUUUUACUUGGCGUGUUGCGUAUUUGCUUGGCGUGGCACGUGGAUUGCAACUCGCGUGAGAGUGGAUGAUGAACUUUCGCGUGCCCAAAUGGGGGUUUCUUCUCAGUAAGGUGUCGCACUGGGACGGAAAUAUAUUUGGGCCUACUCUUAGAUUUUUGUGGGCCUCAACACACUCAAGAUUCUGUGUUUGAAUCUCACCCACCCAAUAUCGAUCGCUUUUAUUAAAAUUAAAAAAAAAUAGAGACUAUGUCGUGUAUAUAUCUCAAUCAUUCAUUAAAUUUGAAUCUUAAUAACAAUUGGUUGCUGUAAGAACGUCCAGCAAAAUUAACUAUGAAGAUAGUUUUUUCUCUGAGGAAGGUUUAUUGGGGUGAAUAGAGUAAUUGGACUGCCUUGGCUUUAUGGGGCUCCUACCAUUGUUGACAAUAGGGCUACUAAUUAUAUUGGCCGUGUUUGUUGGUGGUCCUUUGAUUUCUACCUGGCAGCUGUCGAUUUUUUUUUUCCUGUUGUUUCAUCCUUGGUUAUAUUAGCCGCGGGCCUCGGCAGCUUCUUUCUUUUCUUUGCAAUUCCGUCUUAAUUUUUGUCGUGCAUGAUAAAAUUGACCUUAAAUUGCUUGGCGCUUUGGAUAAAAAAAACAGUUUAUUCAAUGCACAUUCUCAACUCGUCUUUUUCCUUUGUCCAUAAGUAAGGUUGCCGGUCUAGUUCUUUCGAUUGAUGGAGCUUAUGGUAAGAAUUUAGAUGACUUCAUUUUCGUCAAGUCACAUCAGUUGCCUUUCCCAAUCUGUCUUAAUGAGAUUGGACAAAUAACUUUAAUGGACCAGUGCGCGCAACCCAUAUGAUUUUAUCUUGGUAUGACAAGAAUAUUUAUAUGAUUUUUGGCACCGACCAUGUAUAGAAGAACAAAUUUGAUAAAAGCUUCCUUACCAAAAAUGGCUGUUAGAGAUUGCUUGUAAUAGGUGUUUUGAAUUAUUUAGUGUCGUCAAAUUAAGUCACAUAAUGCACAUGUGAGGUUGCCGGCCUAGUUCUUUUCCUUUGUCCUUUAAAAUUUUUCGUCAAAUCAAGUCACAUAAUGCACAUGUGAUUUUUAAGGGUAUUUAUGUCAAUCACUAUAUAUCUAUCUAUAUAUAUAAACCAAAAGGCAGAGAAUGGUGAAACAUUCAAAAUACCAAAAAAUGCCCUUGGUUAAUGCAAACAUUAAGAAUUGAAAUUAUUAAUUAAAUGAGGAUAAUAUGGUAAAUUCACAAUUUUUCGUAUUAAAAAAAUUAAAAUUAAAAGAAAAUUCAGAUAAUGGGUCCUAUUUUUAUGGAACACAAAUAUCCAUUAUCUUUUUUAAUUCUAAAAUAAAUUAAAAUUUUUUAAAAAAAAACCUCUCGCAUGCGCGGAAGCGCGUGCAGAGAGGCUAGUAUAUAGAAAAUUUAAAAACUAACAGAAUUUAAUUUUAAAUGAAAAAAAUAAGUAGGAAAACUAACCAAAUAAUUUCACAAACUUCCCGACCUCCUUCCAACACCAAUUCGCCCUCACCAAAAUAAAGUGAACAUUUUCUCUCUGAAAUUGAGUUAUUCUUGGUCGAUGGUUGAGGCCAAUCUUCAUCUUUCUUCUUCGUUUUGUUUUUUCUCAAAAUUUUGGUGUUAGUUCACUAGGCUUGGAUCUCAUACGUCCUGCCUCUUAAAAUUUCUUCACAACACAUCACAGGAAGAUGAAUUUAGAAACUGUAGAUCAUUGCGUCUUAAAAUUUGUUCACUACUCUACACAUCCCCUUCAAUAUGAUGGUAGAUUGACCUUGCGAAGGCCAUAUCUAAAGGAAAAGCAAACAGAGCCAUGACACUGGAAUACAGAUUUUUGUUUUGUAAAUUUUUUAUAAGUUAUUCGGUGUUGAUUUUCCAAUUUAAAAAAUGUGUUUGGAAAUCUUGUUGGCUCAAUCACUUUUCUUUCUUUGUUUCUACUCUUUUAUAAAUUUUUUUUGGGAGCUAUUAGUAAUAUACUCAGAAUAGGACCUGAAAUUAUAAAAAAAACUCUAUAUAAAAUACACUUUAGAAACACACCUAAAAAUCAUUUACUAUAUAAAAAAUGAGUGUUGGAGUUCCUAUAAAUUACAUCUCUGUCAUUGAUUAACUUAAAACAAGCCCAAUACAAAAAACUAAAAAAAACCCAAAAUAAGCCCAGCAAGUCCAACUCAUAUUUGACCACCAAAAAAAAAAAAAGAAAAGCCCAAGAAACCCGAAGUACAUUAUUAAUACCAUAUCAUAGAAGUACAUUAUUAAUACCAUGUCAUAAAGAUACAUUGUUAAUAUCAUGUCAUAGAAGUACAAUGUUAAUAUCAUUUUAUAGAAAAAUAUUGUUAAUACCAUUUCAUGCAAAAAACUCAAGCAAGACAUCCGAUAUCCUUUGCAAAAACCACCUCCAAUUAUCCAUAGUUUCACCAGAAACAAUCGCAAAGGCAAAAGGAAAUAGCUCUACAAGGAAAAAAAAGAAAAGAAAGUACACUGUUAAUACUAUGUCAUAGACCUAUCUUCCAAGUAAAAAUCACAUUAUGCAUAUCAUAAACUUCAAGUGCACAGCUAUAUAUAGAGCAAAAUAUAUAGCAUGCUUUGUUACUGAAAAUAUGUUAACACUAUGUCAUAGAAGUACAAUGUUAAUACUAUGUCAUAUAAAUCAACUCAGUUGUAGGGUAUGAACAGUAUAACAACUGUUCAUACCACUUACUGGAAGCUAACAAUAUCAUUUCAUUCCUGCCACCAUCAGAAUCAGCAUAUUUGUGAGGAGAGAAAGAGUCGCCGGACAAGACUUCAGAGUAGGAUCCAAUAGCAUAUGAAGCUUGUUUCAGAUACAUCAUCAUUUUGGCGUGGGGUUCAGGAUAAGAAGCAAGUUUCUCAUCCCCUGCAUAGGAGGGGUUCAACAAGUUUUGGUUGCUUAAAUUUUGGAAAUAUGUAGCCAUAGCUUGGUUGGUUGGUUCCUCUGUCUCCAAAGCCAAAGCCUUGAGUUAACCUGCUACAAAAUCCAAAUUACCAAUCUUGCUCAUAAACAAAUUAACAUUGUAGAUCAAUCACAGAUUCCUAACAUAGAAAAUAAGAAACUCAUAAAAAAGAAAGCCUAACCAAAAUUACCAAAAGCAAAACCAGUAAAAUGAAAAGGAAUCACAGAGUGAUCAAAAGAACAGAAGCCAAAUUUAACCCAAAUAUAAAAAUCGUCUUCUUCUUUUUUUUCGGAUCAUCAGAAGUAUGUAGUGAACAUGUUAACACAAGAAAUUAUAUCAAGCACUCAAAUUCCAUUCCAUUCCAUCACAAAGAAGAAUAGUAACAUAAUUAAUUAAAAUGAAAUCAACAGAGGAGCUUUUGAAGUGUACCUGAAAGUUGUGGUUUGGGAAUGAAUUGUGAAGUAAAAACAAAUGGAUAAAAGAGAAGAGAAACUGAGGCAAAGUCCUCCACCUCCUCGUCCUCCCUCCCGAAUUGGAGACAAACUCCAGAGUCAUCGAAAACAGCGUCGGAAAACUCGAAAUCUACAAACGUUUCCGAGCUGGCAGCGGCGUCGUGAGUGGCUGAGGUGGCUGUGAUUCAGCCCAGACAUGAUCACCGGCCCUGGCCGGUCCUUUUCUGAUCAGUCUCACGGUUGGCCGUGCUUGGACCACCAAGAUCGACGGCCAACCUGGUUUCUGCAAAGGGAGAGAGACAAAAGAGAGAGCCCCAGAAUUUUGAAAAAAAACUAAUUUAAUACUAAAAGGGUAAUAAAAGUAUUUCAUUUAACUAAUUAAACUAAAAAAUUUAACAGCUGUGAGUUUUUUUGGGUGUGUAUAUAUACAUUGAAUGGUGUAGGGUUUCUUUAUAAAAUUAUGUCUAGGAAUGGGUAUUUAACUUUUAUUUAUUUAUUUUGGGGGGCGCCGGGGGGGAGAGAGGGGGGGGGGGGGGGGGGGGGGUUUGGGCCCCCGGGGGGGCUUGUUUAAAACUAUGUGUUAAAAGGGGAGGAAAAAUCUUUGGAAAAUACGGGGGGGUUUAUUUUUUUUUUGGUAUUUAUUGGGGGUUGGCGGGGAAUGACCUUUUUUGGAGCAUGGGACUUGGUUUUNNNNNNNNNNNNNNNNNNNNNNNNNNNNNNNNNNNNNNNNNNNNNNNNNNNNNNNNNNNNNNNNNNNNNNNNNNNNNNNNNNNNNNNNNNNNNNNNNNNNCUAUCCUGGAUUGGAAUCGACGACCUUAUUUGAAGCAUGUGACUUGAUUUAACGGAAAUUUUUAAAGGAGUAGGACGUAGGUGGUAAAUAUUUCAACACUUUAAAUAGUUUAAGUGGUUACUAGAAAAAAUUAAAAAUUCAUGUGAUAAUCCCGCACGUACCUAAAAGUUUGGAUAAUAUUUAUGUAAAUUCCCCUUUAGGGUAAAUAGAGAUAGCUUGUAAAAGCUUCCACUCGUAACAAAUAAGUCCGGACCCAAAUUGUUCUCAAAUGUCUUUACCUAAGUUUGUCUCUUAGCUUAGGGGAUAUAUAUAAACGACUUAAAAGAGUUAGUAUUGAAAAGAUAUUUUUAUGCUUUCUCGAUAAGUCUCAACAAUCGUGCCAAAAAUUAAUUAAGAGUUAGGCGAGAGAUGGAUUUCUUGUGUUGCAUGCAAAUGUGUCUUAUGGUAGCCUGGAUUUCUUGUGGGGGAGCUGGGAGGAGAAGGGGAUGGAGAGAAAGAGAGGGAGGUUUUUUUUUUUUUUUAAUAAGGAUUUUUUAAAUGUUAUUUUAUUAUAUUAUAUAAUUAAUUAAUUAUUUUUUUAAAAGAAACAGUGGGUCCUAUAGUGGACAUGUCAUCAGUUAAACCAAACGGUCAACUAAACAGAAUGUCUAAAUUGGUCAAAUUUGAAAAUCAUCGAAUAUAAAUUAAUGAAAUUGAAACUCGAGAGUCUAUAUUGAGAAUGACCCUAAAUUUUCAGGAAGUCUUUUGACAUUAAUCCUAAGGCCACCUCCACCGCAGCCCAUUUUGCCAGGGCAAGAGGCCCAUAUUCUGGGGUUUGGACCUCCAGCGCACGCGAAGCAGCCCGGGCAAGCCUUGGGUCCCACCAACCCGGGCAAGCCCAAAGGCAGAUUUUGCCUCGGCUUCAGCCCGAAGGCCCUGACGUCAGCGAGCAAAAAAAAUUGAAAAUAAAUAAAAAAUAAUUCAAUUUAAAAAAAAAAAAACCAAAAAAUUAUGGAUGUUUUCCCUAUAAAUACGUAACAAUUUUGUUCACUUUCCACACCAAAUCCUCAUACAAACUCUUUUCCUUCCAAUAUUUGUAAAUUGUAAUCAUUUUUUUUUCUUGCAUUUGUAAAUUGUUUAUAUUUUCUUCCAUAUUAAUUUUUUUCUUGCAUAAUCAUUUUAUUUCUUGCAUUUCUAAAUUGUUUAUAUUUUGUUGCAUAUUCUUUUUUUUUCUUGCCCUUGCCCUACCCUUUUAGGUUGGAACCAAAAAAAAGGAAGGUUGCUACUAUUCACGUAAAUAGUAACAGCCCUUGCCUUGCCUUUGCCUUAGCCUUAGCCUUAGCCUUAGCCUUUUGGGGUGGACAUGCUCUAAUAUAUAUUUGUAAUUACAUGACAGUGUUUCAUGUUGCAUUCUCUGCGGGUCCUUUUCAAAAAAAUCAGCCAUGUGCACAAGAGUGAAUUUAGCCGAAGACAUGUCAUGUCUUCUGUUCAUAGAAAAACAACAAAGAAACUUUCUUUCCACAAAUGCAUGAAUGUACUGUCUCCUUGCGUCACGCAUCUCAAUUUUCAAGGUUGAUUGGUAAUAAGAAUAACUAAGAGCAUUCAUAGUGGUGGAGUGUAUUUUUGGUGGUGUAAAGCUACUUUUACAUCCCCUUUACACCUUCAGGGGGUGUAAAUACAUUUUUUUGCUCUAAUGAGAAACGAUGUAAAUCUAAGAUGUAUAAUUUUUCCUCUCUUUUCUCGAGUGGGUCUCGUCUGCAAAAGAUGUAAAAAUAUAUGCAAAUGUGCAUUUUAUUUUACAUUUCCAUAAUGAUAAUGUAUGUUACAAUCUUUUACAUCUCUCUAUUAAAGAUGAUUCCGAUAAACAAGGGAUGUAUAUUUAACAUAUAACUCCUUAUACACCCUCCCAUUAUAAAUGCUCUAACAAAACAUGAGCUCCUACUGGGAAAAAAAAAAUUCAAUGGGACCAAUAAUCAGUUAUUUUGAAUUGUAGCUACCCAUUCUUUGACUCACAUGCAUAUAUAUAUAUAUAUAUAUACUUUUCUUGGUGGGAAAAGUCCCUUGAGGAAAUUGUAUAGGAAAUUGUACUUUUUUGUCUUGUUGCAUUUUUCUUUUCUUGUUCAAGUAGUUUUGGACCAUCCUCUUUCAAAGCAGACAUGUGCAGUGCAGUUGCAAAAGACCAUUAGCCCUCGUGCAUGUUUAUGGGAAAAAACAAAACCACUGGCCCACUUGGCUAUAAAUUAUUGUAUGUAUGUCAUUUACCUUCUUCUUAUUUUAUUUUAUUACUGCAUGUCAUUUACUAUUUUACAUGUGAUGUGCAUCUGUGACUCUGUGAGAAUGAUAGCUUCCAAACGCUAGACACUAUGAGUGAUAAAUUAUUUUGAUUAUAGAAUUUAAAGUUAAAUGAUUUUAAUUCUUUGGAAUUUUUUAGACCAAAACUCGAUUUAUUCGAAUUAUAAUAGUUUAAUUUAACAACUUUUGUGCAAUUAGAAUUAGAGAGAAAAUGGAUUUCUUGAGUUUUUGUAUGGUCUUGCUAAGCCUUUUCUCUGUGUUGUUGUUCUCAAUUAUUCAAGUUCUGCAAAGCAAAGUCAAUUCCAAAAGGCAUCUUCUCCCACCUGAACCAAAGCCAUUGCCCUUUAUUGGCAAUCUUCUAGAGUUUGGCAACAAACCCCAUCUCUCUCUCACGAAGCUUUCUCAAAUUUAUGGCCCCAUUAUAACUCUGUAACUCGGCCAAUAUUCAUAUUGGGGAUUCUCCAUUCCCACCUUCAAUAGGGAAUGGGCAUUACGUACGGAAGAAAAAUUAAUAUAAAACUACUUUAAAAAAAAAAAAAAAAGACUAGAGCAAGAUAAUGCGUACAUAUAAUAUAUUAUCUACAUACAAGACAAUAUAAGAAUGUUUACAUAUUGACUGGGAAGUUAACUAAAUAUAUAAGUAGUGUAGCUUAAGAUUUGUAUAAAUUUUAUAAAUAUAUAAUAUAAAACUUAAUCGGCACAAUCACUUUAAUAGCAUAUUUAUAUAGCCCUGAUCUUUUGGACCAGAGGGGUUCCAGUGGCUUCUUUCUUUUCUCUACACUUGUCUUAAUUUUUGUCGUGCUUGAUAAAAUUGACCUUAAAUUGCUUUGUGCUUUCGACCAAAAAAAAAAAAAUGUUUAUUCGAUGCACGUUACGUUCUCAACACGUCUUUUUCCCUUGUCCAUAAGAAAUGGGCAAGUUGCAGGCCUCUAGUUCUUUCGAUUGAUGGAGCCUAAUUUCAGGAUCAUUUCUGGAUCCACCGGUGCCUCCUAAACUGUACACCAAAACCAUUCUUUAUUAUAAAAUAGUUGACCUUGUUAUAAAACCAAAGAAUUGAGGAGAGAAUUUAGAAGCAGGGAAACAGUAGGAUUGGUUCCUCUCUUCAGUAUUAUACCAUCCGUCCAUUACAAGGAGGGGUGAACCCUUUUGUAGGCAAAGCCCCUUCUAACAUGUGGUGGGCUCCACCUUAUCACCUUAUCACCUAAUCACCUUAUCAUUUACAACAGACCUUUGCUCAGACGCCCAUACUAACAUGGCAGAAGUAAAACAAUUGAACUUGAACACUAGAGAGGUGCUUGUUUGAAUAUGAAUAGCCACCUGGCGGCUGUGGAGCUCUUUUACAAUUUUCGUCUUAUCUCCCUUCUAAUCUAUAUAUAUAAAGCAAAAGGCAGAGAAUGGUGAAACAUUCAAAAUACCAAAAACUGCCCUUGGUUAAUGCAAACAUUAAGAAUUCAAAUUAUUAAUUAAAUGAGGAUAAUAUGGUAAAUUCACACUUUUUCAUAUUUAAAAAAAUUAAAAGAAAAAGAAAAAGCAGAUAAUGGAUCCUAUUUUUAUGGAACACAACUACCCAUUAUCUUUUUUAAUUCUAAAAUAAAUUUACUUAUUUUUAAAAAAAAAACCUCUCGCAAGCGCGGAAGCGCGUGCAGAGAGGCUAGUUAAACAUUAAAUUACUUGAUGCUUUCGACCGAAAAAGGAAAAAAGAAAUUACUUUAUGCAAUUUUCCUUGUCUUUUUCCUUUGUCAAUAAUUUACGGGCAUGAACUAAUAUAACAUUAGGACUUUAUAUUUUGUUAACUUUCAAAUUUUGUUUAAUCUUUUCCAAAAUUUGAUUUUUUUGAUGGACAUAUAACAUAAACAUACAUUAAAACUAAAUAAGUUAACAACAACAAAAAUGAACGCGUAAAAUAAAUUACGUCAUAAAAAUAAAAAAAAAACUUAUAGAGCCUCCCAUUGUGAGAAAGAUACCUUUAGAGCCAGUAAUAUUUCAUUAGGGCUCUAAAUGGAGUUCUAUCCACCAUAUUUAGAGCCUCAACCAUUGAGGAUGGCCUUAUAGAACCCUGGUUAUACAGCCUCUCAUUGUGUGAAAGAUACCUUUAGAGCUCGUAAUAUUUCAUCGGAGCUCUACAUAAAGCUCUAUCCACCAUAUUUAGAGCCUCAACUAGGAUGGCCUUAGAUAACCUGAUAAGAUAAACAUCGCCAUCCACCAUACGAAGUGGUGGCCUUAGAUGAGGUUUGUAAAUUAUAUCACCAUCUUUUUCAAUCCACAACGAGAAGAAAGAGUUGAAGGCGUAGAAACAAACAAAGCGGUCCAAAUAACAAAAUGCAUCACACUCAAAUAGGGACAGUGGGACUUUUUUGGUAGGUGCUUUCGGGAAAAAUGGUUAAAAAGAGGUCAAGUGGGGAUGGGGAUGGGGAUGGGGCUCUAUAUUUUAUGUAUUUUUAAUUUUGUGUGUCUCCUUGAGCCCCUCAUGACAGUAGCAGAAAAAUUCUCCACCACUUCGUAUUUUAGCUGCAUGUAGGCUUCCCAAGAGAUAGAAGAGAAGUUCACUUGGGGGCCCUGCAGGCCCUUAUACCCAAGCAAGUUCAAGGCUUCCUCCCUUUUAAUUUAUUAUAUAUUUUUUUUAAAAAGAAAAGAGAUAUAUAUUAUUACUCUCUAUUUUGCCACAUGGUAGGAAAGUCCCCACCUAAGUUUUUCUCUUUCGUGUUUAUCUCCUAGCAUGUAGGAUAUAUAUAUAUAUAUAUCAGUAGUGAAAAAAAUGCUCAUGUCCUCUAAACAAUUGUGCCAAAAAUUAACGGCUGGAAGAAGAAAGAGAGAGAUGGAUUUCUUGAGUUGUGUACUAUUAUGUCUUAUGGUUGCCUGGAUCGUAAUCCAAGCCCUCCAAUAUUCAUUUGCAAGAAGAAUUCCCACAAACCUUCCACCUGGACCAAAGCCAUUUCCUUUGAUUGGAAAUCUCCUAGAGCUUGGAAACAAACCCCACAUCUCUCUAACCAAGCUUUCAAAACGCUAUGGCCCCAUUAUGACUUUACAACUCGGCCAGAUAACAACAGUUAUAGUUUCUUCAUCCGCCGUAGCCAAACAAGUCCUCCGCACCCACGACCAAUUCUUCUGCAACCGAACUAUCCCAGAUGCAGUCCAAGCCUGCAAGCAUGCCAAGUAUGGCAUGCCCUGGCUGACGGUUUCCUCCACGUGGAGAAACCUCCGCAAAAUAUGCAACUCCCAUCUUUUCGCGGCCAAAGUUCUCGACGCCAAUCAGGCCAACCGUCACCUAAAAGUGCAGGAGCUCAUAGCUGACGUUAAGGAAAGCGUUGUGAAAGGUAAGGCGGUUGAAGUUGGAAGGGCUGCUUUCAAAACUACGCUCAAUUUGAUGUCACGGACUGUGUUCUCUGUGGAUUUAGCGGACCCGAACAGUGAGAGGGCUAGAGAGUUCAAGGAGUUGGUGUGGAGUAUUAUGGAGGAGGCUGGGAAGCCAAACUUGGCUGACUAUUUUCGUGUGCUUAAGAAGAUUGAUCCCAUGGGGAUACGGCGCCGUUUGGGCAAGCACUUCCAGAAGAUGAUUGAUCUUUUUGACCGCAUGAUCGUCCAAAGGUUAGAAUCAAGGAAGUCACGUGAUUAUGUCACCGGGAAUGAUAUGUUGGAUACUCUUAUAAACAUGAGCGAAGAGAAAAAUGAGGAUAUGGACAUGGCUGAAACUCAACAUUUGUUUCUGGUUAGUUGCUACUCUAGCUCUAUUAAUUAAUUGAUAAUUAAAUUGCUUAGAUAUUAUAAUGAUAACUUAUUAACGUAACUUAUUGCUAGAUUGUGUACCAUCUUAAUUGAUCAUUUUAAAAUUAUGACUAUGGUCACUUUUAUUUUUGUUGAGAUGGUAUAAGUACGUUAAUCCUACACUGAUCAAGGUUUUGUGUUCGAUCCCCUUAUAUUGCUUUUAUUAAACAAACUAUUAUAAUUUUUUUUCUCAUUAUAUGUCUAUGUGCGCAUAUUAAUUUGACUAAUUAACUUUUUGGUGAAUUAGGAUUUAUUUGGUGCGGGCACAGAAACAACUUCAGCCACAUUAGAAUGGGCAAUGGCUGAGCUAUUACGCAACCCUGAAAAGCUAUCAAAAGCUCAAGAGGAGUUGAAACAGGUCGUUGGCAAAGGAAAACCAGUGGAGGAAUCAGACAUCACUCGGCUCCCUUACUUACAAGCCAUAAUCAAAGAGACCUUCCGACUGCACCCAGUUGUCCCACUUCUUCUCCCUCGCAGAGCCCAAGCAGACAUAGAAAUCUGCGGUUACAUUGUACCAAAGGGUGCACAAGUGCUGGUCAACGCAUGGGCCAUCGGCAGAGACCCCAGCAUUUGGGACAACCCUACCUCAUUUAUCCCUGAAAGGUUUUUGGGAUUGGAUAUCGACGUUACUGGCCAGAACUUUGAGCUUAUUCCGUUUGGUGGUGGGAGGAGAAUAUGUCCUGGGUUGCCUUUGGCGAUGAGAAUGUUGAAUUUGAUGUUGGGUUCGCUUAUUAACUCGUUUGAUAAUUGGAAGCUUGAAGAUGGAGUUGUGCCAGAAAAAAUGACCAUGGAUGAGAAGUUCGGCCUCACUUUACAAAUGGCUCAUCCUGUGAUAGCUGUGCCCAUCAAGUAUUAGGAGAACCAAACCUAGCUAGCUAUGGUUUCUAUAAUAAAUAGAUUUAUGUUUUUAUUAGGGAGUUAUAAUAAUUAAUCCUGCUAAUGAUAGGAAAUGGUCAGUUGUCAGUUAUGUUGUUAUUAGGCCAUAACUCCAUAUUUAUGUGUAUGAUAAUGGCUUGUUCUAAUUGUAGAUUGUUCUCUACAUAUUUAUAUAUUUUAUAAUGAUCAUAUGAAUGACUAAGGAGAAAAUAGUUUCUAUAUGGAAUAUGGUAUCAGAGCUAAUGGCUAACGCCGAUUAGCGAUUCUCCAGUUGCCAACAUUGAGAGUUGUUGGCGCUCCUCACUCCUCACCCCUCACCCGUAAGGGUGUUUGUUUAUGUUUAGUGCUUUUUCCUCCCCUCUUCUCAAAGAUGAAUAUGUUUUUUUCUUUCCAUGUUAGAGAUUUUUUUUGUAUUGUUUCAUCCUCGGUUAUAUUAACUGCGGGCAUCGGCGGCUUCUUUCUUUUUGUUGUGCCUGAUAAAAUUGACCUUAGAUGGCUUCAUUUUCUUCAAAUCACCCCAGUUGCCUUUCCCAAUCUGUCUUGAUGAGAUUGGACAAAUAACUUUAAUGGACCAAUAUGCGCAACCCAUGUAGAAAGCCAUAUCUAUUAUAGGGUGGACUCCUAUCCUGGUGUAUGAUUUUUGUUUUGUAAAAUCACCCCAGUUGCCCUUCAAAAUGAUGGUAGAUUGACCUUGCGAAGGCUAUAUCUAAAGGAAAAGCAAACAGAGCCAUGCCACUAGAACACAGAUUUUUGUUUUGUAAAUUUUUUAUUAAGUUAUUCGGUGUUGAUUUUUCAAUUUAAAAAAUGUAUUUGGAAAUCUUGUUGGCUCAAUCACUUUUCUUUCUUUGUUUCUAAUCUUCUAGAUUUGGGAGGGCCUACUUCGGCAACGGGUGAGAAAUGGUGUUAGAAGGGGAUGGAAAAGUCGUUGAAAAAUUAGGUUGGUUUUAUUUAUAUAUUUUUUAUUUAUAGUGAAAUGAUGGAAAUGGAAGCAUGUGAUUUGAUUUAACGGAAAUUUUUAAAGGAGUUUGAUGUAGGUGGUAAAUAUUCCAACACCUUAAAUAAUUCAAGUGGUUACUAGAAAAAAUUAAAAAUUCAUGUAGUAAUCCCACACGCACCUAGAAGUUCGGAUGAUAUUUAUGUAAAUUCCCCAUUAAGGUAAAUAGAGAGCUUGUAAAAGCUUCCACUUCUAACAAAUAAGUCCGGACCCAAAUUGUUCUCGAAUGUCUUUGCCUAAGUUUGUCUCUUAGCUUAGAGGAUAUAUAUAAACAACUUAAAAGAGUUAGUCUUGAAAAGAUAUUUUCAUGCUUUCUCGAUAAGUCUCAACAAUCGUGCCAAAAAUUAAUUAAGAGUUAGGCGAGAGAUGGAUUUCUUGUGUUUGCAUGCAAAUGUGUCUUAUGGUUGCCUGGAUUUCUUGUGGGGAGCUGGGAGGAGAAAGGGAUGGAGAGAAAGAGAGGGGGUUUAUUUAUUUAUUUAUUAUAAAUAUUUUUUUAAUGUUAUUUUAUUUUUAUUAUAUAAUUAAUUUAUUAUUUUUUUAAAAAAACGGCGGGUCCUAUAGUGGACUCGUCAUCAAUUACACUAAACGGUCAACUUAACAGAAGGUUUAAAUUGGUCAAAUUUGAAAAUUAUCAAGUGUAAAUUGUUGAAAUUGAAACUCGAGAGCCUAUAUUGAGAAUGAUCCUAAAUCUUCAGGAAGUCUUUUGACGUUAGUCGUAAUAUAUAUUUGUAAUUCCAUGAGUGUUUCAUGUUGCAUGCUCCGCGGGUCCUUUUCAAAAAAAUAAGCCAUGUGAACAAGAGUGAAUUUAGCUGAAGACAUGUCAUGUCUUCUGUUCAUAGAAAAACAACAAAGAAACUUUCUUUCCACAAAUGCAUGAGUGUUUUGUCUCCAUGCGUCAGGCAUCUCAAUUUUUAAAAUUGAUUGGUAAUAAGAAUAUAUCUCAGAGCAUUCACAAUGGUAGCAUGUAAAAGAGGGUGUAUAUCAAAUUUACAUUUUCUGUCGCCGGAAUCAGCUCCAAUGGUCGUAUGUAAAUGCAUUCUCAGGCUGAGAUGUAAAAAAAGAUGGAAGUUUACAUCUUUUUUCACAUCCUAGAAGCGGGUUCCACGACUGAUAAAAGAGGAGAGAGGAGAAAGAAGAGCAGCAAAAUUUCUGGAAUUAUGUGCCCCACACUCGCGAAUACAACUUCAGUCGCCCAACAUAACUUAGUUUGGGCCCCACUUGUGGCUUAGUGCACUUGAUUUAAUGGCAUUUGAAUUGGUGCUCCAACAGAUAAAACAUCAUACGACUCUAAUUUUUUACAAACCCCAAAAUGAUUAAUCUAAAGGCCCAAACAAUUUCUAAACAAACCCCAAAACCAUCUAAUUGUCUAAAAUUGAUGCAAAAAAAGGCCUAAUUUUUUCUUCUUCUAAUUUUCUAUAUAUAAGCACAACCUUUGUUCACAAAAAUACCACUCUUUAUAACUUAUUCAAAUUUAAAUAUUUUUAGGUUUAUUUUUUUAGAAAAAUAAAUAAAUCUAACACACACAAAAUUAAUUUCAAAAUGUUAACACACACACAAAAAAUAACACAAAAUCGAAUUAACACAAGAAAACCAAAUAUACAUCUUUAUAUUUACAUCUUCCCCAUUGGAGCAAAAAUUACAUAUACAUCCCCCAGAGAUGUAAAGAGGAUGUAAAAGUGGUUUUACACCCCCAAAAAUACAACCCCCCACUGUGGAUGCUCUAACAAGGCAUGAGCUCCUACUGGGAAAAAAAAAUUCAAUAGGGCCAAUCAUUAGUUAUUUUGAAUUCUAGCUACCCAUUCUUUGACUCACCUGCAUAUAUAUAGGGGAAUGCUAGCAACCUUCUCUCUAAUCUUCUCUUUUGGACUUUCUCCCUUUUUCUUAUGACAUGUGUCACUUUCUUUACACUAAAAACAAUGUAAUUAAUGCAUCAAAUAAGAUAACAUUUGUUUCCAAAUUUGCCCUUAUUUUUUGUAUUGAUUUUAAUGUUUCCUUAAAUUUAUUAUCCAAAUUUGUUACAACUUUCUUAUCACCUUGUUAAAAAAUUAAAUAAGAAAAAAUAUUAGUUUUUUUUUUUCCUUUUUUGAAAGACUCCAACAAAUAAGACUUACCUAAUUAAUGGUUUAGAAAAAAAUAUUACCGAAUUAAUGGUUUGAAAAUGCAAUCAAUGAACUUCCUUUUAAAACAGACUUCCUUAGAAGGACGACUUUUGUCCGUAUGAAAAAAAAGAUAUAUCUUUUGUGGAUUUUUUUAAGGUCAUUAUUGUGUUUAAAAAAAAAAGUUUUUCCUCUAAAAAAAAUAGACAUUUUCUUUUUUAAAAAACAGAAUUUUUUAAUAUUUUAAUAUUUUUUACAUAUGGUAAGAGAGUUGCAAAAAAAAAAUUGGAUAAAUUGAAGGACAAUACAUUUAAUAAGGGUAAACUUGAAAAACAAAAGGCGGUUUGUUCGAUGUAUUAAUGUCAUUAUUUUAAGUGUAUGGGAAGUGACACAUGUCAUGAGGAAAAGGAAGAAGGUCCAAAAGAGAAGGUUGGAGAGAAGGUUACUAGCAUUCCGCAUCAUUCAAUGAAACAAACUCUAACAGUUAGUUCUUUCUCAUGUGAAAUUUUUUACAUUUCUCACUUCUUCACAUGCACACUGCCUUUUCUUAAUUGGUCUGUCAAUUUUCUAUUAUGUAUGAACUUAUUAAUGUGUAUGAGUUCCUAUCGUGUAUUGGGGGAACAAACAAAAAGGAAGACAGAUUAGUCAAUGAAAUAAUAUAUGGAAUUUCCAUUCUUUCUUUAUGUAAUUUUCAUAUUAAAUGACGAAGAAAAUUCUAGAGGAAGACAGAUUAGUCAAUGAAAUCAUGUAUGGAAUUUUCGUUCUUUCUUUAUGUGAUUUUCAUAUUAAACGACGAAGAAAAUUCUAGAGGAAGACAGAUUAGUCAAUGAAAUAAAUUAUGGAAUUUCCGCUCUUUCUUUAUAUAAUUUUCAUAUUAAAUGACGAAGAAAAUUCUAGAGGAAGACCGAUUAGUCAAUGAAAUAAUGUAUGAAAUUUUUGCUCUAGGAAGACAAAUUAGUCAAUGAAAUAAUGUAUGCAAUUUCCUCUCUUUCUUUAUGUAAUUUUCAUAUUAAAUGACGAAGAAAAUUCUAAAGGUAGACUUAUCAGAAAAGGAUAUACAUUUGCUCAUAAAUGAAAAAGUAAAAUACAUGUCCUCCUCCUUUGUUCUGGAGAAUGGGACAAAAGUGGGUGGUUAUAAGACUUUGAGGAAGGCUUUUACCAAUCAAUCAAUGAAGACUAGAGGAAGACUUAAAUACCAACGAAUGGCUCCUUUUUUGGUUAGGGGAACGUGUGUGUGGGUGUUAAAAUUCAUUGGAGAAAGACUAGAGGACUAUACCACAUCAUGUGGUAGAUAAUGUGUCAAUUUGCAAAUAGCUUUAGUAGCAAGUGGACUAUACUAGCCACCUACAACUUUAAGCCUGAUCAUUCAGAUAAUGCUUGUAUCUUCUGUUUUACUGCGGUUGCUAGCACAAAGAAAGCCGAUGCUUUCGUUGCCUCUUCUACCUCCACGCGGCAUUGCUCUGUCGGGCUUUCUCCUAUUGCAGAUAAUUCCCCACUACUGCCUUCGGUAGGAGUAUGGGCUGUGUCUCAAUUAGUGUGGUUGAUCUUCCGAAUUGCCUUAGUUAGCUUUGCCUUACCAACUACCUAAUUAGACACAAGGCCUCUCCUCGGAGAGAAAGUUACUAGCAGAACUGUAUAAAACUUUUAACAGUUGUCACAUAUGAUUAGGUGUGUUAAACCCCUUUCAACCUUAACUCUAGAAUUACACAGAGUAACAAGUAUUAUUUAUUGAAUUAUCGAAACAGUACAAUAUUCUCAACAACUCAUUCUUGAUACAAUAAUUGCCUAAUAUAGCUGUAAGCUCUCAUUAACCAAUUAUGUUAGAAACUAAUAGUCCUGAUCUCUUGGACCAUAGGGGUCCAAGAAAUUUGUGGUCACUCACCGUUGGAUGUAAAUUCAACGGUUCACUCACUCUUGCACUCAUUUUAAUAAACUUUUUUAUACCAUUAGAUUAAUAUCCAACGGUGGGUGACCACAAUCUCUUGGACUCCUGUGGUCCAAGAGAUCGGGACUGUAGAAACUAAUUUCUUAACUAAUCAAUUAAUAAACUGACUAUGCCAGGUCAUCACUAAUCCAGCUCAACAAUGAUGAAGGUUCCUAACAAUGUGAUCAGCAGAUGUGACAUAGUGUUAUUGAUUAAAAUAUAGCCAUCCCUACCACCUCAUGUAAAUCCCACAAGACUCCCAUUCAAGGAGGGAAAGAAAGUAGGGGGAAUGCUAGCAACCUUCUCUCCAACCUUCUCCCUUUUUCUCAUGACAUGUGGAUUUUUUUAAGGUCAUUACUGUGUUUUUUUUAUAACAAAAAAAAAAAAAAAACGUUUUCCUCUAUAAAAAAAAAAAAAGAAGACAUUUUCUUCAAAAAAAAAAAUUUUUUGUUUAAAAUUUUUCACAUAUGGUAAGAGAGUUGUAAGAAAAAUUGGAUAAAUUGAAGGACAAUACAUUUAAUAUGGGUAAACUUGGAAAACAAAAGAUGGUUUGUUUGAUGUAUUAAUGUCAUUAUUUUAAGUGUAUGAGAAGUGACACAAUGUCGUGAGAAAAAAGAAGAAGGUCCAAAAGAGAAGAUUUAAGAGAAGAUUACUAGCAUUCCUCAUAUAUAUAUAUGUACUUUUUUUGAUGAGAAAAGUCCCUUCGAGUGGACAGGAAAUUGUACUUUUUUUGUCUUUUCGCAUUUUUCUUUUCAUGUUCAAGUAGUUUUGGACCAUCCUCUUUCAAAGCAGACAUGUGCAGUUGCAAAAGACCAUCGUGCAUGUUUAUGGGAAAAAACAAAACCUCUAGCCCACUUGGCUAAAAAUUAUUGUAUGUAUGUCAUUUACCUUCUUUUUUUUUUUUUUUCCUGCAUGUCAUCUACUAUUUUACGUGAUAUGUGCAUCUGUGAGAAUGAUAGCUCUCAAACGCUAGGCACCACGAGUGAUAAAUUAUUUUGAUUAUAGAAUUUAUAGUUAAAUGAUUUUAACUAUGUGGAAUUUUUUAGACCAAAACUCGAUUUAUUCAAAUUAUAAUAGUUAAGUUUAACAACUUUUGUGCAAUUAGAACCAGAGAGAGAAUGGAUUUCUUGAGUUUUUGUAUCAUCAUGCUAAACCUUUUCUUUGUGUUGUUGUUCUCAAUUAUUCAAGCUCUGCAAAGCAAAGCCAAUCCCAAAAGGCAUCUUCUCCCACCUGGACCAAAGCCAUUUCCCUUUAUUGGCAAUCUUCUAGAGCUUGGCAACAAACCCCAUCUGUCUCUCACCAAGCUUUCUCAAAUCGGCCAAUAUUCAUAUUGGGGAUUCCCCAUCCCCACCUUCAAUGGGGAAUGGGUUCCCCAUCUAGCCCCACCUUUUGAGAUUGGCCUUGCUUUGCAGAGCUUGAAUAAUUGAGAACAACAACGCAAAGAAAGAUGACACUAGGUAUGUCAGAGGUCGUAUACUCAAGAAAGAUGGCACCAGGUAUGAUUUUACGUAUUUCAGAUUGUGUGAAAGAUUUUGAACAUGUAUGUUAAAGAAAUCUAACAGUUGGUAUUAGAGCCAGGUUGUUUGCACAAACUAAAAUCGUUUUUCAAGCAUGCCUAUUACGAUUUCUUAUAUGUUUAUGCCAUGAUGAGUUUUUGGUGAUGUUCAAAAUUUGAAGAUGGAUUAAACAUAUUUUCUAAAUAUCAAGAAUAUUAAAGAAUCUGGAAAAGCAUGUUUUAAUUUGAUUUUCAUAUCUUCAAAACUUUAAACCCAUUUUUGACCUACCCGAUGACCUUAAAACCCCAAAAAUGACCAUAUGUAAUAGCACAGCUGUGAGUUGUGUUAAUUAGGUCAUUCCCUAUUCAGAAAGGUAUUUUGUGUAAGAUCCCACAUCAACCAACGGAGAGGGGGUGAUGUGCCUUAUAUGUGCACACCCGCAUCCAUCUAGCACGAGACCUUUUGGGAGCUCACUGGCUUCAGAGUCGCAGGAACUCCGAAGUUAAGCGAGUUAGGAGAUAGAGUAAUUCCAUGAUGGGUGACCCACUGAGAAGUUGCUCGUGAGCUCCCAGAAACAAAACCGUGCCGGCAGAGAGGGGGGCCCAAAGCUGACAAUAUCGUGCUACGGCGGAGCCGAUCCCGGGAUGUGACAAUUUGGUAUCAGAGCCACUCUGCCGUGUGGUACGAGUGUGCCAACAAGGACGUCGGGCCCUUAAAGGGGGUGGAUUGUAAGAUCCCACAUCAACCAACAGAGAGGGGGUGAUGUGCCUUAUAUGUGCACACCCGCAUCCCUCUAGCACGAGGCCUUUUGGGAGCUCACUGGCUUCGGAGUCGUAGGAACUCCGAAGUUAAGCGAGUUGGGGGCUAGAGCAAUUCCAGGAUGGGUGACCCACUGGGAAGUUACUCGUGAGCUCCCAGAAACAAAACCGUGCGAGCAGAGAGGGGGGCCCAAAGCGGACAAUAUCGUGCUACGGCGGAGCCGAUCCCGGAAUGUGACAGAAACAAAUCCUUAGCACAUGAGUUUGUUGUAUUAUUAGAUACUAAUCAUCCGGCACACAUACUAUGCAUGAGUAGAGAAUAAAUAUCCCUCAUUACAUUAACUUUUUAGUUGUGGGUCAAAUCCAGAUCUUCCGUUUUCUUCUCUACUCUAUAUAUAUAUAUAUUUUUUUUUUUUGCCAAAAUUAGGAAGGAGAAAAUGUUUGCUCACACACACACUACAUAUCAAGGUGGUACGGAAAAUAUAACCUGAGACCACUAUUCUACACAUCAUUGCCCAUUUUCAUUGGGCUAAACUUCAUUGAUCAUUGUCCUAUGGAGCAACUUCAACUGGUAGUGCAGGGGCAAUUUGGUCCAUAAAUAAUAAUAAAAACCAGUAAUUUUAUUUUUAUUUUUAAAAGUUUAACUUUCAAAAUACAAAUAUAAUUUUUUUAAUCCUUUUAAAAGUAAACAAUACAAUUUAUAUACAUACAUAUAUAUAUAUAUAUAUAAUCAUUCCUUUCUCACUCUUGUCUUUCACAAAGUCCCAGAUUCAUCUUCAAGUUGGAAUCUAGGCAAGCACUUCGUCGUUAACCAUCACCACCACUUCUAGGUAUUCGUGCUACAACAACCAUCACAGUCACUUCAUCAGCUGCGGUCUUACCUUUUGAAGGCCCUAGGUCUUACAGCAAAGGUGGAAUAGGUUGAUAGUACUGAUGUUCUUGAGGGCAUGCUUGUUAGAGAAAACAUAUUCAAAUGUAAAGAAUUGUAAUGAAAAGGAGGCUCUUUUUGUGAUUGUUGGCUUGUUGAGUUGAGUUGGAAAUUCAAGUGAAGGGAUUUUAUAGGACAAAAAAUGGGAUAUUUAGGCCCCGUUCGGUUAAGUUUUAAGGGGUUGUUUUCAUUUUCAGAGAACAAAAAUGAGGUAAGAACAUGUUCGAUGGCCCAAAAGCAGAAAACACUGAGAAUGUUUUCAUAAAAUGAAAACAAGUUCACGUGUACUUGUAGAAAACAGAAAAAAGAUGUUUUUAUUCUCACGGGAAACGCUCAAAAUAGGGGGAAGAGAGAGAGAGAGAGAGAGAGAGAGGGUUGCGACCUUCAACUGCAUCAAUUAAGAUAAGGGGAAGAUAGAGGGAGGAGAGGGCUAUCUUUUUCAAGUGGUGGCGCAGCUUAAGGUGACCGGAAUUGGCACUGACGAUGGUGACAGCUACUGGGCAGUUUUCCAGUCAAAAUCUAGCACUAUCUUGAGCCUCGAUUGAUGGGUGGGUUAGGUAGAGGAGGAAGAGAGGAGGAGUUUAAUGGUGAUGGCACCAGUUGACGUGACUGGACGACGAAGAAUCGCCGGUCUGAAAGUGAGAUAGAGCGCAGGGAGAGAGAGAGAGAGAGAGAGAGAGAGAGAGAGAGAGAGAGAGUUAGGGUGAGGGAGGGAAGAGGAAGAAAGAAAGGAGGAGGAGAAAACAGAAAAAGAAAGGGAAAAAAUUGAAAAAAUAAAAAAUAAAAGAAAUAAAUAUAGUUUUUAUUUAAAAAUAAUAAUAUAAUGUUAAAUUAUACAUUUAAAAAAAAUCUUUUUAGAACAUAAAUUAGCAAAAAUACACUUGAAAAAUAACUCAUAUGUUAUUAUUUUCAAAUUGUACUACAAGACACAUUUUCAUUAUUUUUAUUUUCUGAAGAUGUUUUCUAAUUAAUCUACCAUACGCAUUUUCAAUUCCUGAAAAUGCAAAUUCGUUUUCUUAUUUUCAUCCUCUAAAAAUAUUUUGUCAAAACAUUCUCCAAAAAUGUUAUCGAAUGGGCCCUAGCUUCCACUUCAAGCUGUUUGAGUAGAUAUACUAAAGUUGAUGCUUAAAAUAUUAGGCUUUCCCCAAACUUUUGAAACCUGGUCAAUGUUCGGAUGAGAGGCAAGCUUCUGAAGCAAUUUUCAAAAGGAAUUUAGGUAUUUUAUUUAUGACAAAAAGUCAAUUUUUUUGAUUCCUAUGGUUUAUUAUUUUUACUAUUAAGGUCCUUAUUUUUAAAAUUUGAUAAUUUUUGUUCUUGUGGUUUCAAUUUGAAGCAAUUUAAGGACAAUCCUCAAUUUGUGUCAAAUUUUUUUUUUUUAAAAAAAAAAAACUUCAACUAGUUUGGGAACGUUGGGAAAUGAGGUUUGGUUACUCAUGUUUGGUUACUGCAGUAAUUAGGAAUGAAAAGUUAUCAAGGUAUGAAAUUCCCCAUACAUUGGAAGUCCAUAUCCAUGAGUCCAUAAUUACAUUCCCAAGUAUCACUACUACGUUUUAAUAUUUGUGCAACGAACAAGAAUUCGUCGUGCAAAAUGCACUACGGCGACGGAAAAAAUUAGGGAGAUUCACUAUUAUACCCAAUACAUGGGCCCAAAUUAUAAAAAUACCAUAUAUGAAAUGGACUUUAGAAACACACCCAAAGCCUGUUUACAACAUAACAAAGAGGCUUUAACUUCUUAUAAAUUGCAAAACUGCCAUCAAUUUCUUAAAACAAGCCCAACCCGAAAAUCUCAUAAAAAUACCCAAAAUACUCAAUAGGGCAUCAAAGUAAUUUAAUAAUUAAUAUUAAAUUCAAUAAGGCCAGCUGUCAUUUUUUGGGUUUGUUUAUAGAAAUUCAAUAGUGUAGGGUUUAUUUAUAAUAUUAGUGCUAAGAAUGGGUAUAUCACUAAAUAUCUCAAAAAAUUAAUCGUCAUGUAAACCACUGAAAACUGGAGCGUCCAAAAUUUCCGUCGCGCAAAAAGUCUUAGUGCAACAGAAAACUUAUGCGUCGCUCAAAGUGAGGAAGAAAAACGCGCAAAAGAAACUUAGCCCGACGACAUGAUUUAUCGUUGCAUAAGAAAAAAGUGGGAUUUUUUUUUGGCCCAAAAAUACUUGUAUGGGAUUUUUUUUAGCGCCAAACCCUUGCGCGACGGAAAUAUAGUUUGUCACGUAAAGUUUAAUGUCGGUACAUUCUUGUGUGACAGAAAUUGGCUUUCACGUGACGGCGGUUUGCUUUUGGGCGAUGAAAGUUUGUGCGAUGAAUCAAAUUUUGCGUCGCGCAAAAGUGUGAUGUCGACACGUGCUUGAGCGGCGAAUAAGUUAUUUUGUGCGACGAAAAAGUGAUUUUGUGCGACGGAAUUUUUUUUUUUUUGCAAAUGCAGUUUGCGCAACGAAAUCAUGGGUCCGUCGUGCAAAGUCCUUCUUCUUUAUAUCUGUAUUCUACCAUUGCAGAGGCAUAAUGCAAAAAAAAAAAAAAAACAUUUUGCCUCUCUCUGCCGCUGCCUCUGCUGGGAAUUCAGUACGUUCAUUGGGUAAGUAAUUUUUGUCGUUAGUUUAAAAGUAUUAAUGUAAAUUCAUACUAACACUAUUAAUUUUGUUCUCGUUAGGGAUAUUUGUAAUUAGCGUUUGGUAGAGAACGAUUGAGAAGAUAUUUUAUUCGUUUUAUAUAUUUAAAAUGUUAAAUUAAUUACAUUAUAUUAAACUUACUUUGUGAAGUUAUAUUUAUAUUAUGGUAUUAAAUUGUGAGUGACGUAGCACAAUGUGUUGUGAUGUACGAAGUUAAUUGAAAUGAACUUCGUACUUUUAUUUUUAUUUUUAGUAACACUUAGUUUCCCGUUUGAUAUUAGUUGGAUUUCGUGCAUGGAUGCGUAAAGCAUGACUGCGGUCCAAUUAAUUCUUGAAUUGUCCCAUUAUUUGGAUAGUUUGGGAAUGCAUAGUUAUGUCACGUAAUGUACGGCUACAUGAUUAAAUUUUGAUUGUGGAGAUUUUGGUGUUAUCUCUGUACGUUCUUCAAGUGGUACAUAGGUAUUUAUACCUACAGUACACCUCAAGAACUGUAUCGAGAUGCUGUCGAAAUUCAUCCGCGUCGAAAUCUAAUCUCAUGUAGUCGUACAUUACGUGACAUGACUAUGCAUUCCUGAAUGGGAUAGGGCCCUUACCGGAGGCAUAAGGUGACAAUAUGGCUUCGUAUGAAGUUGUUGUGAUUGUUGUGUUGUGAUUGUGGUUUCAGGAAUUGUGAGCAGGAGGUGGAUACAUAACCCGAAUAGAUACACAGACGAAUACUUGGAUGAAAUUGAGGAUUUUAUUGAGUUUGCACGUACACACAACCCGGGUGCAACUAGAAUCCGUUAUCAUUGUAGGAGGAGUAAUAACACGUUGUGGGAGACAAUUGAAAAUGUUGGAUUUCAUUUAGUAAGGAGUGGAAUGAUUGAGACAUAUAACAUUUGGAACCUUCACGGGGAACAAUUAGACCAUGCUUCGUUUUCAAAUGCCACAAGAGUGGACCAUGUUGAACCUAUUAUGGAUCCUAAUGAAGAAGUCAUGGAUCUUAUACACGAUGCUUUUCCAUUUGCAUCGACCAACAUCAAUUAGGAAGGGGAAGAUGACGUGCCUACACCAAUGGACAAUGCAGAGUUUGAACAAUAUAAAAAAUUGUUAAAAAAUGCCAAAAGAGUUAUACUCGGGGUGCGAGAGCUUUUCCGUUCUCACGGCCAUUGUGGAGCUAAUGCAUGAAAAAAUAAAGUAUCGUAUGUCGAACUUGUGUUUCGAUUACUUUUUGGGGGUUUUCAAGAGAAUGCUUCUGACGGACAAUUGUUUGCUGAAAAACCAUAAACACGCACAUAAGGUAUUGAAUGGUCUUGGAUUGGGUUAUGAAAAAAUUCACACUUGCAAAAACAAUUGCAUGUUAUUCUACAAAGAGCAUGAAACAUUGGAUACAUGCCCUAUAUGCAAUGAGUCGAGGUUCAAAAUGACAUCUUAGAAUAGAACGACUAAGAUCCCACAAAAAGUCAUGCGUUAUCUGCCCCUGAAACCUAAGUUCAGCGAUUGUAUAUGUUGACGUAUACUGCCACAAACAUGAGAUGGCAUAAGGAAAAACGGGUAGACGACGAUGUGAUGCGGCAUCCUACAGAUGGGGAGGCAUGGAAAGAGUUCGAUUGAACGUUUCCCGAGUUUGCUGCUGAUCCUGAAAUGUUAGAUUGAGACUUGCCACUGACGGAUUCAAUCCGUAUGGGGUUCUAAACCAACACCACAGCACUUGGCCGAUUUUCGUAGUCACAUAUAAUUUGCCGCCUUGGAAAUGCAUGAAAAAAGAAUACAUGAUGAUGACUGUUUUGAUAACUGAGGAUCUUGGCAAGUCAAUCAAUGUUUACUUAAGGCCACUGGUUGAUGAGUUGAAUGAUUUAUGGACAAACGGUGUGCGCACGUACGAUAAAUCAAGUGGGAUGAUGUUCACUUUGCGGGCAGCAGUUAUGUGGACUGUGAAUGAUUUUCCCGCAUAUGUAAUGGUUUCUGGGUGGAGCAAAAAUGGUUAUAUGGCAUGUCUUGUAUGCACGGAAGAUGUAACUUCUGGUUGGCACGCUGGAAAGGUUUGUUACCUUGGUCAUCGGAGAUGGUUGCCAUGGGACCACGAGUGGCUGAAAAAAGAUAAAGAGUUUGACGGGAACACAUAGCGUCGCCUCAGACCUAGAGAAUUGUUCGGUGAUGAGAUCAUGGAACAGCUUAACAGUUUGGAUUUUGCUCCAUUCGAGAAAACAGUUAGUCGGACCAGACUAUGUUUUUUGAGCUUCCAUAUUGGUCGAAACUAAGAUUGAGGCACAAUCUAGAUGUGAUGCAUGUUGAGAAAAAUGUAUUUGACACAUUGGUGGGUACGAUUCUAGAUAUUGAGGGCAAGACAAAGGACACGAUCAAAGCUCGUCUUGAUUUGGAAAGAAUGGGCAUAUGAAGGGGUUUAUGGAUGAAUAGGGACAGUGAUAAAGGUUGAAGGGAUCUUGCAUUUUUUCUAGGAAACCUAAUGAUAAAAAGAGUUUCUAAAGUUUGUAUCAUCUGUAAAGUUUCUCGAUGGGUUGUAAUAUCGCACGUUGCGUGAGUGUUGACGGGGGUAAAUUUGCUGGACUAAAGAGCCAUGACUGCCAUGUGUUUAUGCAACGCCUACUUCCAGUGGGUAUUCGACACCUAUUGUCGAAAGAUGUAGUGAAGCCAAUCAUGUUGUUUUCCAAAUUUUUUUUCACAACUGACUGCAAAAACGUUGCGAAAGACAGACAUUUAUCAAUUGCACCAUGACAUUGUCCAAGUCCUAUGCAAGUUUGAGAUGAUAUUCCCUCCAGCUUUCUUCACAAGUAUGAUCCACAUAAUGGUUUACUUGCCAGAAGAGGCAUUGCUUGCUGGUCCUGUCAACUAUCGCUGGACGUAUCCAAUAGAAAGGUAUAUAAUCCUUAUCAUUUGUGUAUUCAUCAUUAUCACAUGCUUGCUAAUUUGUAUCAUAUCGUUUUAUUUUGGCAGGCUUCUAGGAGAGAUGAAAAAAAUGUACGCAACAAGGCGUAGCCCGAAUGAUCAAUUAUAGAGGCUUGGGUUCUAUAUGAGUCACUUACUUUCUGUGGAAUGUAUUUAAAAGACGUGGAGAUGGCUUUCAAUCGUCCCCAGCGCAAUAUUGACGGAGGUAUGAGAAAUGAAAAACUUUCUGUUUUUGCCCAAAGCACACGAAACUUUGGAGAUCCUUGAUGAGGAGAGUCAUUUUUCAAAAAUGACAUGGAGGUAUCGUAUUGGUUCAUACUGAACAAUUGUGAUGAGAUAAUGGCAUACUUAGAUGGGCAUGAAGAGAUGAUGAAGCGAGAACAUCCAUCACAUUUGUAUGCUCAAAAACACCAUGAAUUGUUUCCACAAUGGUUUUUGGAUUUUGUAAGUUAUAAGUGUUUUGUAUUUGACAAAUAUAUAUUGUAGUAUUUAAUUUUGUCAAACUAACAUGUGAAUGGUUUUGUAUAAUAUUAGGUGAAUAAGUUGAAAUCAUCGAAUUCCCCCACUUACAGUGAUGAGUUAUAUAACUUGGCGUUGGGCCCGAUUCGUGCUGAAUUGUUCUCGGGUUGUCAUGUUAACGACUUCAAGUUUUUGGGGAUUACAUGAGAUGACAAGUUGUGUACGUAAAACAGCGAUGUCCAUGUCCCAGGUGGAGGCGAAAGUACAGACACUGAUUUCUAUGGCAAACUCACAACUGUCGUGCAAUUGCUUUACAAAGACUGAUACCAAACGAUCAUGUUUAAGUAUCGAUGGUUUGAUACCAAUCCAAAUAGGCCGGGAAGUGUUAAAAUAGACAAUGGCUUACUAUUUGUGAACAUUAACAUAACAUGGUAUGAUGACGACCUUUACAUUUUGGCAAACAUGGCAAUACAGAUUGUGUAUCUAGAUGACCCUAAAGCCGGGAGUGGUUGGAAAGUUUUUCAGAAGAUGGAUCAUAGGAACAUGUAUGCUAUACCAGAACUAGCCUCAACUGACAACGACGUCGACAAUGUGGCUGACCAACAUUUAGAAUCUUCAAUGAAAAAUGAUGCGGAAAUACUUCGAGAUACAAAUGUUAUACAAGAACCGUUUUAGAUACAAUGGGUGUCUUGAAUCGAAAUACCGAUUCUGUCAAUUACAAUUGACCUCGGGGAUUUUCCGCGAUACGAUGUUGUAGUGGGCCCGAACAAUGACGAUCAUGUAAUUAUAGAGGAGGAGGAUUGAGAGACCGAAAGUGAUGAUAGCAACGAUAACGAAAGUUAUUAUAGUUCAAAUGAUGAAUAAUGAAUUUUUUUGUAAUUUUAUUAUGUUAGUGUACAAAUUUUGGCAAACCUAAUAUAUGUGGAGAAAUGAAACAUUGUUAAAUAAAUUGAGCUAUACAAGAAAAUGAGAAAUGAAAAUAAAUUUAGUUAUAAAACAUUGGUAAAUAAAUAUAUCCAAAACCUUUUCAUAAUAAUGUUGAAAAUUAUUUUUACAAAACAUUUUUAAAAAAAAAUGAAAAUGAGAUACAAUUUGACAUAAAUGUGUAUUAGGAGCCAAAACCUUGCGCGACGAAAUCUGCCAUGUCGCGCAUUGUUUGAGCGACGAAAAAUCACUCGUUGUGACUAUGUACCUUGCGCGACCAAAAGAUUUUUUUCGUCGCGUCAAGUUGCAAUUCCGUGCGACAACUUAAUCUUUCGUCAUGUAAAGACAUUUUGCGCCACGCUUUCAGUACUGAUCGCGCCAAUAUAUUUAUUUUAAUGUAAUAUAAUAUAUAUAUUUGAAAUUGAUGAUCGAAUUGAUUCAUUGUAUUCAUAUAGGGUCAAGGAGUGUAGCUGUAAAAAAUCAUCAAAAUCGGAGUUAAAAUAACUGAUAAAUCGUGAAUUUUCAUUUAUAACCGUCGAAAAGUUUUGUCCCGUCACUUGAUCUUUGAAUGUUUGUUUUUUCCGAUUUUUGGCGUAUAUGAUCUCGAAGUAUAAACAAACAAGUUUGAUGGUUGGAUCAUUGAAACUAGUUUUGUGGAAUGCAUAUGCCAUGAAAAUAAUAUAGUCACCAACAAUUAAGAGUUUAUUUAUACUUUCGUCAAAUAUAACGUAAGAUGUUGUGGCAUCCACUAGUGUAAAGAUCUUAAAUUAAAGAUCAAAUUCAGCCAUUGUAUUAAUAUAGGGUCAAGGAGUGUAGCUGCAAAAAAUCAUCAAAAUCGGAGUUAAAAUAAUCGUUAAAUCGUGAAUUUUCAUUUAUAACCGUCGAAAAGUUUUGUCCCAUUACUUAAUCUCUGAAUGUUUUUUUUUUUCGAUUUUUGGCGUAUAUGAUCUCGAAGUAUAAACAAACAAGUUUGACGGUUAGAUUAUUGAAACUAGAUACCAAUUAGAUACAUUUAUACAGAUACAGAAUAAACGGUUCCCGUAAAUAAAUAAACUUUGCGCAAUGAAAAAAAAAUUGGUCCCGAAAAACUUUGAGGGAUGGAAUCUUACGUCACGCAAAAGAUCUUUGAGCGAUGCAAAGACAGUGGGCGUCGCCAACAAACCUUUGAGCGACAACUGGGCAUCGUACGUCGCGUAGUGUUAAGAUUGUCGAGGGUUUAGGGUUCAGGGUUUAGGGUUUAGGGCUUAGGGUUGAUGAUUGCGCGACGAAUAAGAUGUUCAUGCGUUGCGUAAAAUGGGUCACACCUUUCACUUUUUCUCUCUGCCGCAAAGCUCUAAACCCCAAAUUUUGGUGAAUCACAACCUUGCUCGACGGAAGAACAGCCACUUUGUUGCGCAAAGUCUAUAAAAGAAAACCUUGCGCGACGCUUUUGUUUGUUCGUCGCUUAAUAUCGGCCAGGCCCUUCACCUUCUCUCUCUCCCGCUAAACCCUAAAUCCCCAAUUUUGGGGGAAUAACAACCUUGCACGAUGGAAUCUCAGCUAAUUCGUCACGCAAAGUCUAUAAAAGACAACUUUGCGGGACGCUACUGUGCUUUCGUCGAGAAAUAUCGGUUAGACCUUUCACUUUCUCUCACUCGCACUAAACCCUAAAUCCCAAAUUUUGGCAGAAUCACAACCUUGCACGAUGGAAUCUCAGCUAAUUUGUUGCGCAAAAUGGUCAGGCCCUAAACCCUAAACCCCAAAUUUUGAUGGCCACACAACCUUGCGAGACAGUUGCGUUUAUUCGUCGUGCAAUGUAUUGAAAAUUCUGGCGGAAAACAUACCUUGCGCGAUGCCUCAUGGUUUUUUUCGUCGCGCAAGUUCAAUUAAAAAUAUCUUGGGCUACACUUUCCUUUGUUCAUCACGCAAGAUCGAAUAAAUUUUCAGAAACAACACGACUGCCCAGACCCUUCUUCCUUAUUCCUAUUGUUUUGCCCUAACGCUUCUCUCCCUUCGCCGUCCACCGCCUCGCUGUCAGCCACUACUCCGCCGGAAAAAGGACUGGGCUGCCAUCACCUUCGAAGCCCACACCUUCCCUGCCGUCACCGCUACGUCUGCCAACGAUUUUCGCAGAUUAUUCUCCGGCCUUGUUCUCUCUCCUCCAGCCACCAAUUCCGACACCAAAGGUAUGAUUUCUAGACUAUUUUUCCUGCUUUAGCUUAUGGUUGGAUAGGAUUUGGUUAAUUGUUUAUUUUUGGUAUCUCUAAUUUAAACCCUAAGUUUGGCCGGUUUUUGAAUUUAAAUUCCGGCCACUUCCGAUCAUUUUUCGGGUUAGGUUCGAACAAAAGUGGCUCCAAUUGAAGUUUUGAACCUAGGGAGGAACCUUGGCCCUUAGUUUUUAGAAUUUUUCGGCGAUUGUUAUCGCUUUAGACACCCAUGCGCUGCCGGCGCGUGUGGUGCCGUGUGGGAUAACUGUAGCAGUGGGGCAUUGGGUCCCAGUGCAAUCCCCUAGUUGUUACGAGCGCGUAGGUGUGCUUGGAUUUGAAUUUGGUUACCAUUUGAGUCUCGAACGGAUUUCGCCUAUUGUGCAAUUUUUGAGUUUGAUAUGUUCGGACCGUUGGAUCGAACUCAAACUCACAUAUGUUGUACCUUGUAUUUCUAGGAUCGUGUAUGAGUCGACAGAUCAUGGAUCAGAGUCCCGGAUACUUCGAAAUCGCAAACACUAUGUCAUCUAUGCUUUUAAUUAAUUAGUUAAAAUGCUUAAUGAAAUUGUAUGUGCUUAUAAUUAAAUAUUCGUAAAUUUGAUUAAUUUGUAUGUGUAUUAAUGAAAUUUUGCAAAUGUCAAACCUGAUUAGAAGUCGUAAGGCAGAGACGAUUGCACAGAGUUCACCUGCCUCAGCUCAGUCGUCAUCUGCUGCCACUGCUCCAGCACUGAUGGACCACUUGCCAGUUGGUCCCGGGGGGUCCCAGGCCCCUACUUCGUCGGAUUCAUCAGUGGCACAGCCUGUUAGCGCCAAGUGGCGUCACCAGCCAGCUAGCACCACCGACACCACAUUGACCGACGCUACUAGUGCAUCGGGGUCAGCCAAGUAUAGAUUUCCUUCAACUACAGUUCUUUGUGUGUGUGUGUGUGUGUGUGUGUGUGUGUAUUUUAUAGUUAAAUUUGUUAUUUAUUUGACAUUAAUGUCAUAUUUCUUUGCAGCUAAGAAGAGCACCGGAGGGCCGUGUCGGCAGUUGAAGACGACGAAGGUCACUCGGGUGACCAACAGUCGUAUCAACAUCGGAUAUGACGAGCGACAUCGGGCUGCACCGACGGCGGAGUUGCAUAGCUCCUUGGCCCACGACAUUGGUCACGUCGUUCGGACCCAUUGCUCAAUGCAAUGGAAGUCUUAGAAGGCCAUGCCUGACGAGAUCAAGAUAGAGGUGCGUGGCCAGUUGUCGGUAUGUAGCCUACCUUUUAAUUCUUUUCCUUUCAAACUUUAUAUAUUUCUAUUACUUAAUAUAUGUUAUUAAUUUAUUGCAGACAAACUACAACUUAGAGGACCUCGACGACGAGUCGUUGGCGUAUGUCAACAGACUCUUCCCUGAGAGGUACAAGCAGUGGAAGAGCGACUUGCACCACCAUUUUGAGGCAUUUGAUGAUCCGCAAGUCGCUCUUCAGGAGGGUUGUCCGAAGGAGUUUGAGGGGCGGGAGGAUAGUUGGGCGUGGCUCUGUGCUCAUUUUCAAGCGCUCGAUUUUGUGGUAUUUUUUAAUAUUAAUUUCAAAAUUAUUACAUAUUUCUUACUAAUGUUUAUUUAAUUUUUUAUAUUUCAUUUCAAUUUCAACUAAUACGUUUUAUUUUUUGUAUAACAGAAUAAAGCCAAAGUCAAUAAGGGCGAUAGGAAAAAGAAGAGUCUUCUCCACCAUUCAGGUUCUAGGCCAUUCUCAUAUAGGAUGGAUGCAUGGCAGUGGGUAAUAAAAAAAUAGUUUAUAUUUAAUUUUUAAUAUGUCAUUAUUAUUAAUUUAUUUUUUUCGUACUAUUAUUUUUCUUCUCUUGUAAAAUUUCGGGAGGAGGUCCAAAUUCCCAGAGAUCGAUGUCUUUGGUGACGUUUAUGUUUGACCUGGGAAUGAGUUGGCCGAGUCCCUUCAUGUAAGUAUUAUUUAACUUUAAUUCUUAUGUUAUGCAUUCAAGUUUCAGGGUUAUUAUAUGAAUGUUUUAAUUUAUAUUUUAUGUUAUGUUAAACAGAUGACGAUGGUGGAGAGGAGCCAGUUGGUUCUUCAGGAAUCCUCCGCCCAACUUCCUCCCGAUACUCCGAUCGAGUUUAUGGAUCCUCCACGAGAUGCUGGGUUUCAGAUCUUGACGGAGACGUUGGAUCAGACUCUCAGGAGGAGGCCGGGGACAUAAUGUCGAGGGAUGGGGAAUGCCCGACGGAGGGAACCUAGACCCCGUUCAUCAAUGCAGUCAAACAUUCAGGUGACUGCUUUGACAGCAAAGGUGGCCGAGCUUCAGGGUCAGAUGUCAGUGAUUCUGUAGUCCCCCGCGUGGUCCGGCAUUCCAGUACAGCAAUUUGAUACGUCGACCUCCGAGCCCGUCCACCCCGAGCAUGCCCACUAGACCACUGCUCUUGUAGACCCGCAGACCUCCGAGCUGCAUAUGCCUGACGACCAAGUAGAUUUUGGAACAUUAUUUGAUUAGUUUUUUAUUUUCACAAUUAUAUUUUAAACCUUUCUCUUGUAGUAUACAUCUAUUUUAUUUUAUAUAAUUUUUUGUUCUCUUCAAUUCAUUUUUGUAUUGCAAUUUCAUUUUAUGACCAAAAAAAAAAAAACCAAAUUUAUUUUUUUACAAAAUUAAAAAAAACAUAAUAUUAAAUUUAAAUAAUAUAUAUAUUAAUUUUGCGCGACGAAAUAUUUUUCGUUGCGCAAAUUCACAUUUUAUAAAAUAAAAAAACGUAAAACUUCAUUUUAAAUACAUUUAGUUUAUUCUUGCGUGACGAAGUCAUUCAUCUUGCAAAAAGGAUAUGCGCUAUGACGAAAAUUUCAUCGCGCAAUAUUGUUCGUCGCGCAAAUGUUGGAGACACGAGUUGGGCGACGAAGGAAAGAUCGUCGCGCAACUGUUUGCGACUUGAAUCGCGCGACGAAUAUUUUCCUUCGCACAGUAUAUUCGCGACGAACAUGCUUUUGUCGGCCAAAGGUUUGUGCGACGAACAAUUGUGUUAUCCCUAAACAUUUUGUGCAAUAAAGGUUAACCGUCGCUCAGUUUUGUGCGACCAAUGCAAAAACUUGGUCACACAAAGUCUUUCCUCACUCUCUUUGCGCGACGGAUUGUGCGCGACGAAUUUUCUGUCGCACUGAAAAUUGUGCGACUAAAAGUAACUUUGCGCGACGAAAUCCUCUUCGCCGUGCAAAUCGUAAAAUGUAGUAGUGUAUGCAUUUAACAACAAAUGCAAUUUGAAACGAGUGUUGCUAAAUGAACUCUAAAAUUAACUGAGUAUACCCUAUGUACAUCCUAAUAUUUAAAUCAAACUGUAAAAUUAACUAAGUAUACCCUAUUUAGCUACCAAAAAUAUCAUUAGCAAACCCUUAUACACUCUAAAGCAUUAGUCGCCUCCUCCUUAAGCAUCCUUACAGGGAAAGCUCAACCGAAUUGAUGCACAAUCAACUGGGAACAAUGCAUGCUUGCCACCAACUCAUCUAAUUUCGGAUUCACACCAAGGUUUUGUUGCCACCCGAAUAAAUAGUCCGCGAGGUCCAGGGCCAUCCACUUAUGACUCAUGCUUAUCUAUUUUGGAAGCUGAAGACACCUGUCAUGCAUUUCCUUUUCAAAAGUCUAAAUGGUUGAAUAUUCUAUUGUAUUACCAACGUCAAAUAGUACCAUAUAUAUAUACAGCAAUAACCUUCUAUCAACCCUACUGUUAAGGCUUUGAAGACGUGAUCCAAUAUUAGUGGGAUUUGACCUACACUAAUUUGGGCAAGUAAAGAUAUUACAAAUAUUUACAAAGAUAUUUCCUAAUACUCCCCCUCAAGUUGGAGAGUGAAUAUCAUGAAGUCCCAACUUGUCGCGCAAUGUCACAAAUUGAUCCUUCCCCAAGGCCUUCGUAAAAAUAUCUGCCAUCUGGAAGCGUGUAGGUACAUACGAAGGACUAAUUAUUCCAGCUUGUAGUUUUUCUCGAACUAUGUGACAGGAUUAGCGGCAAUAUACAAAGCUGACUGAUUAUCACAAAACAAUGGUGCAGGAGCUAUCUGUGGGACUUUUAAAUCCUGUAGUAUAAAGCGUAACCAAGUUAGCUCCAAACAUGUGUUGGCCAUAGCUCGAUAUUCAGCUUCUGCUGAUGAUCUUGAAACAUUGGUUUGUUUCUUGGAUUUCCAUGAGAUGAGUGAAUUGCCAAGAAAAACACAGUAUCCUGUAACUGAUCUCCUUGUCGCACGACAACCUCCCCCAGUCUGAAUCACAAAAAGCUUUUAAUGUAAGAUUGUUGGUGGCAGAAAAUAACAAACGCUGACCUGGAGUCCCCUUGAGGUAUUUAAGGACCCGUAUGGCAGCAUCCUAAUGAGGUCUGCGAGGCUGAUGCAUGAAUUGACUUAGUGUUCAAACAAGAUAGACUAUAUCAGGCCUUGUGACAGUAAGGUAGAUCAAUCGGCCAACCAGUCUCCUGUAUUAUCAGUAAUUCUCAAUCUGUGGGAGUGAGUUUCAAAUUCUGUUCCAUUGGGAACUUGUCUAGGUGUGCGCCUAAAAGUCCUGAAUCCUGCAAAAUAUCAAGUGCGUACUUUCUUUGAGACAUGAAAAUACCUUUCUUGGAACGAGAGAAUUCAAUGCCUAGAAAAUAUUUUAAAUCUCCAAGAUCUUUGAUACGGAAGCGAUUGAGAAGGAACUUUUUGAGACGUUCCAUUUCUUGAAGAUUAUUUCCUGUGAGAAGCAUGUCAUCAACAUAGAUAAGAACUGCAGUAAAUGAAGUGCCUUCAGCUUUGGUAAAAAGAGAAUAAUUAGCUUUAGAUUGUUGAUAACCAGCCUUUUGAAUGGUAUCUGAAAAGGUGGAAAAUCAGUUUCUAGAAGUCUGUUUGAGACCAUAAAGAGACUUGUUGAGCCGACAUACAGCGUUCUCCCCCUGUUGGCGAAGACCAAGAGGAGGCUCCAUGUACACCACCUCAUGUAAAUCGCCAUGGAGAAAAGCAUUUUGAACGUCUAAUUGGUGGAUGAACUAAUGGCGGGCAGCAGCAACAGUAAGAAGACAACAGAGGGUAGUGAGUUUGGCUGUAGGGGAGAAAGUCUCCUGAUAAUCGAUGCCUUGAAUUUGAGUGUAGCCUUUAGCAACAAGCCGAGCCUUGUAGCACUCAAUGGUGCCAUCGGACUUGUAUUUGAUUUUGUAGGCCCAUUUGCAGCCGAUCAGUUUAUGACCAACAGACAGCGGAACCAAACUCCAAGUGUUAUUGUGCUAUAAAGCCUCUAGUUCUGCAAUCAUGGCUUGGCACCAAUGUGGAUCAAGAAUAGCCUGAGCAUAGGAUGUGGGUUCUGUGUGACCUGUAAUCUUAGCAAGAAAAGCACAAUGGGCAGAGGAUAAAUGAGAGUAGGUAAGGAAGUGGGAAAGGGGAUACCGAGUACCUAAUGCAGAACGAGGUGCUGAGGUUGAGUGAUUGACGUGGUUGGACAUGUGGUAGUCUGUAUGCCAUGCCGGAGGAUGUUUAUAGCGAGUGGACUAUCGAGGAGAGGGAAUGAGAGGAAUGGGAUUAUCUGUAUGUGGAGGGGUAGGGUCGACGGAUGGGGACAAAGGUGGGAUGGGAGAGGUGGGGUUGUCAAGCUAGUCAUAUGCGUCACAGAGGAUAGAGUGGUUAGGCACUUGUGGUGGGUUGGUUGGAGGGUUGGAGGAUUGACUAGUAGGUUGGGCGGAUCAAUUGGUGGGGUCCAACUGUUAAGAAAAUCAGAGGAAAGGUAGGGCUGAGGAGUAGGUGGGGUAAGGGAGGCCGAAAAUUGAGAGAAAGGGAAGGUAUUUUCACAGAAUCGGACAUCACGGCUUACAAAGAAUUUGUUUGUCUCCAAAUUGUAGAGUUUGUAACCCUUUUGGCCAAUAGGAUAUCCAACAGAGACACAACGUGUGGCACGGGGAUGAAAUUUAUGAAUAGGAUAGACAAUAGUUGCAUAACAGAGACAACCAAAGACUUUCAAGUGGUCGAGUGAUAGGGGACGGUUGUAUAACAAUUCAAAAGGUGAUUUACUGGAAAGUAAUGGUGAGGGUAAUCGGUUAAUAAGAUAGACAGUGGUUAAGACACAUUCACCCCAGAAAAUAAUGGGUAAGUGAGACUGAAAAAGUAAUGCAUAUGCGACAGUGAGAAUGUGGCGAUGCUUGCGUUCGACGACUCCAUUUUGUUGUGGAGUGUAAACACAAGUGCGCUGAUAUUCAAUGCCAUUAUUUUGAAAAAAAUCCCUCAUGGAGAAAAAUUCAGACUCGUUAUCUACCUGAAUGGUUUUAAUGUGGGCAUGGAAUUGAGAGUGGGCAAAAGAGACAAAAGAUUUGAGAAGGUUUUGGGUUUCAGAUUUAUGCUGCAUCAAAAAUAUCCAUGUGCACCUAGUAAAGUCAUCCACAAUGGUAAGAAAGAAACAUGCCCCUGAAUGUGUGGUAACUUUGUGUGGACCCCAAAUAUCACAAUGUAACAAAUCAAAAGGAGCUUUAAUUGAUAUUGAACUUAGAGGAAAUGGAAGUCUUGUUUGUUUGGCCAUGGGACAAACACUACAAUUAUUAUCAAAAGAAAUAGUAUUGGAAGGCAAUAAUGAAGAAGCUAAUCGAAGAAGAGCAGGGGAUGGGUGUCCAAGUUGCAUGUGCCAUAAAUCGGAUGAGAGUGAAACUUGAUAUGAGACAGGUGUCUUUUGCAAUGGAGACAUGUAAUAGAGACCACCACGCUGUUUACCCAAGCCAAUCAUCUUCCUCGUAGCCAAGUCCUGCAAGGCACAGAAGGUAGGAAACAAAAUGGCACAACAGUUUAGAGAAGUAGUGAGUUUGCUGGCAGACAUAAGAUUUAAGCGAAAAGAUGGAACACACAAAACUUUGUCUAAUGUGAUAUUUGAAUUGAAUGGUAUAGUGCCAGUGGAAGUGAUUGGGGCAUGAGAACCAGUAGGUAAAUUAACAAUGGGCAUUUGUGAUUAUUCAGUUUUAGUGAAAAGUCUGGGAUCAUAAGUGAUGUGAUCAGUAGCUCCACUAUCUAAAAUCCAAGGUUUAGUGAACACAGAAUUUAUGGAAGGAAUGGAAAAAGAAGCCAGACCUGCAGCAUUUGCAUAAGCAUUGCUAUUACCAGAGGAAUGAGUUGAACUCAUCAUAGAAACAGCAUGUGCUAGUUCUUGGAGUUGCUCUGCAGAAAACCCAUGUAAAGGGUUGGAUUGAGAGGCUGGCUGGGUUGGUGCACUGAAACCAUAUGAUUGGGCCUCAUGCGAUGGAGCUGUGUCUGCGGCGUGGGCAGUAGGAAAGGACCCACGUGAAUUGAUGUGCCCUCUAGACCCUUGACGUUGUUGCUUAGAUUGAUUAUGCCUAUUGCCUUGAAUUCCUGUGUCAUUGGGAACCCAUGCCCCAUUUUUAAAUUUACAUCUAUCCUCAGUGUGGCCUCUCCUAUCACAAUACUUGCAAUGGAAUUUAAGGGUCCGACAUUCUUCGAUUGUAUGACAGUUUCUAUCAGAGUGCUCACAGUGUUUGUUCGUCGAAUUAUUCGACAUAUUGUUUGAUCGGCUGUGAAUCGCAACGGCAAUGGAAAAAUUCUCUGUUGGUCCUGAUGUUAUUUGUUGCUGUGUUUCGUCUUGAACGACAAGUGAAUAGGCUUGGCGGACAUUAGGCAAUGGCGACAUCAUGAGGAUAUUCCCGCGAACACCGUUGUAGGUGUCGUUGAGGCCCAUAAGGAAUUGCAUCAUCCGAUCUUCUUCCUUUUGUGUAUUGUGUGCUUUCAUCUCGUUACAUGUGAGAGGUGUUUGAUAUGUUUCUAAUUCGUCCCAGAGAUCUUUGAGUUUCUUGUAAUAGUCUGAAACUGUCAUGGUGCCUUGUGAGAGAGAGGCGAUGGAUUUCUGUAUCUGAUAUAUGGUUGGGGCAUUCUUUUGUGAGAAUUGAUCUUUGAAAUCUUGCCACACUUGAUGGACAGUCUUGGCAUGAACAACUGCUUUGGCUAGAUCAGGUUCCACCGAAUGAGCAAGCCAUGAUAAAAUCAUACUGUUGCAUUGAUUCCAGAGAGCAUAUUCGGUUGGUUGUUUUGUUUCUACAGGAGGUUGAACGGAUCCGUUGACAAAGCCAACUUUGUUCUUGGCCGUGAGAGCAUGGAGCAUGGAUUUACUCCAAGAUGGGUAAUUGGUGCCAUUCAACUUUAUGGGAACGAGCAUGAGACCGGGGUGAUCUGAUUGAUGAACAAAAUAUGGGUGUGAUGAAUCCAUACCAGGAUUUUUGGUGUUGGUGCUUGAAUUUUUGGAAGUAUUGUCUUUGGUUUCUAGUGGUGUUUGAUCUGACAUGAUGUUUGAAGGUGGGUAGGAAGUAGAAGGGGUCAAGUACCAGGAUGAAGCUCUGAUACCAUCUAAAGAAAGUAAAUGGUUGAAUAUUCUGUUGUAUUACCAAUGUCAAAUAGUACAAUACAUAUAUACAACAAUAGCCUUCUAUCAACCCUACUGUUAAGGCUUUGAAGACGUGAUCCAAUAUUAGUGGGAUUUGACCUACACUAAUUUGGGCAAGUAAAGAUAUUACAAAUAUUUACAAAGAUAUUUCCUAAUAUCCUCGUCGGGAAAAGAUGUUCUGGGACUUGGUGGAAGUUGUAGUGGAGGUUUCAGACAGAAUGCUGCUUCCAAAGUAUUCAAGUUCCCUAAUGCAGCCAAGGUUUGCUGAAUUCUAUACAUAAUGAAUAUGUUGCUUAAAUCUGGAUUCAUAUUUCAAAAUCAAUUGGCUUAAUCAAUUGGAUUCAUACAAUAUAGAUAUGUUUUUUACCUUUUGAAAAACGUAGAUAUUUUUCACAUACGUUUGAUUGGGAAAUGGUGAGUAGGGUGUACUUGUUAAAAUUACAUUUGUUUUACAAUUCAACAUAUCUUUUUUGGUCAUUUUAUAUUAGGUUAAAUUAGUAAUUUAAUAAACAGUUUGGUAAUAAGGUGUACUUAGUUAAUUUUAGGGUUCGUUUAACAGCAUUCUUUGAAACCCAUUCUCAAGCUUCUAAACCUUGAACCAUGUGUGUGCCAUGGAUUUAAUUUAUUUUUCUCAUUCUAUCUAAGAUCAACUUUGAUAAUAUUUUUCUUUGUUUACUGAUGAACAAAAGUUAUACUUUGCAAGUGCACUAAUCGAUAUGAUAGUAUAGCAAGCAAACACGAGAGUUGUUCCCACAGAGAUUUGUAAAGUUUAUCAAUUAAUUUCAAAUAUGAUUACCUUAAGAAAAGUGAAAAAUAAAAACGAAAUAUUAAAAGUACUAAAGUAGCCGAAAAUAAGAUUACUCAAUUUUAAUCUAAGUGUUGAAAAUCAAGAAAAUAAAAUAACAAAGGUUGAAAAUUGGUUUUGAAAAUCAAUGGAUGAAAACUAGGAUUCCGACUUCACCGUAACAAUCCCAUUCUAUGUAUUGAGUCAAUUUUGAGAAUAAAGUUCCAAUUCAAUUCUAAGGGUUUGUUCUCUCUUUAAUAUGAUGAUUCGUUCGGCCCCGGUGUCACCAAAUAUCCUCAAUUAAACCCAACUAAUGAACCCUAUAGUCAAAUUUAAUCGAGAACCCAUUAAGUUUACGAAGGACAGUCAAGAACCAAGAAGUGUCUUAGCUUGAACCCCGUCUUUAACAACAACUCAUUCAUUCAUAGUGCAUAUAAGAUUAGGGAUGAACCCCUCACCCAAUCCUAUCUUAGACAAUCCAAAAUACUUAUAAUGGUCAAUUACAAGUGUCAAGAUCACAAUUACAAUAAUGAAUGAAACAAGGAAUGUGAAUUGAUUAAAAAUAAGAUGUUAACUCAAUAAUAUGGAAUCAUCAUGUUAGGUUACAUCGGAUCCCUAGCAAAGAAUUUAGUUACCCAUAGCCAUCUUAGGAACAAACAAUAUACUAAUGAAAAUAGAAUACAAAGUUUGAAUUAAGAUAGAAAAAUAUUUAGAUGAAUCCACUGCAGUUAAACUCUUCCUUUGGCAAAUCUUGAAGGCUAUGAACGGCCAAGAAAGUGAGUAUGUGAAUUGGGUGAUUGAGAUAUUGAACAAUAUGCUAGCGUUCUCCUAAAAAAUCUAGUCUAAAAGAUGUAUUUAUAGGCCCUAGGACUUUUCUCUAAUCAUACAAGGAUUAGGAAACUUUAAAAUCCCAAAAAUCAUAGGAAAACUAGCCAAAAAUGCCAAAAAUUAUGCGCUAGAUUUGCGCCGUCCGCUCGAGUGCCAAAACGUAGUUACAUAGUUCAUAGCUUGAACCACUCGUAUGAAAACUGAUGUAACUUCCUCUAGAAGACUCGAAAUCACGAACUGUAACUUCUCUAGAAACUAGACUUCCAGAGCUUUCCAACGAAAAUUGGCAAGUUAUCUAAUUCUUCCCGAGCACGUACAGGUAAAUCCUUAAAAUUGACCUAUGUGCACAAGCAGUUUCUUGACUUGCAAGUUGCUAAUUCCAAAUUUCUAUCUUCUUUACUCAUUUUCGCUAUAUUUUGCUUCUUUUAGUGCCAACUCAAGCCUAGGGACAAUUUCCUACAAAACUCACACUAAACACAUCAAAACAACCAAUUUUAUAGAAGAAACUAAUGCAAAUCAUAGGAACAAGGCAUGAGAAAAAAGCACAAAUAUGGAGUCCACAAUUAUAUUCCUAAGUAUGCAGUUACCAAACAUAGGAAUGCAAUUUGAAACCCAAUCUCAAGCUCCUAAACCUUGAACCAUGUGUGUGACAUGGAUUUAAUUUGGUUUUCUCAUUCUAUCUAAGAUCAAUUUUGAUACUAUUUUUCUUUGUUUACUCUUCCAAUAUUUUUACAUUGAUAGAAUUUGGGUUAUACUUACUUAAGAUACCAAAUUUGUAAUAUUGAAAUUUAAUAAUUAUAAUAAAUUCUCAAGUAUAUCAUAGAGUUAUUUAAAGUUGGCACUCCUUAAUAGAAUUCUCAAAUAUAUCAAAAAGUUAUUUAAAGUUCACACUCUUUAAUAGAAUUCCUAUCUCCACUGUUGACAAGAAACUUGGAGUCCACUGGAUUCAAGACCUCGAGCCUGUCUCGAGAAUAAGUUUUACACGCCCAUGUGUACCUAAAAGUCCAAUACCUUCGUGUUGGCCAAGUUGUGGGCCAAAUUCAAGUCACCAUACUCUUCUUUCUGAAAAGUUCUAAAGGGAGUUUAGGGUAUUUUUGAUAUAAAAAAAAUAAAAAGAAAAGGAGUUUUAUCGACAAGCAGUAUUGGAUCUAGUACGGAGCCAGUGAAGGCACUAGCCCCACUCAGUUUUGUCUACACCUAUGAAGUGUCAAAUUUACAUGAUAUUUUCUAUUGAAUGGGGACAAAUUAUUUAAUAAAAAUGCCUCAAAGAAGGCUAAAGCGAGGCAAUAAGAGCAUGUGCAGCACUUCGGUUUGGCCUGGGCAAAAGGCCCCCCUGCUAGCCUAAAGCAACUCCAGCGCUUCAGUUCUUGCAUUUUCAAUUUCAUUUUUUUUAAUAAAUUAAUUAAGGAAAAAUAAAAAAGAGGAAAAUCAUUACAUAUAGCUUCUUAAGUGAAUAAUGUUCGCAGUCGGUUCCAGUGAUGCGUUCCGUGUCUGAAAUAAUGGCACUAUUAUGUCCUCCGAAGGAAUAUACUCCCCCACAUCGUGAUCUGGUGGAACCGCCUCUGUCAAUGAUUGAGUCGUUCUUGUACUCCAUUGUGUCGGACUAUGAGGAUCGAGAAUAUUUUAAUUGUAUGAUGAGUGAGUAGGUAUUUCAAUUGUAUGAUGAGUGAGAUGUGAAUUUUAUAAUAAAUAUGGACACGUGGCAACCAAAAAUUUUAUCCGAAAAAUGUUAUCUGAAAUUUUAAGUGAGAAUUUUAUAAUAAAUAGUGACAAGUAACAACCGAAAAUAUUAUCUAAAAAGCUUAUCAAAAUUAAUGAUUUAAGUAUAAAAAAAUAGAAAAUAAAGUAAAAUAAAUAGUAUUUUCCCUUGCCCUUUGAAGUGGAACUAAAAAAGACAAGACUAACACUUUUCACAUAAAUAGUGUAUGUUCUUGCCUUACCUUUGCCUCGUCCUUGCCUUUUGAUAUGGAGGUGCUCUAAAGUGGCAAGUGAAUGGCUGAGAAGAGCUGCAUUAGGCCAAACUUUACAGGUUGUUGGUAGGCUCCAUUAGCCACUGCAUGCUAGGCCAUACUUUAGGACAAUUUCUGGAUCCACUAGUGCCUCCUAAACUGUACACCAAAACCAUUCUUUAUUAUAAAAUAGUUGACCUUUGCUCAGACGCCCAUACUAACAUGGCAGAAGUAAAACAAUUGAACUUGAACACUAGAGGUGCUUGUUUGAAUAUGAAUAGCCACCUGGCGGCUGUGGAGCUCUUUUACAAUUUUCGUCUUAUCUCUCUUCUAAUUAAACAUUAAAUUACUUGCUUUCGACCGAAAAAGGAAAAAAGAGAUUAUGUUGUAAUGAAAGUAAUGAAUCCCACGUAAAGGAAAAGAAGGAAGCUUAGUCAAAAGUUUAAUGAUGAUGUUAGAAGCUUAAUGAUAAUGUUGGGUAAUGAAGCCAUCCAAUUUGCCUAUAGACUUGCUCAUUCAAUUGUAGAACACACCAAAGGAGAAGAGAAGAGAAAGAAGAGAAAGUGAGAGGAAAGAAGAGAGAGUGAGAAAUCUGAGUGUCUUAAGUUCUGUAUGAGAAGAAAUUCUGUCAGUGUAAACACUAUAAAGAGCAAAUAUAAUUCUACUCCCAAUAUUCAAUAGUACUUCCUAUACUUUGCUUAUUUUAUUUUUAUAACACGUUAUCAGCAUGAUAGUUUCUCCUUUUUAUUUCUAAAUCUUUCCCAACUGAACACUAUGUGAUUAUUUCUCUGUCUCAUCUCUGUCAUAUGUCUCUUCUCACUUUACUACUACGACGACAUGCAAACUUUCUUUUUUGUGUUCUCACAAUUUUUAUGUUGUUUCAUCCAUGCUUGUUUAAUUUACUUCUUUGUAACGUAAUUUGGAAUGGUGUGGUUUUAUACCCCAUCCAGUUAUUUUAUGGUGGUGUAAUUUUUAUUAUCCAUCGCGUUGUAACACAAAUUAUCAUAAGAAAAUGAUGGUGUGAUCUUAAAACCCAUCUAUUAUAUCUUGAACGGUGGCAUAGUUAUAUUGCCCACAAUAUAUAAUAUGUUAUAUAUUUCAUAUGUAUUAGGUGGUGAUUUUAUCCCCACAUUUAUUUUAUUUACGGGUAUGGAGUAGGUUUACCCAUACGACAAUAUUUAUUUAAAAGUGUGGCACAGGUUUAUUGUCCACACAACUGUAUUUACUUUUCAUUUAAAAGUAUGGAGUAGAAUUAGUGCCCAUACCAGCACGUUUACUUUAUCGCACAUUUACUUUUACUUAAAGUAUGAUGUGGAAUUAACCCUCAUACUUUAUGAAUUUACUUUUCCUCACAUUUACUUCUAUUUAAAGUAUGAUGCUGAAUUAACGUCCUUACAACAACAAUUUACUUUAUGAAUUUACUUUACCGCACAUUUACUUUUAUUUAAAGUAUGGUGCAGAAUUAAUGUCCAUACAAUAAGCAAUUUACUUUACCGCACAUUUACUUUUAUUUAAAGUAUGGUGCGGAAUUAACGUCUAUACAAAGCAAUUUACUUUUAUUUAAAGUAUGGUGCAGAAUUAACGUUCAUACAACAAGGAAUUUACUUUAUGAAUUUACUUUACCGCACAUUUACUUUUAUUUAAAGUAUGGUACGGGUUUAUCGUCCAUACCUGCAAAUUUAUAGCACUUUAUUUUUAUUAUUAAUUAAUAUACAUGAAUAAAGAGGGCCUGAAGUUCCACAAAAAAAAUAUAGGGCCUGAAGUUUCUAUUAAUAAAUGGCUUAAUAUCCUAGAUCCCGAGCCUAAAGUUUUGGGUAAAAUAUGCAAGAUAUUUUUGGCCAGAAGUUCAAAAAUAUAUUAAGCCUGAAGUCCCGAAAUAUGUGCAGGAAAUUAUAAAAAUGUCCAUACUGUGAGAAUAUGUGAUUUUGGCUUGAAGUUCAAAGUCUAACAGUAUUGAGAACCUGAAGUUCCAACAAUCAAAUGGACAACCCUUAAGGCAUUAUUGCAAAUUGUGUUGCCCAUUCAUAUGGCUUGGGUCCAAGGGGCAAUCCAUCCACGAGUGGCAAAAAUGCAUCCUGGAAUAAGGGGAAAGCACAGACAAGCUAUAUGCCUAGAAAUGUUGAAGGCGCUUGUCAUAGAUAUGGUGCAAAGUAUAUUGGGCACGUACAUGCUGUACGCCGAAUCAUUUGGUGGAUCUUUAUCAAUCGUCACUUAAGAACAGGAAAGUGAAGACAAAUUACAUUGAUCAAGUUAUACCAGAUCUGCAAGCCACAGAUGACCCAUCGGAGUGUUUAUCAAUCUUCACUCAGACAUGACGCAUCUGAAUGUUUCCGAUUUUGCAAUUGAAAGAUGGAAUGAAGUUUAUGGGUCCGAAUUAGAUUAAAUUUCUUAAUGUGCCAUUUGUAUUAUCUGAAGUGUUGUUUUUUAAAUUUCCAUUUCAAUCCAAUAAAAGUGACAAUGUUUUCUAUACAUUGAAUAGAAUAAUUGUUUAUUGAUUCAGCUUAUUUUAUUUAUUUGAAGGGAUGGAUGUAAAUUAUGGAUGCCCUCAAAACGAAAGUUAUGGCAAAAAUAUUUGUCUUGCAGACAGCGCGACUACUCAUACGAUCCUUCGAGAUCAAAAGUAUUUCUCAAACUUGAUGCUUACAAAAGCAAAUGUAACAACUACAUCAGGUCCUACAGAUCUGAUUGAAGGCUCAGGAACGGCCCAAGUCAUGUUACCAAAUGGAACAACACUGUCCAUUCAAGAUGUUUUGUAUUAAUCUAACUCCAGAAGAAAUCUAUUGAGUUCCAAAGAUAUACAUUUGAAUGGCUACCAUGUUGAAACAAAGAAUGAGAAAAACAUGGAAUAUCUUUGCAUUACCUCCAGUGAUACCCAGAAGUGUCACUACUACAAAAAGUGAAAAAGACGACCAGAAAACAACGACGGUCUAAGUGAAAACCGUCGUGGUUUAUAAAAAGACGACGGUUCUAAAAACACCGUCGUGUAAUACAACCUUAGACAACUAAAAAAUGGAGUUUCAAAUGGCUGUUCAAAAACAACGACGUACAUAAUUAAACAACCGACGUCUAUUUGAAACAGAUUUCCUCAGUGUAAAAUCAAUGCCAACAAAGAACGGCAGAAGUUAUGAAUCGACCGACGUAGAAAGUAAAGACGACGAUUUCAAUAAAAACUGCCGUUUUUACUCAUAAAAUAACACGACGAGGUUUUCGUAUAAGACGCCGUAUAAUUACAAACAAAUCCACGGCUUUAAAAUACAAAAUAUCGCCGUAUUAAAUUAAUUUACAACGACGGAAAAUAUAAAUAUAUCGACGUCAUUCUCGUAUAGUUCUACUACGUUAUCUUUAAAUCGUACAAUAAAAUUUAUCGUCGUAUUUAUUCAUUUUAUACGUCGUACCUUUAAUUUUAACGGUCGUCUUAAUAAGAAUUUUUGUUAACAAUUUUUUUCUUUGAUUUUCUUAUCCUACGUCGGUAGAUCUACUUAAUGACAAGAAUUGAAAUAACCACGACGGUUUAUAUAGAACACCGCCGACAUAAUCAGUUUUGUCUGAGAUCCCAAGGGUUACGAAAUCUUACCAGAUGGAACUCUGUUCCACAUCAUAAUCUUAACAGAUGACACAGAUUUGCAAAUAUUGCGUCGUGUUAGUUUACAAAUUCUAGAACAUUAAUUUCCCUCAUUUUAAAUUUCCUCGGGAAAGAAAAAUCUAUUUAUCACGCUUUGGAAUUGAAAACUAAAACUGAAAGAAUACGGGAAAAAAAACUCCAUUUAUAAUUUAAAAUUAAAAUCCACGUCGGUUGUAGUACACUUAACGACGUUUAACAAAAUAAUCUACGUCGGUAAUUAUAAAUCUACCGCCAUCGUAACUUAAUAUAGACGACGAGAAAAGACGACGGUAGAACAGAAAACCGCCGUUGUUUCAGUUUCUUUAACAUAUCUUUCUGCAGGACUUGUGUAGUUCAAAGCAUUGACAAUGUCUUCAUCAUAUCUCCCAGAAACUACUGAUUCAAUUGCUCAUGCUUUAGAGGCCAUCUGAAGCCAUUUCUAUUCUUUAUCGCAUUCUUGAAACCCAUCUUCUUCUUCUGAAGCUCUACGGAUAAAGGAAGAGGCUAUCACAAUAAAUCCGACGGAUCUUCUUAGGCAAGAAAAUCAAGCAGAGGAUCAGGCACAUCUGAUCUUCAGAUUUCCCUGAGAAGCGAACUUUCCUUCGACAGCGAGUGGAGGCCAGGCUUGCAUCUCUUUUGAUGGAAAGCAAGGAGUAUUCAGAAGCACUAAGUGUCCUAUCAGGCUUGAUCAAGGAAGUGAGAAGGCUAGUUGACAAGCUUCUUCUUGUGGACAUAUAUUUGAUGCGAGUAAGCUCAAUUUCUCUUUGAGAAAACAUCCAAAUUAUUAUCUUUGAGACAUGAGAGACUGAGAGAGGAAGAACUUGGAACCUUAAAUGUAAACCGAAAAUGAAUGAAAGCGACAAAUUUAUAGAAUAAAUUUUUAAAACCAACGGCGGUCCUUACAAACAAACCGCCGUUUAAAUUGUAAAAUCAACGUCGGUAUGAUCGACGUAUAUUACAGAAAUCCACGUCGGUAAAUUAAUAAAAACGACGUGUUAAAUAAUAUACCAUGACGCGAGUUAUUACUUAUGUACUUUAAUUUUUGAGUUUACUACGACGGUACCUACAAACUACUGUCGUAUUUAUUUACCACGUCCGAAGUUAAAUGUACCGUCGUAUUUUGUAAUUUAUACGUCGUAGUUAUAUGUAACCGCCAUAUUAUUUUUUUGAAAUGGUUUUAUAUGUAAGCAACUUUUCGUCUACUUGACUUACACAUUUGUUGUUUUUAUAUUCUUAUUUUAUUUAAAUCUGUCAUCCAAAAAAGAAACUUUACAUAUUGCAGAAUAUUAAUUUCCUUCGUUUUAAAUUUCCUCCGGAAAAAAAACUCUAUUUAUAACGCACUGUAAUUGAAAAAUAAACUGAAAGGUCACGGGAAAAAAAAUUCUAUUCAUAAUUUAAAAAUUAAAAUCCACGUCGGUUAUAUUAAACCUAACGACGUUAAAUGAAAUGAUUCCACGUCGAAUGAAAAAUAUUGCGUCGUUUUAGUUAAAAACGACGUAGUUAAAUGUAACCGCCGUAUUAUUUUUUUGAAAUGGUUUUAUAUGUAAGCAACUUUUCGACUUACACAUGCACUGUUUCCAAACCCGAUUAAAAAUUUCAAUCUCCCAGAGAAACCUUUUCGUCUUUUUUCCUUGUCAGAGCAUUGUCAGAGUUUCUCAUCGUCUUCCUCUCGUCUUCUUCGUCGUCUCUGAACUUAAACAUCGAUCAUCUUCCUCUUGCUUUCAUUGCACGCAAAAGGUAAGCUUUCAUUUUCACUAUUUUGGUUACUGUUUUGCAUGCUCAUACGUUUUUUGUUUGAAAAAUCUUUUUACCUUUUUUCUGGCCAAAAUCAUUUUACUUCUUUCCAAGUUUGAUAAAAUAUACAGACAAAGAGAGAAAGUUUCCAACUUUGAAGACAACUACAUCAACUAAAUAAGACGACGGUAGACCACGACGGUUCGUCAGUUGUUCUAGCGUCGUCUGAAAAUUGACAAAGUUGUUUUUAAAAUAAUAGUCUUUUUUUAUAUGCUUGUUUAAUUGCAGGUUUGAUUUCGCUGAACAAUGGUUUUUGUUUUUCCCUUAUUUGAUAAAAUAUAAAGAAAAAGAAACUAGGGUUGGUAUCUAAUAUAGACGAUAAAAUAUAAAUAAUAGUUUACCACGACGGUGUAUUACUAUUGACGUCGUGUGAACAUAUAUACCACGACGUUAUAUAAAUAAUGGUUUUAAACAUUUAUUACGUCUGAGAUUAUUUCAUUGCGUCGUCUAAAAUCAUAUCAUACGUCGUAUUUUUUUAAUACCGUCGUUUGUGUUCUUAAUGUUUUCCUGAAAUAUUUUCACUUGCAGUUUUGUCUGUUAAAAUGGUUUCUCAACAACAAACUAAGGAUUCUGGCUCCAAGAAGCUUGGAAUGGUAGCUCCUCAAGAUAAGUCUUCGAAGGAGAUGAAGUCUUCGAAGAAGAUGAAGUUUGCUUCAUCAUCUGCUGAGACAGAACAAACCAGCCAGACAACAAUCUCAGAUGAUUCAAAGACUGGUCGAGGUAUGAGCACAAUGCCUCGUGUUGUGAAGAGAAAGCUUCAGAAACUGAGGCCAAUUGUUGAGUACAAUAAAAGGGGGAAAGGUGUUGGCCAAGCACAUAUUGAGAUGCAGUCGUAUAUUGGUGUGUUGGCACGCUCCAGGAUCCCACUUGUGGACAAGAAAUGGUCCCAAAUCCCCAAGGAUAUAAAGGAGCAGAUUUGGGAAGCAGUUGACAUGGCUUUUGUCGUAGGCCAAGGGGGCAAGACCUCUGUUUUAGCUUCUGCUUCCAAGAAAUGGAAGGAUUUCAAGUCUACACUAACGAGGCAUUAUAUCCUUCCAUACACCAAUGACAGGGAGAAAUUAAGCCAACCCCCUGAAACAUAUAAAUUCAUAGAGAAAGCACAAUGGGAUGCCUUUGUAGCUUCAAGGCUAUCCAAAGAUUUUGAGUCUGUGCAUUCUCAACAUGCACAGAUUAGGGAGAAACUCGAGUACAAUCAUCGAUUGUCUCGAAAAGGAUAUGCUGGAUUGGAGGAUCAAUUGGAGGAAACCAUGCCUGGGGUAGAAAUUGAUCGAUCUACCUUAUGGAAGAGAGCUAGACAGGACAAACAUGGUAACAUCCCUGAUCCAAAGGUGGCAGAGAAGGCAAAAUUAAUUGUAAGCCUACUCACUCUGUUUUAAAUUUUUAUUAAACUGUGAAUUAUUCUUAUUAUGUCGUAUGUUAUAUUUUUCGUCGUGUGAAUGAUAUUACCACGUCGAAAAGUUUUUAAAAACGUCGUUAAAGGUCUAAAUAGGAAUCACUACUAUGUUUUCUGUAAUUACAGCAUAAGACGUCGGUGGUUCAUUUUCGCGUCGUGUGAAUGAUAUUACCACGUCGAAAUUUUUUUAAAAACGUCGUUAACGGUCUAAAUAGGAAUCACUACUCUGUUAUCUUUAAUUAUAGCAUAAGACGUCGGUUGUUUAUUCAUUUCGUCGUUUUAAAUAAAUAACCACGUCGGUAUAACUACCGUCGUGAUAAGUUAUAAUAACGUCGGUUUAUACGUUAUUGCGUCGUGUGAAAUUAUAUAAUACGUCGUUUGUACAUAAAUAACCGUCGUGUGUUUUUUUGUUUAUCUUUGUUUUAGGAUGAAUUGCAGAAACAAGUCUCGGAAGGCAAAGUCAGAGUAGAUGGCAGCAAUGAUGUGCUGACCAUGGCUUUGGGCCCCGAGCAUCCAGGCAGGGUGAGGGGAGUUGGUGCUGGUGUUUCCCCAAGGCAAUAUUUCAAUUUGCCCAAACCACAGAGGGUGAGCUUUGACGACCGUUUGAAGGAGAGUUUAAGAGUUCUCCUUCAAGAAGAGACUAAAAAGAUGGAGGCUAAGGCAAGGGAAGAGGCCUUAAGGAUGGAGGCUAGGACAAAACAAUUGGUAGAGGCUGAGAGGGAGCAUUUCCUGAGUCAGCUUUCCCAAUUAAUUCCCAAUUUUGAUCCAAGCAUGCUUAAACCAAGAAUUAGCCAAAGCCCCAAAAAUCCAAUGUCUGACAAAGCUAGCUGCUCUGGAGGUGAUGUGAGAUCCCUACAUUUGGAGGAUGAUACUGCCAAAAUGGGGAAACAUCAGCCAGAUGAAGAGAAGGAAGAAGAAAAAAGAGAUGAAGAGAAGGAAGAAGAAAAGGAGAAAGAAGAUGAAGAAAAGCAUGACGACAAGGUAUGUUCACAUAACUUUGCCUUUUUUAUUUGUUUUUCAAAAUUUCAGACGUCGAUAUUUUUAUUUAAUCCGUCGUUUGUUUAAAACUUAGACGGCGGAAUUUUUUUAAGACGUAAUAAAAUAUUUAAACGACGGUUUUUGCACCGUCGUUUAAAUGGUUUCAGACGACGCUUUAUUCAUAAAACCGUCGUCUUUAUUGAAUUACCACGACAGUUUUUUCACCGUCGUUUAAAUACUUUUAAGACGACGUUUUAUUACUUAAACCGUCGUCUUUAUUGAAUUACCACGUCAUUUUUUUUAUUUCUUUAAACAGGUUAUUGAAGUUGGUGCUUAUUCAAAAAUGGAGGCGCCAUCUUCUUUAAAAACCCUUUGUCGUUUUGUGGAAACGACACUCCUGCCUGAGGAUAAGACAGUCCAAUUUACAAUUGAUAAGGAGGUGUUUGGUGGUGAGCGCGAUACCUUCCUCCUGCCUGAAGAUAUUACACAAUUUGCAGGCAUGGAAGAAAUUGGAGCUACUGUAUUGGCUGUAUAUAUGAGGUUUGUACUUCUAAAAUAAUAACUCGUUGGUUUAUAUAUUGCGUCGUCUUAACUAACUAACCACGUCGUCUUAACUAACAACCGUCGUGAUAAAUAUAUUAUAACGUCCUCAUCUAUUUCAGUACGUCGUGUGAAAUAUUAUAAUACGUCGUUUUUUUAUACAUAACCGUCGUGUUUUGUGUGCUGACUUGUUUAUAUUAUUUUAUUUGUUUAGGUACUUACACGAUGUUUUGAAAAAAGCCAAUAUGUGCAGUAUGGUUGGCUUUAUCGACCCUGCUACAGUUAGUGCCAACUCUGGCACAAUAACUGAAAGAUCACGACUCGUAGCAGCUCGACUUCAGAAGACAGACGGUGAACAGAUUUUCAUGAUGCCUUACAAUCCAGGGUUAGUCUCCUUAGGAUUUUGUUUUUAUGAUUUUCAAUAAAUGACAGCUUAUAAACUAACCACGUCGGUGUUUUAUUUUAUUUAGUCGUUUGAAACUACUAACCACGUCGGUAUUUAUUUAUCGUCGUGAUAAAUAUAUAAUGUCGUCGUUAGCUACUUUACUUCGUCGUGUGAAAUACUAUAAUACGUCGUUUUUGUAAAUAACCGUCGUUUUUAUAUUAAUUUUGUGCAGCCGUCAUUGGAUUUUGCUGAUUGUAAGAGCAAAGAGAGAAACCGUCUAUUUUCUGGAUCCUCUGCCAGGAAAUCGUGUGGUCGAUGAAGAGGCCAAAAACAUCGUGAACAGUGCUUUAAAAAUAUAUAAUACCCACAUAGCCCGAGCAGGACGUAAAAAUGUAAUUUGGAAAACUCUCUCAGGCACACCAAAGCAACCCAGCAAUGUCGAAUGCGGGUAUUAUGUAAUGCGCUUCAUGAGGGACAUCAUCAUGGAUCCUUCCUUGGGGUUUGAGAAUAAGGUAAGAAGAAAUUACCUUCAUACAUUUCACGUCGUUUUUUGUAUUAUCAACGACGGUCGUGUAAAAUUAACGUCGUUGAAUGGAUAUACUACGUCGGUUAUGAAAAAUAUCGUCGUCUGUGAUUGAAUUUCUUUUUAUUUAUAAACCCUAAUAGUCAUUGUUUAUGCAGUAUGCCAAGGGAAACCAGGAAGCUUCAUACCCCCAAGAAGCCAUUGAUGAAGUCCGGAAUGAAUGGGCAGAGUUUGUUUUCCAAAUUAUUAAACAGGGCAAUUAUUGAACACUUGAUAUUUAUGUAUAAUGUACCAAUUUUCUCUAUAAUAUGUAAUGUAAAAAUUUGUUGAGGUUUUCUUAAAUUAAAAAAAAAACAAACAUACAAAUUGCUUAACCGACGUGUAAUACUUUUCCAACGACCUAAUAAAGUCAAUAACCGUCGUAUUUUGUUGUUGCGUGUUUUAAACAAAUACGACGUAAAAAAAUAGUUAGACGACGUUCUUUGAACAAUUGAGUCGUUAAUGGUUUACAAUAUCUUCAAUUUCUUAAGGGUUCAGGGUAUAAUCGACGACGUUUAUGUAACGACUACGGUUAAGUCGUGGAAUAUAUAUUUUACGUCGUAUAGUUAAAUAGCCGCCAUGGUUUCUCAUUUUAACGACGUCAUUUUAACGACUUAGUAGUCUAUUACAAUUUACAACGUCUACAAUUUAUUUAACACCGACGUGGUUUGUUGUAUGGUAAGAAUAUUUUAUUAUUUUUAUAUCAAAAUAUUCAAAAUAAAUAUAAAAUAAAUCAGAAAAUUGAAAAGUCAACUCCUAUGAAGUCAUUGAUAUAUUUUCUUCCACAUAAACCUUGAAAAAAUUCAUUUUGAAUAACAAAAAUUUAAAAUGACCAUCCAAAACAAAAUUGUUUUGAUGAGUCAUAAAAUCACUUCUAGUUUUAUGGUUUAGGGUUUAGAGUCUAGGGUUUAGAGAUUAGGGUUGUUAUUUAUUGGGGUUUAUUUUUAAAGUAUAAUUUUUGGGUAGUCUAUGUUAUAUGUUAGGCUUUAAAACCAUAAAACCUUUUAUAAACUUAAUUUUUUAAAUUGUAUAAUUUAAUUUUAUGGGUUUAGUGUAUUAAUUUUUAACGACGGUGGUUGGGUCGUGGAAUACAUAUUUUACGUCAUACAGUAAAACAUACGACAUGGUUUACGCUUUAAACGACGUUAUUUUAAUAUGUAAGUCGGUUUAUAUAAUUUACAACGUCUUUAAUUUCUUAACACCGACGUGGUUUUUCAGUCGUCGUUAUAUAAAAAAUUCAAAAUAAAUUUAAAAUUAAUCCGAAAAAUGAACGGCCUUACGUUCUUAAUCCGAAAAAUGAAGUUUCCGUCGUGGAAUAUUAAAUUUACGUCGGUACUUGUAGAACUUUCGCCUUGGUUUUUCUUUCGACGUUUUAUAACGCGCGCGCUCUAAAAAUUUUCGCGCGACCUAAAUUUUUUUAGAUUUGGCUCUUAGCCUUAUACUUUGAUCCCUGAAACCUAAAAUUUCAGAUUUCACGCGACAUAACAUUUCGCUCUCUCACUUCUGCUCUAAUUAAAAGUUGCACUCUCCAGGCUCGUCGAAUCUGUGAGCUCGUCCAACCUGUAAGUACAAACCCUAUCUUCCCCUUGUAAAUUCAUUGAAUGAUAUUAGGUUGUUUUGUUAAAGGGUUUUAGGUAUAUGCUUUGCGAUCUGUUAAUAAUGUGCUUAUAGGUAUGGGUUCAUGGAUUUUCUGUUUAAUGGGUUCAUGACAAGAUCAAAUAAAGGUGUACUUUUGCUGUUUAAUGGGUUCAUGGAUUACAUUAUCUGUUAUGUUGAAUUGGGAAUGGAUUUAAUUUUGUCGUAUCUUUUAAUCACCCUAUGUUAUGUUGAAUUGGGAAUGGAUUUAUUGUUUUCAUGCUUGGUUUCAUGUAUAUGUUGGUUUCUUGCUUGGUUUCAUAUAUAUGUUGUGUUCUUAAUGGGUUUUGUGUUCUUGAAAAUAAACUGAGACACGACGAAUUUUAAGGCGUACGACGACGAUUACACGACGGUGUUUUUAAACUACCGUCGUUGUAUUACUUAUACACGACGGUUUUUUCAUAAACCGUCGUUUGUAUUACGUAUAAUAGACGACGUCUGUUGAAAAUCCGUCGUCUAUAUAUGCCAAAUACGUCUGUUUUUGAUUAAAACCCGUCGUCUCUGUUGUUUAUUACUUGCGAUUAGAUCAUUGUAUAAUCUGCUAUAGUGAUGGUCAUUGCCUGUAUUUUCACUUUAUUAUAGAUAAUAGGUUAUAGUGUCGGAGAUGGAUAAGUCAUGGAUGCACUCGGAUAGAAGAUCGAAGGCAUAUGAGUUUGGGGUGGAAGCAUUUUUGAACUUUGCUGUAGAAAAUCUUCUAACUACAACACAUAUCCGUUGUCCAUGUGUUAAAUGUGUUAAUUUGAAGUUGUUUGGGGUUGGAAUUAUAAGGGAUCACUUAUACUUUAAUGGAAUUGACCAAAGCUAUAAGAAUUGGACAUUUCACGGAGAACCUUGGGAAGCAACUACUAAUGCUAGCAGAAAUGUUGAAGAAGAUGAUGGCCAUAGUAGGUACAGUUUUGUGUCUGAAGAAAUUGAUAUGGAUGAUAAUGAUUUUGGUGAUUUUGGUUCGGAUCCGUAUGAGUUUGCCAAUGUGAUUGGGGAUGGAGAUCAACCAGUGUACCCUGGUUGUAGAAAGUACACGAAGUUAUCGGCAUUAGUGAAGUUGUAUAAUUUGAAGGCAAAACAUGGGAUGAGUGAUGUCUGUUUUACAUAAUUAUUGAUACUUCAAGGCGAUUUGCUUCCAGAAGGAAAUACAAUACCAACCUCCAUGUAUGAGGCUAAAAAGACUUUGUGUGCAUUGGGGCUGAGUUAUGAGAAAAUGCACGCAUGCCCCAAUGAUUGCAUCUUGUAUAGGAAGGAGUAUGAGGAUUCAACUAAUUGUCCUACUUGUGGUAUCUCAAGGUGGAAGGAAGGCAAAGAUGCAAUCUUGAAAGAGGGUGUGCCAGCGAAGGUGGUGUGGUAUUUUCCCCCAAUUCCAAGGUUUAAAAGGAUGUUUCAAUCACAUGAGACAGCUAAGAGUUUGACUUGGUGGCAUGUUGCUAGAAAAUCAAUUGACGGUCAGAUGUCUCAUCCGGCGGAUUCCCCGUCUUGGAAACUUCUUGAUGAUAAAUGGCCUGAGUUUGGUAAUGAGCCGAGAAACUUGAGAUUGGCUCUUUCAUCUGAUGGAUUCAAUCCCCACAGUUCUCUAAGUAGCAGAUAUAGUUGUUGGCCGGUUAUCUUAGUUACAUAUAAUCUCCCUCCAUGGCUGUGCAUGAAACGAAAGUUCAUGAUGUUAACCUUAUUGAUUUCCGGUCCUAAACAACCCGGAAAUGAUAUAGACGUCUACUUGGAGCCUUUGAUUGAUGAUUUAAAAUCCUUGUGGGUUGGGAUUAGAGGAGUGUAUGAUGCACAUAAUGGAGAAUACUUUACACUCAGAGCUGCAUUAAUGUGGACAAUUAAUGAUUUCCCCGCCUAUGGAAACUUAUCUGGUUGUGUUGUUAAAGGAUAUAAAGCUUGUCCAAUAUGCGGCGAUGAUACACCUAGUCACAGGUUGAAAAAUGGCCACAAAAUUUGUUACAUUGGGCAUAGAAAAUGGUUACCAAUCAAUCAUCCAUAUAGGAGGCAACGUGCAGCUUUUAAUGGGAAACCUGAAUAUGGCAUACCUCCAGAGCCAUUAACCGGAGAAGAAGUGCUGCAUAUGGUUGAAAAUGGUGACAGAGUUUGUUGGAAGAAGAAAUCAAUAUUCUUUGAUCUCGAGUAUUGGAAAUACCUUCCUGUGAGGCAUGCCCUAGAUGUUAUGCACAUUGAGAAGAAUGUUUGCGAUAGUAUCAUUGGUACAUUGCUGGAGAUCCCUGGAAAAAAUAAAGAUGGGAUUGCUGCUCGAUUAGAUUUAUUGAACAUGGGGGUCAAAACUGAUUUGCAACCCGAGUAUGGAGAAAGACGUACUCGUUUGCCUCCUGGGCCUUGGAAUUUGUCAAGAGCAGAGAAGAGAGAGGUUUGCAAUUCUUUCUAUGGUAUGAAGGUCCCUGAAGGUUAUUCUUCCAAUAUUAAAAAUCUUGUAUCUGUACAAGAUUCAAGACUUCUUGGCCUUAAAUCACAUGAUUGUCAUACCUUAAUGCAACAAUUGCUCCCUGUGGCAAUUCGUUCUGUUUUGGAGAAGCCUGCAAGGUAUGCAAUAACUCGUUUGUGCUUCUUCUUCAAUGCUAUAUGUGCAAAGACUGUUGAUGUUUCCAAGCUAGAUAAGUUGGAAGAAGAUGUAGUAGUUACUCUGUGUUUGCUUGAGAAGUACUUUCCCCCUUCAUUCUUUGAUAUCAUGGUUCAUCUAGUAGUACAUCUUGUCAGAGAAGUUCGUCUAUGUGGGCCAGUAUAUUUUAGGUGGAUGUAUCCGUUUGAAAGAUAUAUGAAAGUGCUGAAGGGGUAUGUUCAGAAUCGUACUCGUCCCGAAGGUUGCAUUGCUGAGCGGUAUAUAGCUGAAGAAGCGGUAGAGUUUUGUACUCAGCAUUUAUCUGAUGUUAGUACAGUUGGAGUGCCUUCAAGCCAAAAGAUGGGAGUUUCAAAGCCAUUAUCAGGUUGCACAGUGAGCGUAGUUGAUCAGGACCUGUUGAAUCAAGCACAUCUAUAUGUCUUGGAGAAUACGGAGGAAGUCCUACCUUAUAUCGAGUACGUAUGAGUUUUAUUCUUUAAGUUUCCAUUUAAAAUUAUUUCUUAUGUUUAUCUUAUAUAUUUGGGACCGUAAUGCUUGAAUUUUUCGUGUCAUGUAGGCAACAUAUGAUCCACAUCAAGACUGCUUAUCCAAAAUUUAGAAAGAGAACAAAGUGGCUGCAGGAUAAGCACAAUAGCACUUUCAUUCAAUGGCUACGCUUCAAGGUAUAUGUUGUUGAAUAACGUAUUUCUCUUUUAAUUUUCUUCUUAUUUAUAUGUUAGGAUGAAUUAAGAUAUGAUUAAUUUGCAGGUUCAAAGUGAAGUUGAGGAAGACAAUCAUGGCGUAUCAGAAAAUUUAAGGUGGCUAGCAGCUGGUCCAAACAUGUCAGUGCCAUUAUAUAGGAGCUAUCUUAUUAAAGGUAUUAAAUUCAAUAUCAAGGCACAAGAUGAUGUGCGGACAACUCAAAAUAGUGGAGUUUAUUUACUUGCACAUACCAUGCAAGUUGCUAGUGCCAAGGAUAAAAACCCAAUUCUCUCAAAUAUGGGUUUCUAUGGUGUCAUUCAAGAAAUUUGGGACCUUGACUACCAAAAGUUUACAAUCCCAGUCUUUAGGUGUGAUUGGAUAGAUAGUUCUGGUCUUGUAGUCGACGAACUUGGAUUUACCCUUGUAGAUUUGAGUAAAAUUGGACAUAGGAAUGACCAAUUUGUUUUGGCUUCUCAAGUCAAACAAAUAUUUUUUGUUGACGACCCGAUGCAUCGUGGUUGGUCGGUAGUGUUAUCAAUGCCUAGUAGAGAAUAUAAUGAUGUUAUUGGUGAUGAAGUAUUAGGUGAUGUGAUAAUUGAGUGUGAGCCAUUUACUAGAGGGAUGCCAAAUGUUGACACAUUUGAUGAACUGGUAGGUGAGUUAGGCGGUCAAAAUGUNNNNNNNNNNNNNNNNNNNNNNNNNNNNNNNNNNNNNNNNNNNNNNNNNNNNNNNNNNNNNNNNNNNNNNNNNNNNNNNNNNNNNNNNNNNNNNNNNNNNNNNNNNNNNNNNNNNNNNNNNNNNNNNNNNNNNNNNNNNNNNNNNNNNNNNNNNNNNNNNNNNNNNNNNNNNNNNNNNNNNNNNNNNNNNNNNNUAUUGUGAAGCAAUUAUUCAGGAUAUCACGUCGGUGAAGGAUAAAGAACCGCCAUGUAAUUCAAAAUAACACGACUCCAAUCCCAUAAUACCGACGUCUAAAAAACGAGAUAUGUAAUCUGAACGUUAAAAAAUACGACGUCAUCAUACAUUUUCCACGUCGCAAGUUCUUUUAUAAACGAAGAGGAACGAAAUUAAUUCCGACGGAAAUUCAUUAUAACCGCCGUCUAAUAACAAUUAAACGACGUUAUUUGUAAUACGGCUCCCAUCAUAAUCUACGCCGUCUAUAUGUUCUGUAAUACGGCUCUCAUUUAUUUGGAACCGACGUUGUUUAGACGUUCAACGUCGUCUAUAUUAUUAAGUGCGUCGUGAGUAAUGAAUACAUAUAAAUACAACGUCGACUAUAUAAAUGUAUACGUCGUAAAUAAUGACACUGACAACUAUUUCCACGUCAUCUUUUUUAGAUAAAAUCGAAGUGGAAAAUUUAUUUCACGACGGUUUUUUGUAAAUAAGAGACGUUGUAGAACUUUAGCAGACUAAACACGUCUGUUUUUAUUGUUUUCCGACGUUGUUGUAUUUAACAACGUCUAAUAUUUAUGGUCGUUGUUUGUUUCUGAAAAUAGGACGUAUAAAUUUUUUAAUACGACUCUCAUAUAUUUGUAACUGACGUUGUUUAGUUUUUCAACGUCUACUAUAGAAACACAUACGUCGUAAAUAAUGACACUGACAACUAUUUCCACGUCAUCUUUUAUCAAAAAAUCGAAGUGGAAAAUUAAUUGUACGACGGUUGUGUUUAUAUGUGCGACGUAGUAGGUAUCAAUAACGUCGUCUUCUAAUGUAUUUAAAGACGUCAUAUUUUUUAUUGUCGUGAAAAUUAUAUUUAACGUCGGCGUAUUUUUAUUGUCGUCGUUGUAUGUCUAUCUUGCGGCCUUGUUCUCUUAAUAUGUGUCAUAUUUUCCCUUUUUAACGACGGUCUUUUUAGAGAAUUGGUCGUCUAUUAUCAUCAUCGAUUGCUUUUUUUAGAUCUUUUGCAGUACAAAGACGUCGUUUUGUAUUUUUUGAUGACGUUGUAUUGUUUAACAACGACGGUUAUUUAGCGUCGUGGUUUAUGAGGGAAAAGAUGACGGUGGAUUCCACGACCAUUGAAAAACCAAAUACACGACGGUGAUUUACCGUCGUCUUUUUGCUUUUUUGUAGUAGUGUGUAUACUGGAGAAGUUUUGUGCGCUCUCAUUAGGAUUGCACUAUACAACCAUACGGACAAUUGAGGCACAUAGUGUCAUGGACCAAGAGUUCAUUGACUCAAAUGAUUUUAAGCUUUGGUAUGACUGGGUGGGUCAUCCUGGAUCCACCAUGAUGCGUAGGAUCAUCACCAACUCUAAAGGACAUCCCUUAUUGACAAAACACAUUAUGGCAUCAAGUGACAGCUUUUGCCAAGCUUGUUCACAAGGGAAGUUGGUGAUCAGACCAUCACGACCAAAGGUUGAUGUUGAGUCCCCAUCAUUUUUGCAAAGAAUCCAAGAGGACAUUUAUGGGCCUAUUCAUCCUCCCUGUGGACUAUUUCGGUACUUUAUGGUCUUAGUGGAUGCAUCUACCCGAUGGUCGCAUAUUUGCCUUUUGUCCACUCGGAAUAUGGCAUUUGCUAGGCUCUUGACUAAGAUAAUUAAAUUACGAGUCCAAUUCCCAGAUUAUCCCAUUAAGUCAAUCAGACUCGAUAAUGCUGGUUAAUUUACAUCUCAGACUUUUGAUGACUACUGCAUGUCAUAGUCAUUGACAUUGAACAUCCUGUUCCCCAUGUUCAUACUCAAAAUGGUUGGCAGAAGCUUUAAUUAAGCGUCUUCAAUUGAUAGCAUGCACUUUGUUAAUGAAAAUAAAGUUGCCAGUUUCUGCUUGGGGAUAUGACAUUUUACAUGCAGCAUCACUGGCGCAGUUAAGGCCCGUAACCAACAAUCAAUAUUCUCCAAUACAACUCGUGUUGGGUAAUCAACCAAACAUUUCCCAUUUAAGAGUUUUUGGGUGUGCGGUAUAUGUGCCAAUUGCACCACCGCAACGUACUAAGAUGGGCCCUCAACGCAGAUUGAGAAUUUAUGUUGGUUUUGAUUCCCCAUCUAUCAUCAGAUAUUUGGAGCCCCUGACGGGUGAUAUCUUUACCGCACGAUUUGCAGAUUGUCAUUUUGAUGAGACAAUCUUCCUACCAUUAGGGAGAGAAAAAUCUGUUCCUAAAGAACAACAAGGCAAACUCGUUCAUGAAGAACGACAUGAAUUAUCGUGGGACGUACCCGCUUUGUCUCAUCUCGAUCCUCGUAUCGCUCAAUGCGAAAACGAAGUAAGAAGGAUCGUUCACCUCCAAAGUAUUGCAAAUCAGAUGCCAGAUGCAUUUAAUGAUGCAGCAAAGGUGACGAAAUCACAUAUCCAAAUUUGUUACAACUUUCUUAUCACCUUAUUAAAAAAUUACAUAAGAAAAAAUAUUAGUUUUUUUUUUUCCUUUUUUGAAAGACUCCAACAAAUAAGACUUACCUAAUUAAUGGUUUAGAAGAAAAAAAAUCAAUAAUCAAACUUACCGAAUUAAUGGUUUGAAAAUGCAAUCAAUGAACUUCCUUUUAAAACAGACUUCCUUAGCAAGACGUCUUUUGUCUGUAUAAAAAAAAAAAAAAAGGAUAUAUCUUUUGUGGAUAUUUUUAAGGUCAUUAUUGUGUUUUUUUUUUAAAAAAAAAAGUUUUUCCUCUAAAAAAAUAGACAUUUUCUUUUUUUUUUAAACAGAAUUUUUUAUUUUUUAUAAAUAUUUUUUACAUAUGGUAAGAGAGUUGUAAAAAAAAUUUGAUAAAUUGAAGGACAAUACAUUUAAUAAGGGUAAACUUGGAAAACAAAAUGUGGUUUGUUUGAUGUAUUAGUGUCAUUAUUUUAAGUGUAUGAGAAAUGACACAUGUCAUGAGGAAAAGAAAGAAGGUCCAAAAGAGAAGGUUGGAGAGAAGGUUACUAGCAUUCCGUAUCAUUUAAUGAAACAAACUCUAACAGUUAGUUCUUUCUCAUGUGAAAUUUUUUACAUUUCUCACUUCUUCACAUGCACACUGCCUUUUCUCAACUGGUCUGUCAAUUUUCUAUUGUAUGAACUUAUUGAUGUGUAUGAGUUCCUAUCGUGUAUUGAGGGAACAAACAAAAAAGAAGACAGAUUAGUCAAUGAAAUAAUGUAUGGAAUUUGCAUUAUUUCUUUAUGUAAUUUUCAUAUUAAAUGACGAAGAAAAUUCUAGAGGAAGACAGAUUAGUCAAUGAAAUCAUGUAUGGAAUUUUCGUUCUUUCUUUAUGUGAUUUUCAUAUUAAACGACGAAGAAAAUUCUAGAUGAAGACAGAUUAGUCAAUGAAAUAAAGUAUGGAAUUUUCCGCUAUUUCUUUAUAUAAUUUUCAUAUUAAAUGACGAAGAAAAUUCUAGAGGAAGACAGAUUAGUCAAUGAAAUAAUGAUGGAAUUUUUGCUAUAGGAAGGCAGAUUAGUCAAUGAAAUAAUGUAUGAAAUUUCCACUAUUUCUUUAUGUAAUUUUCAUAUUAAAUGACGAAAAAAAUUCUAAAGGUAGACUUAUCAGAAAAGGAUAUACAUGUGCUCAUAAAUGAAAAAGUAAAAUACAUGUCCUCCUCCUUUGUUCUGAGGAGUGGGACAAAAGUGGGUGUUUAUAAGACUUUGAGGAAGGCUUUUUUUUUUUUUCAAAAAAAAAAAAGUUUUUCCUCUAAAAAAAUAGACAAUUUCUUUUGAAAAAAACAGAAUUUUUUAAUUUUUUAAAUAUUUUUUACAUAUGGUAAGAGAGUUGUAAAAAAAUUUGAUAAAUUGAAGGACAAUACAUUUAAUAUGGGUAAUUUUGAAAAACAAAAUGUGGUUUGUUUGAUGUAUUAGUGUUAUUAGUUUAAGUAUAUGAGAAGUGACACAUAUCAUGAGGAAAAGGAAGAAGGUCCAAAAGAGAAGGUUGGAGAGAAGGUUAGUAGCAUUCCGCAUCAUUCAAUGAAACAAACUCUAACAGUUAGUUCUUUCUCAUGUGAAAUUUUUUACAUUUCUCACUUCUUCACAUGCAUACUGCCUUUGCUCAACUGGUCUGUCAAUUUUCUAUUAUGUAUGAACUUAUUGAUGUGUAUGAGUUCCUAUCGUGUAUUGGGGGAACAAACAAAAAAGAAGACAGAUUAGUCAAUGAAAUAAUGUAUGGAAUUUCCAUUAUUUCUUUAUGUAAUUUUCAUAUUAAAUGACGAAGAAAAUUCUAGAGGAAGACAGAUUAGUCAAUGAAAUCAUGUAUGAAAUUUCCGUUCUUUCUUUAUGUGAUUUUCAUAUUAAAUGACAAAGAAAAUUCUAGAUGAAGACAGAUUAGUCAAUGAAAUAAAGUAUGGAAUUUCCGCUAUUUCUUUAUAUAAUUUUCAUAUUAAAUGACGAAGACAAAAUUAUAGAGACAGACAGAUUAGUCAAUGAAAUAAUGUAUGAAAUUUUUGCUCUAGGAAGACAGAUUAAUCAAUGAAAUAAUGUAUGAAAUUUCCUCUAUUUCUUUAUGUAAUUUUCAUAUUAAAUGACGAAAAAAAUUCUAAAGGUCGACUUAUUAGAAAAGGAUAUACAUGUGCUCAUAAAUGAAAAAGUAAAAUACACGUCCUCCUCCUUUGUUAUGAAGAGUGGGACAAAAGUGGGUGUUUAUAAGACUUUGAGGAAGGCUUUUCCCAAUCAAUCAAUGAAGAUUAGAGGAAGAGUUUUACCAAUCAAUCAAUGAAGGCUAGAGGAAGAGUUAAAUAGCAACAAAUGGCCCCCUUUUUGGUUGGGGGAACGUGUGUGUGGGUGUUAAAAUUCAUUGGAGAAAGACAAGAGGACUAUACCACAUCAUGUGUGGUAGAUAAUGUGUCAAUUUGGAAAUAGCUUUAGUAGCAAGUGGACUAUACUAGCCACCUACAGCUUUAAGCCUGAUCAUUCAGAUAAUGCUUGUAUCCUUUGUUUUACCGCGGCUACUAACAUAAAGAAAGCCGAUACUUUCGUUGCCUCUUCUACCUCCACGCGGCAUUGCUCUGUCGGGCUUUCUCCUAUUGCGGAUAAUUCCCCAUUAUUGCCUUCGGUAGGAAUAUGGGCUGUGUCUCAAUUAGUGUGGUUGAUCUUCCGAAUUGCCUUAGUUAGCUUUGCCUUACCAACUACCUAAUUAGACACAAGGCCCCUCCUCGGAGAAAAGUUACUAGCAGAACUAUAUAAGACUUUUAACAGUUGUCACAUAUGAUUAUGUGUGUUAAACCUCUUUCAACCUUAACCCUAGAAUUACACAGAGUAACAAGUAUUAUUUAUUGAAUUAUCGAAACAGUACAAUAUUCUCAACAACUCAUUCUUGAUACAAUAAUUCCCUAAUAGAGUUGUAAGCUCUAAUUAACCAAUUAUGUUAUAAACUAAUUUCUUAACUAAUCAAUUAAUAAACUGACUAUGCCGGCUCAUCACUAAUCCAGCUCAGCAAUGAUGAAGGUUCCUAAUAAUGUGAUCAGUCGAUGUGACGUAGUGUUAUUGAUUAAAAUAUAGCCAUCCCUACCACCUCAUGUAAAUCCCACAAGACUCCUAUUCACGGAGGGGAAGAAAGUAGGGGGAAUGCUAGCAACCUUUUCUCUAACCUUCUCUUUUGGACCUUCUGUUAGUAUGAAAAUAGUGUUGUCAUUUCCUAGACUCUAGCAUAGGUUGAAAAUUAGUGUGUGAAGAAUUGUUACUGGACGUUUUGGCACAACUCAUUCAACCCCAUACAUCCGAGGCAUGACUUGACCGAUAUGAGAAACUUGAUUUCAGGUAAAUCAUGGCAUAAUCAUGCAUUCAUUAUAGGAUUCCUAGUUUGAGUUUUCUUUUUCAAUCAAGUAUUUUUAUGUUAAUCUUAUUUUUAAUAGGAUUAGACUUUAUCUCUUAAGAUUACUUUUCUAGUUGAACUCUAUCUUGAUUUAAGUUAAAAUAUUAUCUUUUCCUAAGUGACAUGCACAAUGCUUAUUUUCCAAUUACCUUGCUUUAGGAGUCAAUUGGUUCUUCAUAAAAGUGGACGGUUGGUAACAUCAUUAAGAGUCCUUAAUGAAUCAGACUUUGUAUUUUUAUUGAAUCAGAAUUUAUAUUGUUAAUCGGAUAACUGUUUGGCCCUUAUGUGGCGUCUCAUUUAGGAGAUCAUAUUGCACCAGGUUUAAAAGAGUCUUAGCUGAAUUGGUCUUAGAGUUAUAAUUGUUUUGGAAGUGUAGUCUCGCAAGUUUCUCUCCUGUGAGAGAAACUUGCUUUGAAUAAAAGGAUGUCUGUUUCUUUUCAUUGUAGCUUUUGAACGUAUAAAAUUGUUGGGGUAUAUUGAAUCUAUGUUGGGAAAAGCUGCUGUACUUAGUUUACUCGGUAAGUCAUCAAGUGCUUAUGUUGCUUGGUGAUUGAUCAAAUUCAUUCAUCAUUCAUAUUGCAUUCAUUUGCAUUGUUCGGUGACUCAUACGGUUGAGGGCACCAAGACCGUGGUGACGGUUUUUUCUCCGGUGAGCUUGAAACAAUGAUGACCAGUAUUGCGUUUAACAUAAGGAGUGUCGAAGAUCAUCCCUUGACAGAAGUUGAAUUACGAAGAAGUUGGUAAACGUCAUCUAGAAUGUGUCUAGAAUAAGUGUGUGAGUACUUCUUGUAAUCAUCGUUCUAUAGUGGAUUUGUAUUGGACUGAGGAGUCCCAUGGAUUUUUUCCAGAGGAGGGGUUUUACCACGUAAAAUAAUUCUCUGUGUGUUUCUUUAUUUUAUGUUCAGCAUGUUUCAGGAUUGAUAAGCCAUAUCAAUCCUGCUACAUAAGUUUAUUUUUACUUAUUUGAUUAUAAUAUUAAAUUGGCCUAUUCUCCCCCCUUUAGGCAUUUUUAGUCAUCCUACAGGUAUUUUCACCUUCUUCCUUUUCUUUAUGACAUGUGGAUUUUUUUAAGGUCAUUAUUGUGUUUUUUUUUAUAACCAAAAAAAAAAAACGUUUUCCUCUGUAAAAAAAAAAAAAAAAGACAUUUUCUUCAAAAAUAUAUAUAUAUAUAAAUUUUAAAAUUUAAAUUUUUUUACAUAUGGUAAGAGAGUUGUAAGAAAAAAUUGGAUAAAUUGAAGGACAAUACAUUUAAUAAGGGUAAACUUGAAAAACAAAAGGUGGUUUGUUUGAUGUAUUAAUGUCAUUAUUUUAAGUUGUAUGAGAAGUGACACAUAUCAUGAGAAAAAAGAAGAAAAUCCAAAAGAGAAGAUUGGAGAGAAGGUUACUAGCAUUCCCUAUAUAUAUGUACGUUUUUUGGUGAGAAAAAUCCCUUCGAGUAGACAAGAAAUUGUACAGGAAAUUGUACAUUUUUUUGUCUUUUCGCAUUUUUCUUUUCAUGUUAAAGUAGUUUAGGACCGUCCUCUUUCAAAGCAGACAUGUGCAGUUGCAAAAGACCAUCGUGCAUGUUUAUGGGAAAAAACAAAACCUCUAGCCCACUUGGCUAUAAAUUAUUGUAUGUAUGCCAUUUACCUUCUUCUUCUUCCUUUUUUUUUUUUUUUUCCUGCAUGUCAUUUACUAUUUUACGUGAUAUGUGCAUCUGUGAGAAUGAUAGCUCCCAAACGUUCGGCACCAUGAGUGAUUAACUAUUUUGAUUAUAGAAUUUAAAGUUAAAUGAUUUUAAUUAUGUGGAAUUUUUUAGACCAGAACCUCGAUUUAUUCAAAUUAUAGAAGUUCAAUUUAACAACUUUUGUGCAAUUAGAACCAGAGAGAGAAUGGAUUUCUUGAGUUGUUGUAUCGUCCUGCUAAACCUUUUCUUUGUGUUGUUGUUCUCAAUUAUUCAAGCUCUGCAAAGCAAAGCCAAUCCCGAAAGGCAUCUUCUCCCACCUGGACCAAAGCCAUUUCCCUUCAUUGGCAAUCUUUUAGAGCUUGGCAACAAACCCCAUCUCUCUCUCACCAAGCUUUCUCAAAUCUAUGGCCCCAUUAUAACUUUGCAAUUCGGCCAAUAUUCAUAUUGGGGAUUCCCCAUCCCCACCUUUAAUGGGGAAUGGGUUCCCCGUCCAACCCCACCUUUUGGGAUUGGCCUUGCUUUGCAGAGCUUGAAUAAUUGAGAACAACAACACAAAGAAAGAUGGCACCAGGUAUGUCAGAGGUCGUAUACUCAAGUAAGAUGGCAACAGGUAUGUCUUUACGUAUUUCAAAUUGUGUGAAGAUUUUGAACAUGUAUAUUAAAGAAAUCUCACAGUUGGUAUCAGAGCCAGGUUGUUCGCACACACUAAAAUCGUUUUUCAAGCAUGCCAAUUACGAUUUCUUAUAUGUUUAUGCCAUGAUGAGUUUUUGGUGAUGUUCAAAAUUUGAAGAUGGAUUAAACAUGUUUUCUAAAUAUCGAGAAUAUUAAAGAAUCUGGAAAAGCAUGUUUUAAUUUGAUUUUCAUAUCUUCAAAACUUUAAACACGUUUUUGACCUACCUGAUGACCUGAAAACCCCAAAAAUGCCCAUAUGUAAUAGCAUAGUUGUGAGUUGUGUUAAUUAUGUCAUUCCCUAUUUAGAAAGGUAUUUUGCGUCAAAAACGAACACCAAAAACGUCUAAAACACUGUUCACUGCAGAAAUUACUAUUCACUGCAAUUUAGGGUUUUCUCUCUUGAACUGUAUUUGUUUCGUUAUUUUCUGAGCUAGAUAGGUGCUUAUUUUUGUUCUGAGAAUCAACAAAUUUUUCUUAACAAAACCAAACCUAAAUACUCAAAUCCUAAAGAAAUAACAAAAAUUGCAUCAUACCUAAAUUACUUGAUAAGUUUCUUCAACAAAUAGAAUCUGUCAUGUAAUUUAUUUAUGAUGGCACAAGAUAACACGUAAUUUGUGUAAGGUAUAAGUAAUCUCUUGCCACAAAGGUGUGAUACUUAAUUAAGGAAGCUUGCAUAUAUUAUUUGUUAGUUUAAUGAAUAAAGUGAAAUGGAAAAACUAUUUUCUCUUAACAAAUUGAGAAUUGGUGUCUUGGAAAGUAAUUAUGUUUUUUUUUUUUUGGUUGCAAAUCCUUACAGCUUUGAACGCUCUCUCAAUCAAUUUCUCACAAAUUGAAAGAUUCACUGGAACAAACUUCAAAACAUGGACGUAUGAUUUUGAAGUUAUUCUCGGAAUGAAUGAGAUCGUUUAUGAUCUCACUCAUGAUUAUAUUUAAUUCAAGCUAGCCAUUUCGCUUAUGUGUCUUGUAGUACAACUCCUAGAGCUUAGGAAAAAGGAAAAGCCUCUGGUGGUUAAUAGGAGCCACUCGUGCCAACUAAUCACAAAUGAAAUUCUAGUAAAGAAUACAAUGGAGCUAAUUAAGAAGCGGAACGAAGAUGAGCUGGAGCAAAAAAGGGUUAAGAUGCAGUGACGUCGUCGAUCUUAUGGAGGACCCAUAAGGAUAUACAUGGCUACAAAGGACGGUCUCAGAAGUCUCAGGAUCACUGUAAAGCUCGGUGUAUGCGCUUAUGGGAGAGGACGAAACAUCAAUAAGCUAAUUCGAUACAAAAAUCUCCUAGUGUAGUUUGUGAAACAUACGCCCCAACUUGAAUCACUUGUUGAGAUUUUUGAUACCUCCACUAAUAGGGAGAUAGUGGUACUUAACCCGUUCCUUGCUAGGGAGAACAACACUUUGGCAUCAUGUUGUGACAAGGAGGAUUAGAUAGCUACAUGUUGUUUUCAUUAAAUAUUAUUGGAAUAUUUAAUUUUAAGUUGGAUUUAGGAUUUAUUUUAAAGUUGGAUGAUGUAGUUUCAUUACCGUAAAUAAAGAGAAAUUUAAUUUCUAAUUCAAGAUUAUUAAGACUUGGUUUUAUUUUGGAUUCAAUAAAGAUGUUUUUGUAUCUCAGAAUUCAAAGACAAUAAAGAUGGAUUAUACUGUCUCAAUUACAAUAAAUCUUUUUGAUAUCAACAAACGGGUGUUCACCAUUAAACAGAAUGGUGCAGUCAUCCACAAAUACUACAGCCAACUGCAGCACAUCUUUCAAGAAAUUGAAUCGCAUGCACUGCGACGCCGAUGUGACUGAUUGCCAGAAAGAACUAGAUUGUCUUCGUGUUCACCUUUUUCUUGUCGGGCUCAACCCUGAGUUUGAUCAAGUUCGGGGGGAAAACCUAUGCAAAGAUCCUAAAUGAGACCAUGAUCAAAGCUUUGCAUAUGUACGUCGCGAAGCUCAACAACGACUGACCAUGGCCAGUGCUCCGGAAACCGUUGUGAUGGUCACUCAACGUCAACAAGGCCCUUAGAUCUCUACUGGUGGCUCUUCUCAUACUAAGGUCACAGACACUCAUCUGGAGCAUAAAUGCACUCACUGUGGUGGAAGUAAACAUACCCGUGCUGGUUGUUACGAAUUGAUUGGGUGCCCAGAUUGGUGGGACCACUCCAAAGCUCCCCCCAAGAAUAGGAGCAAAUCACCCAACACAUCUUCUGACUCAGAUCUUGUAAGUCCUGCUGUUUCAACUACAUCGGCUCUCGCCUCUGCAUCUGUAGCCAUAACAGGUAACCAAGGUUAUGUUUUACAUAGUUCUUCAAAGAAACAUACAUGAAUUAUUGACACCGGAGCCACUGAUCAUAUGACCUUUGAUCCUGGACAAAUUGCCUCUCAUACACCGUCUCCUCAAUCAGUGGUGUCUAAUGCCAAUGGUACCCUAUCCCCUAUAAUUAGGGAGGGUUCACUCUCUCUCUUUCUAAUUCUUUCAAUUUGGAUUCUGUGUUGAUUAUUCCAUCCUUACAUCAUAAUCUCUUGUUUGUUGCCCAAAUUACUAAGGCUUUGAAUUGCACUGUAACCUUUUGGCCUACUCAUUGUGGUUUUCAGGACAUUCUCAGUAACAAGACAAUUGGUUGUGGUACUAGGAGGGGCAAACUUUACUACUUGGACUUAGCAUCUGACAAUGAAACACACUACCGAAGUAUGGUUAUGGCAUCGGCGUCUUGGAUAUGCUUCGUUUGGAUAUUUACAGAAGCUAUUUCCUCCCUUAUUUUCCAAUUUAGAUAUUUUCAAUUUUAAGUGUGACAUUUGUGAAUUGGCCAAGAGCCAUCGUGUUCCUUUUCCCUUAAGUUCAAAUAAAAGUUUAGUUCCAUUUUCUCUUGUUCAUUCUGAUGUUUGGGGCCUUGCUAAAAUUACCACUCCAGGGGGAGCUCGAUGGUUUGUCAUGUUUAUAGAUGAUUGCACCCACAUGACCUGGGUUUCCCUUCUAUAAAAAAAAGAGGAAGUCAGUUCCAAGUUUCAAUAGUUCUAUCAAAUGGUGGAGACUCAGUUUCAUGCUAGAAUUCAGAUUCUUCGUUCUGACAAUGACAGAGAAUUUCUUGACCAUGAUCUUAACAAGUUCUAACAAGAUCAUGGCAUCAUACAUCAACGCUCAUGCCCCUACACUCCCCAACAAAAUGGAGUCCCUGAAAGAAAGAACAUACAUUUAUUGGAAGUAGUUCGUGCCUCUCUCUUUGGUGCCAAUAUGCCUUGAUCUUUUUGGAGAGAAGCCGUCGUCUCUACAGCAUACCUCAUCAAUCGGAUACCUUCCAGUAUCCUAAAUUUCCAAACACCACUUCAAACGCUUCACCAUCAUAUCCAAAUACCUCCUACCCCAAACCUAGAACCCUGUAUUUUUGGCUGUGUUAUAUUUGUCCAAUUACAUGAUCACCAACGAAGCAAAUUAGAUCCCCAAGCCGAGAAGUGUGUUUUCAUUGGCUAUGCACCUCAUCAGAAAGGAUACCGAUGUUAUCAUCCUCCUAGUCAGAAGGUCUACAAUUCCAUGGAUGUUGUGUUCCAGGAACAUGACUUAUAUUUUUCAGCAGUACAUAAGGAGAAUCAAGAAUCCACCACUCCUCAAAUUGUCGAUUUUUUCCCCAAGAUGUCACUCUGCUUCAAAACGACCGGUCGCCAAUGGAAAGCGACCGGUCGCCCCCCCUUAGGUCUUCAAACAUGGAGAACUUGCUUCCAAAUGACUGGUCGCCAGAAGACAACAAAUGGUCGCUAGAGGAAAAUUAUCAGUUGUCUCCACGCUAUCAAAAUCAGGAGGAGGAAAUUGAACCGUUUAUGAGAUUUUGCCCGCUUUAGUUCCAGUACCACACCAAUCACCUGCUAAGGAAGUCAUUCAGGUAACAUCUUUCCCUGAAACUGAUAACACUAAUGAAAUAUCCCAUGAUGAUUGAUUUCAGAAGGCAUAGAGGCUACAUGUCAGCUUCCAGAAAGGAAGAAUCGUGGCAAACCUCGAGUACAAUAUGAAGCAAAUCUUAAAGCCAAGGGAAAAUACCCCAUCAAUAAUUAUAUAUCUCUCAGUAGAUUAUCAGAGUCACAUGUGCACUAUGUGAAGUUGUUGGCUAACAUAUCUGUCCCCAACAGUGUGACUGAAGCAAUAGAAGACCCAAAAUGGAAAGAAGUCAUGAAUGAAGAAAUGCGAGCUCUGCAAAAGAAUGUCACAUGGGAACUCGUGCCCUUACCUCAUGGAAAGAAGACAGUAGGAUGCAGGUUUUUUUAUAUUGUGACACUCAAAGCAGAUAGAUCCAUUGAAAGAUAUAAAGCUAGAUUGGUGGCGAAGGGGUGCACACAGAGAUAUGUGAUAGACUACCAGGAGACCUUUGCCCCAGUAGCCAAGAUUAACACUAUUAGAGUCAUAUUUUCUCUAGCAGCAAAGCUCGAAUGGCCACUACAUCAGUUUGAUGUCGAAAAUGCAUUCUUACAUGGAGACUUGGAAGAAGAAGUAUAUAUGGACUUACCCCCAGGAUGUAAUUCAGCUCUUGACAAGAAGAAUCAAGUUUACGAGCUCAAAAAGUCAUUACAUGGGUUAAAGCAAUCUCCUAGGGCAUGGUUUGGCAGAUUUAUUAAAUCUAUGAAGAAUUUUGGAUAUAAACCGAAUAAUUCAUCACACCCUGUCCUUGAAGCGUGAUGAAGGAAAACUUAUUGCAUUGAUUGUUUAUGUAGAUGACAUAGUCGUACUGGAAACGACGCAUGAGAGCAACUGAAGUUGCAAAAGUAUUUGUCUUAGGAAUUUGAGAUGAAGAAUUUAGAUGAUCUGAAGUACUUUCUCGGAAUCGAAGUAGCAAGGUCAAAAACUGGUAUAUUUCUGUCUCAAAGGAAGUAUGUAAUGGAUCGACUCACUGACACAUGAAUGCUUGGAUGUAAGCCUGCUGACACACCCAUUGAUAUGAAUCACAAGUUGUGUGAAGAUAUGAACCAAGAACCAACCAAUAUGGAACAGUACCAACGCCUUGUUAGAAGGUUGAUAUACCUGGCAUACACAAGACUAGAUAUUGCAUAUGCUGUGAGUGUGGUUAGUCAGUUUAUGCAUUCACCCAGUGUUUCUCAUAGAAAUGCAGUUGAUCGGAUCUUAAGAUACUUAAAGUUAGCCCCUAGGAAAGGAUUAAUGUUCUAAAAAAAUGGAGAUCUUGAAGUUGUUGGAUAUACAGAUGCUGAUUGGGCUGGUUCCAGUACAGAUAGACGCUUUACUUCUGGUUACUUUACAUUUGUUAGAGGUAACCUAGUCACUUGGCAGAGUAAAAAAAUAAAAUGUGGUUUCUCAGUCUAGUGCAGAAGCAGAGUAUUGAGGAAUGACUCAAGGAGUCUGUGAAUUAUUGUGGAUCAGAAGACUCUUGACAGAAUUGAGCUUCAAGCUAGAAAAGCCAAUGGAGUUGCAUUGUGACAACAAGUCAGCUAUCGAUAUUGCCCAUAAUCCAAUUCAACAUGAUCGAACCAAAUAUGUUGAGGUGGAUAGACAUUUCAUCAAAGGAAAAAUUGAUAAUAAGAUCAUCUGCCUACCAUUCGUAAAAUCAGAAGAUCACCUGGCAGAUGUCUUAACAAAAGCUAUUUGUGAAAGAGUAUUUCAUGACUCACUUACCAAGUUGGGCAUUGGUGACAUAUAUACACCAACUUGAAGAGGAGUGUUGAAGUGAGUCUCCUAAUUAAUCAAGGAGAUGUAUUUCCUUGAUUAAUUAAGGGAUUUACUUUCUUGUUUUAUAUAGUUGACAAAUCAUUGUAUAAUUAGGAGAUACUAUCCUAAUUGAUUACUGUAUCUAUAUCCUUGUAAAGCACUUAUGUAAAUUCCUAUAUAUAUCUUCUUAUGGAGAAGAAUAAAACUUAACCUAAAGUAUUCAAACCAUAUUCAUAUUUUAGCAAGCUGUAGCCGCACCUUUCUUUUACCGCCCGUUAUUUUUGUGUCUCCGUUGCACCGUCUUCAUUGCAGACCGUCCUCUCCAUUGAGCUCUCUCGUGGCAAGCCACGGCAGCUCCAUUUAUCUCCCUGGGUAGUGAUGGCCAAAUUUCUGUUUCCUCACCGAGCCUCGUCACUACUCACCGAGCAUUCUCCUCACCAGCCUUUAUCUCUCUCAUGCCGUGUAACUCAAGUGGUUUUGAACUAGGGAUGGCAAUGGGUCGAAUCGGGGGUGGGUAUGCCUUUUCCAUCCCCAUCCCGUUUUUUUUCCAAUUCCCACCUUCAUUACUACAAUAUUCAUAUUGGGAAUUUCCCAUCCCAACCUUCAACUGGGAAUGGGUUCCCCUACUUGCCCCAUUACGUACGGAAGAAAAAUCAAUAUAAAACUACUUUUUUUGAAAGAAAAUAAACAGGACUAGAGCAAGACAAUGAGUACAUAUAAUAUAUUAUCUACGUACAAUGUUUACAUAUUGACUAGGAAGUUAACUAAAUAUAUAAGUAGUGUAGCGUAAGAUUUGUAUAAAUUUUAUAAAUAUAUAAUAUAAAACUUAGUCGGCACAAUCACUUUAAUAACAUAUUUAAAUAUACUAUAUUCUAAAUAGGGAGGGUUCGGGUCGGGGAUUAAAAUACCGUCCCUCCCCCUCCCCUAACACCAUAUCCAAAAAAUUGACAGUACCUGCCCUCAUACCCGUUUGUUAUCCUUCUUACCCGACCAUUAGGGUCGAAUCCAUGUGAAGACCCUUACCCGUGGGAAAAAUUGCCAUCCAUAUUUUGAACAGUUAUCUUCCUUGCACUCGAGAUUCUGUGUUUGAAUCUCACCCACCCAAUAUCGAUCGCUUUUAUUUUUAAAAAAAAAUAGAGACUAUCUCGUGUAUAUAUAAUAUAUCUCAAUCAUUCAUCAAGUUUGAAUCUCAAUAACAAUUGGUUGUUGUAAGAACGUCCAACAGAAUUAACUAUGAAGAUUUAUUGGGGUGCAUAGAGUAAUUGGACUGUCUUGGCUUUAUGGGGCUCCUAUCUAUUAUAGGGGGGAUUCUUAUCCUGGUGUAUGAUUUUUGUUUGUAAAAUCACCCCAGUUGCCCUUCAAUAUGAUGGUAGAUUGACCUUGCGAAGGCUAUAUCUAAAGGAAAAGCACAGAGCCAUGCCACUAGAAUACAGAUUUUUGUUUUGUAAAUUUUUUAUUAAGUUAUUCGGUGUUGAUUUUUCAAGUACUUAGCAUGAAAAAAAAUGAAAUAGAAUGAUUUUUUUCAUUAAAAAAACACUUUUGAAUGAAGCCAAUUUGGCCAUCUAAAAAGAUUCUGUUUUAGCGGAUAGCUAGUAACUUUCUUUCUGUCCAAACUAGACGCAUAACUAAGUCCAAACGAUAAGACUUGUCGGAUUGGGAGGCUCUCCCUCCCUCCUUCAACUUUUAUGUGUGUGUGUGCGUGCGAUUAGAACCAAAGAGAGAAUGGAUUUCUUUUGUUUUUGUAUGGUCCUGCUAAGCCUUUUCUCUGUGUUAUUGUUCUCAAUUACUCAAGCUCUGCAAAGCAAAGCCAAUCCCAAAAGGCAUCUUCUCCCACUUGGACCAAAGCCAUUUCCCUUCAUUGGCAAUCUUCUAGAACUUGGAAACAAACCCCAUCAAUCUCUCACCAAGCUUUCUCAAAUCUAUGACCCCAUUAUAACUCUGCAACUAGGCUAAGUAACAACGGUGAUUCUUUCUUCACCAAACACAGCCAAACAAGUCCUCCGAACCCACGACCAAUUCUUGUCCAACCGAACCAUCCCAGAUGCAUUUCAAGCCUAUGACUUUCGCCAGGACAGCCUGCCAUGCAUACCACCUUCGGCCAAAUGGAGAAGCCUUCGACAAAUAUGCAACUCUCAAUUGUUCGCCGCCAAAAUCCUCAAAGCCAACCAACCCAACCGCCGCAUAAAAGUGCAAGAGCUCAUAUCUCAGGUCAACGAAAGUACAGUCAAUAGUGAGGCGGUAGUUAUUGGAAGGGCCGCUUUCACUACGCUCAUUCUGCUGUCUCGUAUUGUUUUCUCAGUGGAUUUGGCUAACUCAAGUAGCGAGAUGGCCAGGGAGUUCAAGGAGACUGUGUGCGGUUUGAUGGAAGGGGUAGGGACCCCAAACGUGGGGGAAUUGUUUUCCUGUCUUUAGGAAAAUUGACCCCCAGGGCAUUAGGCAGAGCAUGAUCAAACAUUUCAAUUAGAUGGAACAACUCUUUGACUGCAUGAUUAGCCAAAGAUUGGCAUCAAGAAAAGCCCAUGAUUAUGUCAGAACCAAUGAUAUGCUGGAUACUCUUUUGAACAUCAGUGAAGCGAAUAGUGAGGACAUGGACAAGACCAAAAUUCGACAUAUGUUUCUGGUUAGUUAUUUUGUCUUUGCUCAUCAUUAUAGUUAAACUACUAUAUCAAUUAAUUUAAUUUACAGAGAGAAGGGAUUCAAACUUAAGUGCAAAGAGUUGGCGAACUGGCCUGGCCUGGCCUGACCGUCUACUCUCGUUAGGUGUUUUUUAUUUUGGUUUUUAAUCCCAUUUUGUUUUUCUGACUUGUUAUGUUAAAAAGGCUCUAUUUGCCGCGGGGACUGAUACAACUUCAGCCACAUUGGAAUGGGCCAUGGCUGAGCUGCAACGCGACCUUGAAAAGCUGUCAAAAACUCAACAAGAGCUGGAGCAAAUCAUUGGCAAAGGAAAACCAGUAGAAGAAGCAGACCAAAAUAAUGGUUUUUUGCUUGGCAUUGCAUGUCAAUUGGCAUGCUCGUGCUUGAAUUUUAUUAUUUUUUAAAUGGCUAUGAUUGAGUCAAAACGACGCUUGACGGGAUAACAUUUAGCAUGGGUUCAUAGAGCCAGUACAUUUUACGGGCUUGCUACGACCUUUUUACUUAGCGUGUUGCAUAUUUGCUUGGCGUGGCACGUAGAUUGCAACUCGCGUGAGAGUGUAUGAUGAACUUUCGCAUGCCCAAAUGGGGGUUUCUUUUUAGUAAGGUGUCGCACUGGGCCAGGAAUAUAUUUGGGCCCACUCUUAGAUUUUUUUGGGCCUCAACACACUCAAGAUUCUGUGUUUGAAUCUCACACACCCAAUAUCGAUCGCUUUUAUUAAAAUAAAAUAAAAUAAAAAAUAGAGACUAUGUCGUGUAUAUAUCUCAAUCAUUCAUUAAGUUUGAAUCUCAAUAACAAUUGGUUGUUGUAAGAACGUCCAGCAAAAUUAACUAUGAAGAUAGUUUUUUCUUUGAGGAAGGUUUAUUGGGGUGCAUAGAGUAAUUGGACUGCCUUGGCUUUAUGGGGCUCCUACCAUUGUUGACAAUGGGGCUACUAAUUAUAUUGGCCGUGUUUGUGUUUAAAUAGCUUGAGAAAAUUUGAAGUUUCUUGCCCACAAAGAGAAUUCUUACAAGAUUUGAUGACCUUAAACAUGGUGCAAGUUAAAAGAACAGUAGGGUUGGUAGGGUUGGUGGUCCUUUGAUUUCUACCCGGCAGCUGUCAAAUUUUUUUUUUUUUUUUUUCUGUUGUUUCAUCCUUGGUUAUAUUAGCCGCGGGCCUCGGCAGCUUCUUUCUUUUCUUUGUAAUUCCGUCUUAAUUUUGGUUAUGCAUGAUAAAAUUGACCUUAAAAUUUUUGUCGUGCAUGAUAAAAUUGACCUUAAAUGGCUUGACCUUUCAAUAAAAAAAACAGUUUAUUCGAUGCACGUUCUCAACACGUCUUUUUCCUUUGUCCAUAAGUAAGAAUUGAUGGGGCUCAUGAUAAGAAUUUAGAUGACUUCAUUUUCGUCAAUUCACACCAGGUGCCUUUCCCAAUCUGUCUUUGAUGAGAUUGGACAAAUAACUUUAAUGGACCAAUAUGAUUUUAUCUUGGUAUGACAAUAUUUAUAUGAUAUUUGGCACUGACCGUGUAUAGAAGGACAAAUUUGAUAAAAGCUUCCUUACCAAAAAUGGCUUGUAAUAGCUGCUUUGAAUUAUUUUGUGUGAUGCGGUUGCAUUAUUUGGUUAGUGCCUACCCAAAUUUUCUCAAAUGUCUUUACCUAAGCAAGUUGUUCUCAAAUGUCUUUACCUACGUUUGUCUCUUAGCUUUUAGGGGAUAUAUAUAAACAACUUAAAAGAGUUGGUCCUGAAAAUAUAUUUUCAUGCUUUCUCGAUAAGUCUCAACAAGAAUAUUUAUAUGAUAUUUGGCACCGACCGUGUAUAGAAGGACAAAUUUGAUAAAAGCUUCCUUACCAAAGAUGGCUUGUAAUAGCUGCUUUGAAUUAUUUUGUGUGAUGCGGUUGCCUUAUUUGGUUAGUGCCUACCCAAAUUGUAUUAUUUGAGUAAGGAAAAUUGGCAUAUAUAUCACCUGAAAUUUUAGGCAUGUGUAGAAUUACUAUUUUAAAUUUUAAUUUUAUUAACCACAUGAACUAUGUAAAGUGUUGAAAUUUACUACCUACGCCUAACUCCGUUAAAUUUUUUCGUCAAAUCAAGUCACAUAAUGCAAAUGUGAUUUUUAAGGGCAUUUAUGUCAAUCAAUAUACACAUAAAUUUAGAAAAUUUAAAAACUAACAGAAUUUAAUUUUAAAUGAAAAAAAAAAGUAGGAAAACUAACCUAAUAAUUUCACAAACUUCCCCACCUCCUUCCAACACCUAUUCUCCCCCACCAAAAUAAAGUGAACAUUUUCUCUGUGAAAUUGAGUUAUUCUUGGUCGAUGGUUGAGGCCAAUCUUCUUCUUUCUUCUUCUUUUUGUUUUUUCUGAAAAUUUUGGUGUUAGUUGCUUCACUAGGCUUAUAUCUCAUACGUCCUGCCUCUUAAAAUUGCUUGGCGCUUUCGAUAAAAAAACAGUUUAUUCGAUGCACGUUCUCAGCACGUCUUUUUCCUUUGUCCAUCAGUAAGGUUGCCGGUCUAGUUCUUUCGAUUGAUGGAGCUCAUGGUAAGAAUUUAGAUGACUUCAUUUUCGUCAAUUCACAUCAGUUGCCUUUCCCAAUCUGUCUUGAUGAGAUUGGACAAAUAACUUUAAUGGACCAAUGCGCGCAAGCCAUAUGAUUUUAUCUUGGUAUGACAAGAAUAUUUAUAUGAUUUUUGGCACCGACCAUGUAUAGAAGAACAAAUUUGAUAAAAGCUUCCUUACCAAAAAUGGCUGUUAGAGAUUGCUUGUAAUAGGUGUUUUGAAUUAUUUAGUGUUGAUUUUUCAAUUUAAAAAUUGUGUUUGGAAAUCUUGUUGGUUCAAUCACUUUUCUUUCUUUGUUUCUAAUCUUCUACAAAAAAAAUUUGGGGGAGAUGGUAAAUUAAUAUUUCAACAUUUUAAAUAGUUCAAGUGGGUUACUAGAAAAAAUUAAAAAUUCAUGAGGUAAUCCUGUACACACCUUAAAUUUCAAACGAUAUUUGUUCAAAUUUCCAUUUGGGGUAAAUAGAGAUGGCUUGUCAAAGCUUCCACCCGUGACAGCUAAGUCCAGACCCAAAUUGUUCUCAAAUGUCUUUACCCACGCAAGUUGCUCCGAAAUGUCUUUACCUAAGUUUGUCUCUUAGCUUUUAGGGGAUAUAUAUAAACAACUUAAAAGAGUUGGUCCUGAAAAUAUAUUUUCAUGCUUUCUCGAUAAGUUAGGCGAGAGAUGGAUUUCUUGAGUUGCAUGCUAAUAUGUCUUAUGGUUGGCUGGAUCUCAAUCCAUGCCCUCUAUUAUUCAUUUGCAAGAACAAGUCCCAAUAAGCUUCCGCCUGGACCAAAUCCACUUCCUUUCAUUGGAAAUCUUCUAGAGCUUGGAAACAAGCCCCACCUCUCCCUAACCAAGCUUUCACAACGCUAUGGGCCCAUUAUGACUUUACAUCUUGGCCAAAUCACGACCGUCGUGGUUUCUUCAUCCGCCAUAGCUAAACAAGUCCUCCAAACCCAUGACCAAUUGUUUUGCAACCGAACAGUAUUAGAUUCAGUCCAAGCCUGUAAACAUGGCGAGAACGGCAUGCCCUGGAUACCUGUUUCAGCUAAGUGGAGAAACCUUCGCAAAAUAUGCAACUCCCAAUUGUUCGCCACCAAAGUUCUCGACGCCAGCCAAGGCAACCGCCACCUAAAAGUGCAAGAGCUCAUAGCUGAUGUCCAUGAAAGCGUUGUAAAAGGUGAUGCAGUGGAGAUUGGAAGAGCUGCUUUCAAAACUACGCUCAAUUUGAUGUCGCGGACUGUCUUCUCUGUGGAUUUAGCGGACCAGAAUAGUGAGAGGGCUAGAGAGUUCAAGGAGCUGGUGCGGAGUAUUAUGGAAGAGAUUUCGAAACCAAACUUGGCUGACUAUUUUCCAGUGCUUAAAAAGAUUGACCCCGUGGGGAUACGGCGCCGUUUGACUCGUCACUUCCUGAAGAUGUUUGACCUCUUCGAUCGCUUGAUCAUCCAAAGAAUGGAAUCAAGAAAAGCACCUGACUAUAUCAUGACCAGUGAUAUGUUAGAUACCCUUAUAAACAGUAGUGAAGAGAAAAAUGAGGAUAUGGACAUGGUUGAAACUCAACAUUUGUUCCUGGUUAGUGGCUAUCUAUAUAUACUCUAGCUCUCUUGUUCUUUAAUCUUGAUAACUUUGUUUCAAUUGAUACUAAGUUACUAACUAGUGAAUAUAUGUAUAGAUUGCUUAGAUUUCAAAAUUAAUUAUGAAUACUAUACAUUUUCGCUUUUGUUUUUGUUUUGUUAAUUGCUAUUUGUACCAUCUAAACUGAUUAUUUCAUUUGCUACUGUCUCAAUCGGAGGUCAAGUUUACCACGAAAAUGGUAGAUCAGAUGUUGAAUUGAUAUGGUAUAAGUAAUUAUAUUCCUACUAAUUAAUCAAUUUGGUCAAUUAUUAUAGGAUCUAUUUGCUGCUGCCACAGAUACAACUUCAGCCACAUUAGAAUGGGCAAUGGCUGAGCUACUACGCAACCCCGAAAAACUGUCAAAAGCUCAAGAGGAGCUGAAGCACAUCAUUGGCAAAGGAAAACCAGUGGAGGAAUCAGACAUCACUCGGCUCCCUUACUUACAAGCCAUAAUCAAAGAGACCUUCCGCUUGCACCCAGCAGCUCCAUUGCUAAUUCCUCGCAAAGCCGGAGCAGAUGUAGAAAUAUGCGGGUACAUUGUACCAGAGGGUGCACAAGUUUUGGUCAAUGCAUGGGCCAUAGGCAGAGACCCCAGCAUCUGGGACAACCCAAACUCGUUUAUGCCGGAGAGGUUCUUGGGAUUGGACAUAGAUGUUACAGGGAGGAACUUUGAGCUUAUCCCAUUUGGUGGUGGACGGAGAAUUUGUCCUGGGUUACCAUUGGCAAUGAGAAUGCUGAACUUGAUGUUGGGGUCACUUCUUAACUGCUUUGAUAACUGGAAGCUUGAAGAUGGGGUUGCACCAGAGACCAUGAACAUGGAAGACAAGUUUGGCCUCACUUUAGAGAAGGCUCAGCCCCUAAUAGCUGUGCCCAUGACAUAGGAGAUCCUAGCUAGCUAUUGGUUUUUACGUACAUUAAUAAAAACCAUGCACUGUAUCCUCCUACUUAUCAAGUUUGAAACUCAAUAAUGAUCAAUUGUUGUGAAACUGUUACUGUCACCCAUUGGUUUAACUAUGAUUAAUUACUGCUACCCAUUGGUUUAAUAAACGCAAUUUUUUUUUUCUCCAAUUAUCUAUCUACUGUCUCCUACAGUAUUAAUAAUUUAUUAAUCCCACUAAAACUAAACUUUUGAAUUAACAACAGUGCUUUUAGUCGACAAAAAAAGACGUCUACGGCUUAAAACCAACAUGUAGUGGUGUAUAAUCAUCAAUCUCGCUCAUUUACGAAAAUCAUCAAUUUUGGCUUGAGCUCACGGCCCAAGUCUAUAUGAGCUUGGGCCGUACUCGUAUUGGGCCAUUAAAUAGGUCGAUAUGAGCAUACGCUAAAUUUGACUUAUGUAUUGUAUUUUUUUAUAAUUUUUUUUACAACUGAAUUUAAAUCUUUUUUUAUAAUUAUGUAUAUACUAAAGAUUUAGGAUUUGUUAAAAAAAAAAGGUCAAUAACUUUAUUUAAAGUACAUUUAAAUAGAAAAUUGCUAUAUUAUUGUUUGGGUUUUAAAAAUUGAAACUUGAAAAAUAAAAUUAUUAUUUUAUAUAUAAAGAAAACAUUAAUUUUUAAUAUAUACUAGCCUCUCCACACGCGCUUCCGCGCUUGCUAGAGGCUUUUUUUAAAAAAAAUUUAAAUUUAUUUUAGAAUUAAAAAAGAUAAUGGGUAGUUGUAUUCCAUAAAAAUAGAAUCCAUUAUCUUAUUUUUCUUUUAUUUUUCUUUUUUUUAAAUAUGAAAAAUUGUGAAUUUACUAUAUUAUCCUCAUUUAAUUAAUAAUUUCAAUUCUUAAUGUUUGCAUUAACCAAGUACAUUUUAUGGUAUUUUGAAUGUUUUACCAUUAUUAGCCUUUUGCUUUAUAUAUAUAUAUAUAUAUAUAGAUUAUUAGAGAAUAGAAAUAGUCUUGAAUUUAAGAUAUAUUUAAUAAUAUUAUAUAUUAUUUUUCUCUAAAAACAAGUAUAAUUUAAUAAAUGGGCUUUAAACAAGCAGGCCUAUUGGAUUUCGAGCUGGUACAGUCUGCGACAGGUUAGGAGCCCGCCCGGCCCAUUAGACCUAAUUACUUAGUCCCGACACGACCCAAAGAUAUGAACCAUGAUGUAUCAUGUCUAUCUUAAGCAGACUAUGUUCGUGCUAUGUCGGGUCGGCCCAGUUCAUAUGACACCUCUAUGAGAGAGUUUCGUGACACAAAUUGUUGACUUUCUAUAGCUACAAUUAAGAGCUGAACAUCAUGUCGAAUCAUAAUAUUUUAUUACUUUGUUUGAUUUGACUGACAUAUAUUAAUUCUCGUAUUUGUAUUUGUAUCUGUAUAAGAAGUGUAUAGCUUGUGUAUUAUAUUACUCAAAAGAAUAACAAUUUCUAAUUACUUUUCAUUUUCUAAAAAAUCAUUAAAAUAUUAUAUUAGCCAAUUUUACACCAUAUUGUUCCAACUCAACAGUAUUUCCAUUCCUGAAUCCAAAUCCAAGCUUUGUGUAAAUACAUAAGGCAAGGCCUUGCAAAUGUAAUUAUAAGUCCUUAACAGCAAGCAAGUAUUGAGCAAUUCCAUCCUUCCUUCUCACAAGCGAAUCCUUAAUAGAUCCUGAAAGAGAAUUUUUUUCGCCAGUUACUGAUCAGUAUUUUCAGUUAGGUAUAUGAUGAAGGCUAGGAAAAUCAAGAACAAAAAUAACUUAACCUUUGAAUCCAACAAUAGCAACAUUCUCUACAUCCAUAUUAUUUAUCUCUCACCUCAUAUCAUGUCUUCCUGCAUCAGACAAUAGCAAAGAAUAUAUCAAGACAAAACAUUGAAUUUAAAACUAAAUAUUAUUCUUCAUUUUCUCAGUCAUAUCAAACAAAAAAUAAAUCAUUUCCGAAACAAAAAAAUAGAUCUGAGAUACAUGUGAGUAAGAAAGUCUUAGAGAUUCAGAUCUAAGUUCAAUUGUGAGCCGAUAAAAGCCUCAGAAAAUCCAUGCAGGCCAUUCCAAAUCCAAAACCUAACAAUAAGAAGAAAGAAAAGACAUAAUGGUGACAAGCAAGCAAAACCAUUGACCAGCCACCCAUGACAAGACUCGACCCAAAUUCCGUUUUGGAAUCCGAGCCGGACCCUGUGCGUGUCCGACACCUGACGGAUGCCGGGCUCGAAUAGCCUAAUUGCCCUUCCCUACAAAGCACGAUAAAAUAACAAGGUUGACUUCUACCGAAAAUUCGGCAGAAUCUCCCUUGUAACUGGAUCAAUACCAAAACAUUUACACUUGCCAAACAAACAUAAAUACACAACCAACUGCCAAUAUAUGUAUACAUACAUUUCAACAGUUAAAUUCUAAUUCUAGGGCAAAUUAUAAGAGCGACUACUAAGAAUUUACAAAGGAGUCAAUCCUUUUACAAAAAAUAAAGUCCUACAUCAGAAAGGAAAGCGCGGAAGGUGGAAAAGGGCCCGGUGGUGGAUCACUGUGCACGCCUACUGCUUGGGGGCGCAAAACAUUAAAAAGGGUGAGUGGACUCAAAAAAACAAAGUUUGGAAAAAUACAUAUGAACAUACUAACCCCACUGUAAAAACACUUAUACAAACUAAAUUAUUCUCUUUAUUAUAUUCGUACUGAAAUCAAUGCACUUAUAUAAUUAUACAUAUAUAUACCAAUCAUACUCAUGGUCAACAUUAAUUUCUUAAAAGCAUUGAAAACAGUUUAAAACUACCACCUAAGUGUACCCCUUAUUUCCGUCAAUUCCUAAUAUCCGUCAAUUCCUCGCAUCACCAUGGAUGACACGUACUCAUAGGUCUCAGUGAUACAAGGUCAGUCUGAGCUGCAACUCGCAGGAUUCAGAGGACCGUAGUCAGCCUGAUUCGCAUUACUCGCUCCACACGAGUUCGGGUACCAUAGAACUCAUGGGGCAACUGUCAAGGAUGCUGACUAAACCGAAGGCAACCAAUAAAAUCCGAAGGCAACAUUUGAUCUGAAGGCAACUUAUUUACCAAAGGCAACAUCUGUAUAUCUGGCUACCUAAGGUGGUUUAGGAAAAUAUAAAGUUUCUGAAGAAAAUCUGCUAAAUAAGUGAAUUUCUGUAAACUCUAAAACUCUGCUGCCAUUUAUCUGAUAAUUAACUAGAAUUUCUUUUCCUAUAUCCUUUAAAGGAUAUUCCACUCGACAUCAUGCAAAACAAAAUAUUAAAAGCAUAUAACGGCUUAUAAAACACUAAUAUUUGAAUAAAACUUAUUCAAGAUCAAAUACUGUAACUGAACUGCUUAAAGUCAUUUAUAAAAACAAAGAGUCCACUCACUGAUGGUCCGUGCUCACUGGACCCCUUGAAGGUCCCUCAUACGGGUCAACUAGUGCCCGGGUGUCUGAUUCAAUGACCAUAAUAUUCUAUUAAUACAAUACUCAAUAUAGUAUUCAUUUAAAAACCCUGACCCCUGGCUCCAAGAAGUACGUGCGUCAGAUUAAAGUUGUUCCUAUGCCCAUAAAAGCUUUCCUUCCAAUUGGAAUAGUUUAGCAGUAUCUUGGGACUCAAAAAGUGCUAAAGUCCCAAAAAGUCAACCCGGGACCCCGCGGGUCCACGACCUCACAAUUAUGAUCCGGAAGCCUCUAGAAGUUCCAAUAUACCUAGGACACAUGUUCCGAGGGUUUGAUCUCAAUCGGACGGUCGGAUUGAUCACGAUCGUACAAUCGCACGAUUUCUAAACCCUAGCCCUAGGGUUCGCGAUUUCAGAGUAUCCGAAACUCUGAUUCACAAUCUGUCGUAUCCUAAACAAUCCUGCAAUUGUCUAGAUGAACAUAUCUGAAAAUGAUUACAAUCCAACGGCUCAACAGUAUUGAACCCGAAAAUCGCACAAUAUGCAAAAAUCUGUUCGAGGCUCAAACGGUAACCAAAUUGAGAUCCGUGAAUUCCUACGCGCUCGUGACAACACGAGGAUCAUUCUAGGAUUGAAAGUGUGCUCCAUAAACUGCCCACGCGCCGCCACACGCUCCGGCAGGGCGUGGGUGGCUUGAUAAUUUCUGGCGGUUGAAAAAUCUCCAAACCGCUGGCCCAAACUCCUGUCCUAAGUAAAACACCAUAUUUGAAACCACUUUUGUUCUUGGACUUACCCCAAAAACUGGCCGAAAGUGGCCGGAAUUUCAAACUCAAAACCGGUGAAACUUUGGAUCGUGAUUUGAUCUAUCUAGGCUAAAAAUCGUUCCAAUCCUACCCAACCAGCAGCUAAGUCAUGAAAAAGAGGUAAAGAUUCAUACCUUACUCGACUGAUUUGGUGGCCAGAGGAGAGAGCUCGAAAGCUUGGAAGUUUUCUCAAAAUCGGCUGGGUUUUGGACGUUUUCCGGCGAAAAUCGUGACAGUCAAGUGGCAGGGAAGGUCGGGCUUGGUGGCGGAGCUGACGUCAGUGUGAUUGGGUCUGGUCCAGCGGGUCGGGGCGAGGUGUAGCGGUGGCUGGGUGGUUAUGGAGGUUCAGCUGGGGAAAGGCGCACGGGAAGGAGGCUGCGGGGAGAGAGAAGAGAGACUAAGGGAAAAGGGAGAGAAGUGAGGUUUUUAAAAUCUGAAUUUUCAAAUUACCAUUUUGCCCCUCUACGUAUUUUGACCGUAUCUUCUUCGUUAAAGCUCCGAUUCGAGCCCACUUCUUGUCUACGAACUAGUUUCGUCAUACUCUACGCAACGGUUUGUGUGAAAUUGUCAAAUUCCUUCUCGGUCAAAAAGUCAACUUUUCUUUACUAAAUUAUUCCAAAGGCAAAAUUGUCUUUUCCUCUUGAUAAAUUAAUAAGUAAAUAUUAAUUAAGGUUUGGGUUAUUACAACCCAACUAUCACCAAAAUCAAUUUAGUGACUCAAAAAACUUGACUGUUGCCUUCUUUUUUUUUUGGUUGUUGUUGCUGUUGUUGUUGUAGUGAAAAUAAGAAAAAAAACAUUAUCAUUGUCUAGGUUCACCCUUUGACACAGCUCUCAGAGGGUGGGCCAUGUGUAAACUGAGGCCAAACUUGCCUUCCACACUCAUGGUCUUUGCUCUGGUACAACCUCAUCUUGAAGCUUCCAAUCAAAAGAGUCUAUAAGUGAACCCAACAUCAAGUGUAUCAUUCGCAUUGCAAAUGGCAAGCCAAGACAAAUUCUCCUCUAAUGUAGAACAAAUGGCUGAACGGAUUGAAGAAGAAUUGGUGCAAAGAAUGGAAAAAAGACGCAGCAGGAAUUUACAAAUUUGGCGUCCGAGCUCCAAUUGGGUCACAUAAUACCUUCUCGAAAAGGGAACGACUUCCAAUAGAGUGCAAACUUGGAACCAGCCCCAGAAGGAGAACCCGUAUGCUAAGACCAUGACAGAUAUUUGUUAUCGAUGCCAAAAACCAAGGCAUCGUUCCAACGUUUGUCUUGAGCAGAGGCAAGCUAAUUUUAUAAAAGAUGUUGGUGAUGAUGAAGAAAAUGAUGAAGUUGUAGACGAUGAUUAUGCAGGGACUGAGUUUGCAAUUGAGGAGGGAAUAGAAAGGCUUACUUUGGUUUAACAGCGAGUUCUUUUGGCAGCAAAAGAGGAAGGGCAGCGACAUAGCAUUUUCCGUUCUCUUUGUUCAAUCAAAAAGAAAAUCUGUGAUGUGAUCGUAGCACUAGUAAAAAAAACCCUUUGCGCGACCAAAUUUUGCGCGACGAAAAACUAUUCGUCGCUCAAAGUCACUUUGCGCGACGAAACUCAAAACUUCGUCGCUCAAAGUCUUACGCGACCAAAUUUUGCGCGAUGAAAAAUAAUUCGUCGCACAAAGUCACUUCGCGCGACAAACUUUUGCGCGACGACAAUACAUCGUCGCUCAAAGUCUUGCGCGACCAAAUUUUGAGCGACGAAAAAACAUUCGUCGCGCAAAGUAACUUUGCGCGACAAACUUUUGCACGACAACAAUACAUCGUCACUCAAAGUGACUUUGCGCGACGAAACAAUAAACUUCGUCGCGCAAAGUCCUUAUAAAAAUAAAAAAUAUAUAUUUUUAAAUCUUUGCGUGACGUAAUCCAAACAUUUCGUCGCCUAAACCAAUUUAUUUUUGUUUUUUAUUUUGUAUGCAUAACACUUAAGAAAUUAAACAGUAUAUAUAUUUAUUAAGUAGCUUUAAAUUUAUUAUUUUAGAUCGAAUCGGAUUUUUGUUAGAAAAAUAUAUUAUUGUUGUUCAGAUUGAGUUUUUGUUAGAAAAUAUAUAUUUUAAAUUGACAAUCGAAUUAGUUCAUUGUAUUCAUAUAAGGUCAAGGAGUGUAGCUGUAAAAAAUCAUCAAAAUCGGAGUUAAAAUAACCGUUAAAUCGUGAUUUUUUAUUAUAACCAUCGAAAAGUUUUGUCCCAUUACUUGAUCUCUGAAUGUUUAUUUUUUUCGAUUUUUGGCGUAUAUGAUCUCGAAGUAUAAACAAACAAGUUUGACAGUUGGAUCGUUGAAACUAGUUUUGGUGAAUGUAUAUGCCAUCAAAACAAUAUAUUCACUAACAAUUAAGAGUUUAUUUAUACGUUCGUUAAAUAUAACAUAAGAUUUUGUGGUAUCCACUAGUGUAAAUAUUUUAUAUUGAAGAUCAAAUUAGUUAUUGUAUUCAUAUAGGGUCAAGGAGUGUAGCUGUAAAAAAAUCAUCAAAAUCGGAGUUAAAAUAACCAUUAAAUCAUGAUUUUUCAUUUAUAACCGUAAAAAAGUUUUGUCCCGUUACUUGAUCUCUGAAUGUUUAUUUUUUCCGAUUUUUGGCGUAUAUGAUCUCGAAGUAUAAACAAACAAAUUUGACGGUUGGAUCGUUGAAACUAGUUUCGUAGAAUGUGUAUGCCAUCAAAAUAAUAUAUUCACUAACAAUUAAGAGUUUUUUUUUAUACUUUCGUUAAAUAUAACAUAAGAUUUUGUGGUAUCCACUAGUGUAAAUAUUUUAAAUUGAAGAUCAAAUUUUGUCAUUGUAUUCAUAUAUGGUCAAUGAAUGUAGCUGUAAAAAAAAUCAUCAAAAUCGGAGUUAAAAUAACCGUUAAAUCGUAAUUUUUCAUUUAUAACCAUCGAAAAGUUUUGUCCCGUUACUAGAUCUCUGAAUGUUUGUUUUUUGCGAUUUUUGGAGUAUACGAUCUUGAAGUAUAUACAAACAUGUCUGAUGGUUGGAUCGUUGAAUGGUGUGUGUAUAUAUAUUUAUUUAUUAAGUAGCUUUAAAUUUAUUUAUUUUGUACGUAUAACACUUAAGAAAUUGAAUAGUAUAUAUAUUUAUUAAGCAGCUUUAACCUUAUUUAUAUUUUAAAUUGUAAAAUAAAAUUAUUUUAUUUUUAUUAUUCAUAACAAUUAUUUUUAUAAAUAUUGUGCUACGAACCAAUUUUUCGUCUCUCAAAACUUUGCGCGACCAACAGUUUGUCGCGCAAAACUCUAAAAAUUUGGACGGGUACCAAAAAUGGGACGCGGGAUUUAAAAAAAAAAAAAAAUUUAGACUUUGCGCGACCAAUAUUUUCUGUCGCUAAAAACUUUGCGCGACCAAUAUAUAUUUUUUGUCUCGCAAAAAUUUGGGCGGGUACCAAAAAUCGAACGCGGGAAUUUUUUUAGACUUUGCGCGACCAAUAUGUAUUUUUCGUCGCGCAAAAAUUUAAAAAUUUAGGGUACCAAAAAUGGGACGCGGGAUUUUUUUAAAAAAAAAAAAUUUAGACUUUGCGCGACCAAUAUUUUUUGUCGCUCAAAACUUUGCGCGACCAAUAUAUUUUUUUCGUCUCGCAAAAAUUUGGGCGGGUACCAAAAAUCGGACGCGGGAAUUUUUUUAGACUUUGCGCGACCAAUAUGUAUUUUUCGUCGCGCAAAAAUAUAAAAAUUUUGGGGGGUACCAAAAAUGGGACGCGGGGAUUUUUAUUUUUUUAAAAUAAUUUUUUUUAGACUUUGCGCGACCAAUAUUCAUAUAUUCGUCGCGCAAAAGUUUGCGCUACCAAUAUUCAUUUUUCGUCGCGCAAAGUGAUACGGUUUUUAAAACCGAAAUAACUCCACCAUUUUCUCAAUGUCUUUCUCUACUCUUACCUCUCCUUUCUCUUUCCCUCUCCCCAAAUCCCACCAUUUCUCUCACUCACUCCUCUCACUUAAUCUCUCAUCUCUCUCUUCACUAUCUCUCACUCUCUCUCACCCACUCUCUCAUCUCUCUCACUCACUCUCUCAUCUCUCUAUCACUAUCUUCUCUAAUUCUCUCACACUCACUUCUCCCUCUCAUUCUCACUCACUCUCAAUCUUGCCAAAAGGUAUAUUCUCUCCAAAUUUUAAAUUUUUUUCAUUAAUAUGUGUUUUUGGAGUUAAUUUUGAGUUUGUGUGGGUUUUGGGGUUGAGUAAAGGGGAGGGAUUGGAGUUUGGGUUGGAUUUGUGGUAUAACAAUUUUAGGGGAGAUUAUGCCUUUUUUUUGUUUUUUUUUUUUGGUUAUUUGACCAUAUUUGUUUUUUUUUUGUAGGGAAUCAUCGAGACUUUGACGGCUAAAGUUGAGGAUUAGGAAGCUAUCAAAACAUAUCCUCCGCCACUACCACCACAAUACGCUUGUAUUAGGAUUUUAUUAUUGUACUUUGUUAAUUUAUGUGUAUAUUUUGAAUAUUAUAUAUAUAUAUUUAUUGGAUAAUUUGAUCACUAUUUUUCAUAUGUAAUUUUAUUUUGAAUAUGUCAAUUUAAAUUAAAGUAAUUAAAAAAAUCAUACAAUUAAAUUAAAUUUAAAAAGUAAAAACUUGAAAAAAUUAAUAUCAAUUUAAAUUAAAGUAAUUUUAAAAAGAAAUCAUACAAUUAAAUUAAAUUUAAAAAAUAAAAUUUUGAAUAAAUUAAUAUAAAUUAAUUAAUAUUAAAGAAAUAAUAAAACAAAAAGUCAAAAACCUUGCGUGACAAAAUAUUUCGUAGCGCAAACUAUUAAAUUAGUUUAUUUUAAAUUAAAAAAAUUUAAAACAAAAAAUAUUUCGUCGCGCAAAUAUUUGCGCGACGUUAGUAUUCGUCGCGCAAAACUCAAAAAAUUUGGGCGGGUACCAAAAAUUGUACGCGGGAAUUUGUUUUUUUUUUAAAUUUUUUUGAAGACUUUGCGCGACCAAUGGUUUUCGUCGCGCAAACCUUUGCGCGACCAAUGUAUUUCGUCGAGCACAACUUUGCGCUACCAAUAUUUUUCGUCGCGCAAAGUCACUUUGCGCGACCAAUAUUUUUUCGUCGCGCAAAGUCACUUUGCGCGACCAAUGAAAAAACUUCGUCGCGCAAAGUCUUUCUUUACGAUCUUUGCACGACGGAUUCUGCGCGACGAAAUUUCUGUCGCGCUGAAAUUUGUGCGACUACAAUGUAUUUUGCGCGACGAAAUUCUCUUCGUCGCGCAAAGUGUAAAAUGUAGUAGUGUAGACAAUGGGAGUUGCAAGAAUUUUGUGUCAAAAAAAUUGGUGGAGCGUUUGCAGCUUCCAACACAGCCAUAUAUCAGCCCUUAUUCACUGAGUUAGGUUAUAAAAGGAUCUUCAGUUCGUGUUACUGAGACUUAUCGUGCGCCACUCUCCAUUGGUAAGCAUUACAGAGAUGAAGUCGUAUGUGAUGUUAUUGAUGUGGAUGCUUGUCAUAUCUUGUUAAAGCGACCUUGGCAAUAUGAUGUGGCUGCAACCUUUAAGGGUCGAGAUAAUGUGAUUUUGUUUUCCUGGAACAACCACAAGAUUGCAAUGGCUACUACAGUGUCCUCAAACAAAUCAAUUGAGCCCAAAACUAAGAGUUUUGGUUUUCUAACUCUGAUCAGCAGCGAGUAAGAGUUAAAUGAGGCAAAAAAGAAGCAUAUUAUUUUUGUCCCAUGGUGUUGAAAGGGCUAUUGAAGGCCAGCAAAGAAGAAAAUGUAAUUCCUAUUGAAGUGCAACAGAUUUUGACAAAAUUUCAGGAACUGAUUUAUGACAAGCUGUCAAACGAGCCAUCGCAUUUGAGAGAUAUACAACACCACAUUGAUUUGGUACCGAGGGCUAGUCUACCGAAUCUGCCACAUUGUCGCAUAAGCCGUAAGGAGAAUUUAAUUCUAAGAGAGCGAAUUGAAGAUUUGUUACAAAAGGGUUUUAUCAGGGAGAGCUUGAGUCCCUGUGCGGUUCCAAUCCUUCUUGUUCCAAAGAAAGAUCAGUCUUGGCGUAUGUGUGUUGAUAGUUAACCAAUCAACAAGAUUACAAUAAAAUACAUAUUUCCCAUCCCAUGGUUGGAAGAUAUGUUGGAUGUGCUUGAAGGCUCUAAGAUGUUUUUCCAAAAUAGAUUUGCGCAGCGGAUACCACCAGAUUCGCAUCAGGCUAGACGAUGAGUGGAAAAUAGCGUUUAAGAGCAAGGAAGGGUUAUACGAAUGGCUGGUGAUGCCGUUCAAAUUGUCAUGGUUUAUUUUGAAAGAAAAUAAGCUAUAUGUGAAUCUGAAAAAAUGUACUUUUUGCACAAAUAAGCUACUGUUUUUGGGUUUUGUGGUUGAUGAGAAUGGUAUCCAGGGGGAUGACGAGAAGAUCAAGCAAUUCUUGACUGGCCAACUCCAAAAACAAUCUUUGAAGUUCGAAGUUUCCAUGGUUUAUCCACUUUUUUUACAGGAGGUUUGUGAGGCAUUUCAGUUCCAUUGUCGUGCCUGUUACUAAAUGUUUGAAGAAGGGUAGGUUCAAUUGGGGAGAAGAGCAAGAAAAAAGUUUUGCUCUUGUAAAAGAAAAACUUUGCACCGCCUCGAUUCUAGCUCUUCCAAAUUUUGAGAAGGUGUUCGAAGUUAAAUGUGAUGCCAGUGGCGUGGGAGUGGUAGCCGUGCUCUCUCAAGAUAAGAGACCAAUUGCUUUCUUUUCUGAAAAGUUGAGCGACGCUCGUCAAAAGUGGAGUACUUAUGACAAAGAAUUUUAUGCAGUUGUUUGGGCUUUGAAACAAUGGAAGCACUAUCUUAUUCAUAAGGAAUUUAUUUUGUUUAUAGAUCCUCAAGCUUUGAAGUAUAUUAACAGCCAGAAACAUAUUGAUAAAAUGCAUGCCAAAUGGGUGACUUUUUUUGCAGAAAUUUUCAUUUGUUAUCAAGCAUACUUUUGGCACCUCAAAUCGUGUGGCUGACGCACUGAGUAGAAGGGCUUCUCUGUUAGUUACUCUUACUCAAGAAAUUGUGGGGUUCAAGUGUCUAAAGGAUUUAUAUGAAGAUGAUGAUGAUUUCAAGGAAAUAUGGGCUAAAUGUGCUAAUCAUGAGCCAAUGGCAGAUUUCUUUCUUAAUGAAGGGUAUUUGUUCAAGGCCAACUUGUUAUGCAUUCCUGUUUCCCCCUUAAGGGAGAAACUCAGUCGGGAUUUACACGGAGGAGGGUUGAGUGGCUACUUAGGCCGCUAUACAACAAUAGUAGGAUUGGAGGAGAGAUUUUAUUGGCCACAGUUGAAGCGUUAUGUUGGAACAAUUGUGCGCAAAUGUUAUAUUUGUCAAGUUUUGAAGGGACAGGUACAAAACACUGUAUUAUACAUGCCUUUACCAGUUCCUAAUGAUAUAUGGCAGGAUCUUGCUAUGGAUUUUGUCCUUCGUUUUGCCUCGAACUCAGAGAGGUGUGGAUUCAGUUUUUAUGGUGGUUGAUCGAUUCUUAAAAAUGGCACAUUUCAUAGUCUGCAAGAAGACUGCUGAUGCAUCUAAUAUAGCCAAACUGUUUUUCAAGGAGGUUGUUCGUUUGCAUGGAGUACCUACAUCUAUAACUUCUGACCGUGAUACAAAAUUUUUGAGCCAUUUUUGGAUCACUUUGUGGGGAAUGUUUGGGACUACUUUGAACAGUAGUAGCACAACCCAUCCUCAAACUAAUGGCCAGACUGAGGUAACCAAUCGAACAUUGGGAAAUAUGGUGCGAAGCAUUUGCAAAGAGAAGCCGAAACAACGGGAUUAUGCGCUGUCACAGGUGGAGUUUGCAUAUAACAAUGCAAUUCAUAGUGCAACCGAGAAGUCACCGUUUUCCAUUGUUUAUACUAUUGUGCCUAAUCAUGUUGUAGAUUUGGUGAAGUUGCCUAGAGGCCAAAAAACCAGUGUUGCAGAGGGAAAUUUGGCUAAAGAAGUGGUGGCUGUUCGUGAUGAAGUGAAGCAAAAACUCGAGCAAACUAAUGCUAAGUACAAAGCCGCUGCAGACAAGCAUAGGCGAGUUAGGGUGUUCCAAGAAGGUGAUUUUGUUAUGGUGUUUCUGAGGAUGGAGAGGUUCCGUGCUGGUACAUAUAGCAAGCUGAAGCCUAAGAAAUAUGGUCCUUACAAGGUGCUGAAAAGAAUCAAUGACAAUGCCCAUGUUAUUGAAUUACCAAAUUCCGUGGGAAUUUCUAAUACUUUUAAUGUUGCUGAUUUGUAUGAGUUUCAUGAAGAUAGAACCCUUUAUCCUAAACAUAACUCGGGGUCGAGUUCUUUAAAGGUGGAGGGGACUGAUGUAGAACAAAUGGCUGAAUGGAUUGAAGAAGAAUUGGAGCGAAGAAGGGAAAAAGGACGCAGGAGGAAUUUACAGAUUUGUCGUCUGAGCUCCAAUUGGGUUGCAUAAUACCUUCUUAGAAAGAGAACGACGCCACGAGUCCAACUCACCACUUUGUUGUGACAUAUGGUAGAUGUUGGGCUUCUGAGGAUGUUUGGCCUUCUAAAAGUGCAUUUAAAGAUUGCAUUCAAUUUAUAGACUUUCCGUUCAUUUUCUGUUACGUUUUCAAUAACUCCCUAGGACAGUCCAAUGGGUGAGAACAUGGUAUUUAGUCAGCCGUCAUGCUUGGUUGAACUUAUCUUGAAUUUUAUCAAAUAAUUCAAAGAGAAUUUCUCUCUACCUUCCUGGUUGAUUUCAUAUUAUUAUUCUUUAGGAUUUUCGCUUGAAAACCUAUUUACUUGUGUUGCGUCAUCCUCCCACCACCAAACGGAAUAAGCUCAAUGCUUUUGCCUAUAACAUCAAUAUCCAUUCCCAAGAACCUCUCCGGCAUAAAUGAGGUAGGGUUGUCCCAAAUGGGGUCUUUGCCAAUGGCCCAUGCAUUCACCAACACCUGCGCACCCUUUGGUACAAUGUAGGCACAAAUUGCUACGUCUGCUUCGGCUCUGCGAGGGACAAAUAGAGCUGGUGGGUGUAGCUGGAAGGUUUCUUUGAUUAUUGCUUGUAAAUAAGGAAGUCGAGCAAUGUCCGAUUCCUCUUAUGGUUUUCCUUUGCCAAUGACUUGCUCUAACUCCUCUUGAGCUUUUGACAGUUUUUUCAAGGUUACGUACUAGCUCAGCCACUGCCCAUUCCAAUGUGGCUAAAGUUGUAUCUUUGCCCGCCACAAGUAGAUCCUAAAUAAAGAAGUGCACAAGGCAUUUACCCCACAUGAGUAUUACUAUUAUGGGCUUCAGCAACACUUACAUUUUUUAAAGCCUUGUGAGGCUAUAUGGGCCCGCCACUUUUCCGAAAAAGGAUACCAAGGUCAGCAUCUACAAAUUCUAUUAAAAAAAACACAAACACACACACAUUUAUAUUUCUCUCCUUCGGCACCUUGCCAAGUUUUAUGCCCUUUGGGAAUUUUCUUUCGACACACAAGUUUCAUGCAAAGUUCCUUCGGUAAUUUCCUUGCUGCACCCAAGUUUCAUGCAAGUGCCUUUGGCACCUUACCAACUUUCAUGCCUUUCGGCAAUUUCUUUGUGACAAGCAAAUUUCAUGCAAGCUUUGUGCCUUCGACAGCUUGUCUUGCGACUUGCAAGCCUCUUUGCCUUCGGCACCCCCGUGCUCUUCAGAACCUUGCCUUGCAACAUGCAAGCCUUGUGCCACAAAGCAAUAGUGCGCGAGUCCCACAACAGCUUUCUUGCACAUGGGAUGUGUUAGCUUCAGUGGGAUCUACCGAAAUUUUUUUGGCCCAAGAAAUAGCUGGACUGCUAUUUGACCCCAAGUUUGGGUUUUCCCAAAUUUUGGCCUCUUCAUUUUAUUUGGUUGGGAGAGGAGUUGGGCUAAAAUUUGAGAUUUUUUGGUUUGUCCUCAUGGGUUGGAGAUGGCCUUACCCCUCUUGACCGUGGUUUGGUGACCCACUUUGUCCUUUGUCAUCAACUUUGUCCAAAAAUUUGUUAAUUAUGAUGACAUGGUAGGGGUAUUUUUGUAAUCUCAUACACAUGGAUCAUUAUCCACCAAUUAAGAGUGUGACGUGAUAAGUAGCCCAUCUCCACAUAGAUAAGAAUAUAAUUAAAUAUUAUAAUUAUUAAAUCUAAUUUUUUAAAAAGAAUUAGACCCCAGCCGCCUCAAUCCUCAACCUCCAUCCACACCCCCCCUCCUCUCCUACAAAUACCCUUGGAAGAAACUGUUAGAAGUGUGCCCUAAGAGCCAAUACAUUUGAUACAAUCUCCUUAGAAUUUCAUAUAUGAUAUAUAAAGGGCAAACUUAUUUUGUUAUCUUUUACAUCAUGUAAAGAAACAAAUGUCCAGGGUAUGCUAAAUAAGAGAUAAGGUAAUCUAAAGAAGAUUAAAUUCGGGAGACCUUUAAUCUCUAACUGUAGUAUUCCAAAAUGUUCCUAAUCAUAGGGUUAUCAAAUGGGCAUUGAUAAACCGUCAAGAUUAGCACAAAUUAUGUAUGCUCAAUUAGGAGGAUGGUUACUUUCAAACCCUUUGCGUAAUUGACACUACUACAAGUAUGUGGGUGCUCAUUACUGAACGUGAUUAACCUUAGUUUUCGUAUGGAGUAUUUAUCUAUAUGUCAAACGAGAACUCAUAGUUGCAAUAAUGCAAAUUAGUUCUUAGACCUGAGGCAUCAUAAUUGUCAUGUGAUGCGUUAUUGAUCUUUAAUAGCUCUCAAAGGCAUGUGUAAAAGAUUUGUCUUAAGUGUUGUUGGGAUCUCUUAAUUCAUCAUAGGGGUAUGUGAAUGUAUAAUAAGGAAUCUCUACCUUCGAUAAAGAAGGAGAAUGUUUCAAGAUGUGAUUCAGCAAAUCUUUGGCUAAAGUUUUUUUAGCUUGAUUUAGAAAGUUAUUCUUAAUUAUGUUCUUUUGAAUCACAUGAGGUUAUAAAUCAUAUUAGGGUUUAACAUAAUCAAUCUGUACCUUAAUAAUAUGAUUUGAAACAUUGUAUAAGAGAAGGACCGUAUUGCAUUGCAGUUCCAACUGAAUGGGUUCUUCAUCUAUUUUGGUUAGCUUGGGUAGCCUUAAUAUAUUGCCAGAUGUCACUCUUGGCUCAUGGAAGUCCUAGGAUUGAUUGUGAUCAAUCCAUAUAAAGGAAGAAUUAAAUGGGGGUUUUAAUUCCAGUUGAUUAGAAAGAGUUUUAAUGUUUUCCCACUCCCUCGCUAAUUAGAAUCUAUACUACUACAAAAAGGGCAAUAGACGACGGGAAUUGAUCGUCGUGUAGCAAGUUUUCUAACCGUCAUGAAAUUGACCGAUAUUUUUUUAAAAACAAAACCAAGACGGCAAAAAGGAGACGUUGUUCAUCGAGAAACAAUGUCAGAAUUAAUAAAAGCCGAAGUAAGUAAAGAAAAUGACCGCCAAAAUAACUAAUGGUGAACGUGUAAACGACUCAAUUUGGGAAACAACCGUCGUCUAAAUCAUAAAACAUGACGUUGUUUAGUAAAAUAUCGCUAGAAAAAAAAAAGCCACCAUGUCAUAAACAAUUAACUGAACGACGUUAAUUAAGACAUUCCACGACACAUUAUAAUAUAUUACGCCACUUUUAUUUCCAGAUAUGAUGUUGUAAAUAGUGUACACCGUCAGUCUUUACUCAGAAGUUGACGUAUUAAAAGAUAUACACGUCUAUUAGUAUAUCAGAGACGACGUUAGGAAAACAUACCACGACACAUCUGUUUCCACAUGGGACGUUUUUAUACAAUAUUUCACGACACAUGGUCACCAAGGAGACGUGAAAACUAUUAAUGACGUCAGUAAAUAUGGGAAUAAACAGGUUCUACGUCUCCUUUACUUUAAACUCUGACAGUGAAAUUAGAUUUACAACCUCGGUUAUUAUAAACACCGUGUUGUAUGUCGUAAUACAAACGUCGCAUAACCUUCGAAGACGACGUGGUUACGCUGUACUACGUCAUCUUUGUUUUUAAAGACGACAUUUGCAUGUAAUAUUUUACGACACAUAGUCACCAAGGAGACGUGAAAACAAUUAAUGACGACAGUAAAUAUGGGAAGAAAGAGGUUUUUACGCCUCCUUUAUUUUAAAUGCUGAUGGUGAAAAAGAACUUACAACGUCGGUUACUGUAAAAAGGUGUCGUAUGUAGUGAUAUAAACGUCGCUAAGCAUAUCAAAGGCGACAUGGUUACUUUGUUCUACAUCAUUGUUAUUUCUAAAGACGAUGUAAUUCAAAUAUUCACCAAGUCCUUAAAGACAUAAAUUGACGUGGUAUGUUGUUAAGACGUUUCUUAAUAAGAGUGUAUCGUCGUGUUUGUGAAGUAAAACGACGGUAUAUGUGUUAUGAGGUCGUGUUAUCCGCUUUUAAAUGUCGUCUUUUUGGGCCUUCUCGUCGUGAUAUCCUGUAACAACGGCUUGUCAUUACCGUUGUUGUUCUAUUAUUAGUGCAGUCUUUUGAGUUAUGUUUUAGACGGCGGUAAGUACAUCGUGGCUAUCUCAUUGGAUACAUACGACCUUUUUAAUAUCCAUUUUUUUAAACAGACGUCUUCUGCAGUUUUUUUCUUUGUUUUUUUUAUAGGUUUUAAGGUCUUCCAUUGCAUGACGUAUGAUAAAAAAACGACAUCUUAUAUUAUUAUGACGUCUGUUUUCGCAAUUUUGUUAACAGGACCGUCGUAUUUUGGUACUUGAACUAGAUGUUUUUGUACUAAAAGCUUUGAGCCCAAACCCUGUAUAAUGAAAGUGAAAACAAUGCAAUACAAUUUCUUACAAAAUUAAUGUCAUACACAGCCAUUUGGGGCGUAAGUAAUGUCAUAAAUUACAAGCAUCAUUCAAUCCAUAUAUCUUCAAACCCAUCUCGAAUAUUUUGACUCCCAGACUCACCGGCUAGUUCAUCAAAUAUUUUGAUUCACAUCACCUAAGACAUCAUCACCAAUAACAUCAUUAUAUUCUCUAUUAGGCAUUGAUAACACUACUGACCAACCAUAACAAAUUUGUCAUUCCCAUGUCCAAUUUUAUUCAGAUCUACAAGGGUAAAUCCAAGUUCGUCGACUACAAGGCCAGAAGUGUUAUCUAUCCAAUCACACCUAAAGACUGUGAUUGUAAACUUUUGGUAAUAAGGUCCCAAAUAUCUUGAAUGACACCAUAAAAAUCCAUAUUUGAGACAAUUGGGUUCUUAUCCUUGGCACUAGCAACUUGCAUAGUAUGUGCAAGUAAAUAAACUCCACUUUUUGAACUGCACGCACAUCAUCUUGUGCCUUGGUGUUAAAUUUAAUACCUUUGAUAAGAUAGCUCCUAUAUGAUGGCACUGCCAUGCUUGGACCAGCUGCUAGCCACCUUAAAUUUUCUGAUACACCAUUAUUGUCUUGCUUAUUAAGUUGACUUUGAACCUGCAAAUAAAUCAUAUCUUAAUUCAAUCUAAUAUAAAAAGAAGAAAAUUAAAAGUGCAGCCAUUGAAUGAAAGAGGUAUUGUGCUUAUCUUGCAGCCACUUUGUUCUCUUUCUAAAUUUUGGAUAAGUGGUCUUGAUGUGGAUCAUAUGUUCUCUACAUAACACGAAAAAUUCAAGCAUUACAAUCCCAAACAUAUAAGAUAAACAUAAGGAAUAUAAUUUAAAAUGACUACUUAAGAAUAAAACUCAUACUCGAUAUAUGGUAACACUUCCUCUGUAUUCUCCAAGACAUAUAGAUGUGCCUGAUUCAACAAGUCCCAAUCAACUAAACUCACUGUGCAACCUGAUAAGGGCUUUGAAAGUCCCAUCUUCUGGCUUGAUGGUGCUCCAACUGUAUUAACAUCAGAUAAAUGCUCGGUGCAAAACUCUACAGCAUCUUCAGCUAUAUACUGCUCAGCAAUGCAACCUUCAAGAUGAUUACGGUUCUGAACAUACCCCUUUAGCACUUUCAUAUAUCUUUCAAACGGAUAAAUCCAUCUAAAAUAAACUGGCCCACAUAGACGAACUUCUCUGACAAGAUGUACUACUAGAUGAACCAUGACAUCGAAGAAUGAAGGGGGAAAGUACUUCUCAAGCAAACAUGAAGUUACUACUACAUCUUCUUUCAACUUAUCUAGCUUGGAAACAUCUACCAUCUUUGCACAUAUAGCCUUGAAGAAGAAGCACAAUCGAGUUAUUGCAUACCUUGCAGGCUUCUCCAAGACAGAACAAAUUGCCACAGGGAGCAUUUGUUCCAUCAAGGUAUGACAAUCAUGUGAUUUAAGCCUAAGAAGUCUUGAAUCUUGUAAAGAUAUAGGAUUUUAAUAUUUGAAGAAUAACCUUCAGGGACCUUCAUACAAUAGAAAGAAUUGCAAACCUCUCUCUUCUCUGCUCUUUACAAAUUCCAAGGCCCUAGAGGCAAGGGAGUACGUCUUUCUCCAUACUCAGGUUGCAAAUCAGUCUUGAUCCCCAUGUUCAAUAAAUCCAAAUGAGCAGCAAUCUCAUCUUUAUUUUUUCCAGGGAUCUCCAACAACGUACCAAUGAUACUAUCGCAAACAUUUUUCUCGAUGUGCAUAACAUCAAGGGCAUGCCUCACAGAAAGGUAUUUCCAGUACUCUAGAUCAAAGAAUUUUGACUUCUUCUUCCAACAGACUCUAUCACCAUCAUUUGCACUUCCACCUCCCCCUUUUUUCGAGCCCCAUUUAUAAUUAAUACCUUCAACCAUUUGUAAUACUUCUUCUCCGAUUAAUGGCUUUGGAGGCGUGUCAUUUUCAGGUUUCCCAUUAAAAGCUGUACGUUGCCUACCAAUAUAUAUGCCUGAUGUAACAUAUUUUGUGCCCAUUUUUCAACCUGUGACUAGGUAUAUCAUCACCGCAUAUUGGACAAGCUUUAUAUCCUUUUACGACACAAUCUGAUAAGGAAAAAUCAUUAAUUGUCCACAGUAAUGCAGCUCUGAGUGUAAAGUAUUCUCCUAUAUGAACAUCAUACACUCCUUUAAUCCAUCAACUAUAUCUGGUACCUAGAGAAUUGUGGGGACUGAAUCCAUCAGAUGAGAGAGCCAAUCUCAAGUUUCUUGGCUCAUUACCAAACUCGGGCCAUUUAUCAUCAACCAGUUUUCAAGAGGGAGAAUCCGUCAGAUGAGACAUCAGACCUUCAAUUGCUUUUCUAUUAGCAUGCCAAGUCAAACUCUUAGCUAUCUAGUGUGAUUGAAACAUCCUUUUAAAUCUUGAAAUUGGUGGAAAAUACCACACUACCUUUGCCGGGACACCUUCUUUCAAGAUUGAAUCUUUGCCUUUCUUCCAUCUUGAGAUUCCACAAGUAGGACAAUGAGUUGAAUGUUCAUACUCCUUCCUAUACAAGAUGCAAUCAUUGGGGCAUGCGUGGAUUUUCUCAUAACUCAGCCCCAAUGCACACAAAGUCUUUUUUACGUCAUACAUAGAGGAAGGUAUUGUAUUUCCUUCUAAAAACAAAUCUCCUUGAAGUAUCAACAAUUCUGUAAAACAGACAUUACUCAUCCCAUAUUUUGCCUUCAAAUUAUAUAACUUCACUAAUGCCAACAACUUAGUGUACUUUCUACAACCAGGGUACAAGAGUUGAUCUCCAUUGCCAAUCACAUUGGCAAACUCAUAAGGAUCGGAUCCAAAAUCACCUAAAUCAUUAUCAUCCAUCUCUAUUUCUUCAUACACAAAAUUGUACCUACUAUGUUCAUCAUCUUCUUCCACAUUUCUACUAGCAUUAGUAGUUGCUUGCCAAGGUUCUCCGUGAAAUGUCCAAUUCUUAUAACUUUGGUCAACUCCAUUAAAGUAUAAGUGGUCCCUUAUAAUUCCAACCCCAAACAAUCGAACAUUUGCACAUUUAACACAUGGACAGUGAAUAUGUGUUGUGGUUAGAAGAUUUUCUAUUGAAAUUUUCAAAAAUGCUUCCACCCCUAACUCAUAUGCCUUCGAUCUUCUAUCCGCAUGCAUCCAUGACUUAUCCAUCUCCAACAAUAUACACUAUUAUUUAUAAUAAAGUGAAAAGACAAGCCAUGACCAUCACUAUAGCAUAUUAUAAUUACUUUGAUAGAAAGUAAUUUAACAUAAAGACAACGGCUUUUUUAAAACAUCCGACAUUUUAUACUUAUACAGACGACGGUUUUCUUCAAAAACCGACGUUUUAAGCAAGUAAACAGUGAUUCUGAAAACAACAAUACAAUUACAUACGACGGUAGUUAAAUAAACAUCGCCUUGUAAAGAAAAUAAAGACGACAGUUUUUACGAAAAACAGUCUUCAAAAUCUUAAAGAAAAGAAGGCUAAUGUUGAGCCUAUUCUUAACAACUAAAAUGAGUUAUUAAAAACAGCAACUUUAAUUCUCGCAAGUGCACGAAUCGUUUAUAGUAUAGCUUAUGUAAAUACGAGGUCGAUCCCACGGAGAAUGGUAACUUGGUUCCAAGUUAAAUUACUUAGAAUGCUAGAAAAACAUAGAACAAAGAAACUGACUAACUAGCUAAAGGCAAGGUCGAAUUCAACAAUGCCUCUUGCUAAUUACUCAAGGUCUAGGACAGAAUCCUAGCACCACACACGCACUCGAAAUGGGGGAUUUUGUUGUUGAAAUGAAAACAAGAAAGUGAAAUGAAAGUGCUCGAAAGUAAACACUGGCAGCAAUCAACAAGUUGUGAAACAAUGAUUGAGAGAUGUUAGAGCCUUGGAAUCCACCACUAGUUUUCCUAACCAAGUUAUGAAUGCAUAGAAAUUGACUCAAGCUUCAUUAACAAUAGAUUAUCGCAUACAAGCCUAUGGUAUCUAGGUGCAGGAUGCAUGAUUCUCCUAAGGCAUGUGAUUAUGCAUGGUAUCUACACAACACGUGAUCUCUAAUAUGCAACCUAAGUAUGGUAUCUACUUAGAAUAAAGCAUACAAGAGUCAUUAAGCUCCUUGAGAAUAUGAUAUGAUAAUCACACAAGUCCUAGAACAUGGUAUCUGUCCUAGUCAACCUAUGGUUAUUAACCCCUUGAAUGAUUCUUAGGCCAUUCAUGUGUUGCUUGUGAAAGGAGAGUAGAAUUGGUGAAUCUAAACCCAUUCCCAACCUGUGAUAGAUGCAUAAAAUCCUAGUUAGCUACUCCAAGAAAACAUACAUCAGGCACCUAAUAAACUGGAGAUUAACAACUUGAUAAUAAAAGCAAGGAAAUCAAUUAACUAUAAAAUCAUCCAUAACAUUGAAUAUUCAUGACUAGGGCUUCAUCCUAAGCCCUAACUAAAUGGAUUAGUUAGACAUUACUAUGAAUACAGAAAAUAAGAAAUACAUAGAUAGGAUAAAGAGAGGAGAAGAACUAGAUGAUGGCAGCAAGGAAGUUCCCAGGACAGCUCCAAGCUCCCUUGACAGCUCUAAGCUCCCUUCUCUCUUUGUGGUGAAUCUGAAUGUGUGUAUGAGAGUAAUGGAUGAAGUGAAUGUGUGUGUCUGCCCUCUCUCUUGAAUGAGUGUGCAACUCUUUAUUUAUAGAGUGCAAUUUCGUGCUCCCCUUUGGCUGGUGAAGCACACCUCUCUUAGCUGCUCCCAACUGCUCCAGCUACCCAUACUUGCCAACUGCUCCAGCUGACAAAUACAUGCUUUGGUAUGGUUUCUUUAUGGAAAACUUGACUUUUGUUUAUCUUUCUGAGCUUCUGAGCUGAUUUGACUCCCAUGUAUGGCGGCCCAUGUGUAGCACAUGGCUCUAGGGAUGUAGCCACAUUAAAUGUGAUGGCAGCCAACAUGACAUUUCUGUGAACUUGGUUCAGUCUUUGACGUGUUGAGGGCUCUAGAUUUAUCCAAUUGGGCUGAAAUGUGGAUAUGUUAUAAUAGACACCCAUUGGAACAACUUCUAUGAAGGAUGUCUCCUCAUCCGACCUGUGUAAGUUACUGAAAUGAGGCCUGCAAGAUGACCUACGAAACUGGACUGACAAGGAGUGUGGCACAAAUUGGUUUUGUCUUUAAGCUCAUAUUCCUCUUGUGCCACUCAGCCCUUAACAUGCAUGAAUUGUAUCAAAUGUCAUCCCCUUGCUGUCUUAACCUACAAAGCACACAAACAUAGGUAAGAGACUCAAAAUAAAGAGAAGCUAAGAAAAAUUACUAAGGAAAGAAGGCAUGCAAAUGUGUGAAAUUAUGAGCUUAUCAGCUAAAUCUUCUUUUAUUCAGACCAUUUCUAAGAACCCAAUAUAUGUUAACAACCUAUAACAUUGAAUUUUAUGAAAAGCACGCAAAUAUUAAAGUCAUUCCUUAUUCAUAACAACAGAGAUUGAUGAAGAACAUAUAUCCAAAACCCAACAAUGCAGUCUAUGAUUUCAGAAUAAUCUUCUAAACCCUAAACAUAUAUCUAAAGCCAUUCCCUAAAUCCUAUAUGUUUGUACUUCAGAACCUAGAAUUGAAUAUCAAUCAAUGAAUUACGAAGCAUGAUAUUAGGGUUUGUACUUACAGGCAGGCAGAGCUCACAGAUUAUGCUCUCUUUGGAUUCGACGGAGGCUGGAGAGCGCAAUUUAGAAUUAGAGUUUAAGUGAGAGAGCGAAAUGUAGAGUUAUAGCGAAAUCUGAAAAUUUUAGGUCGCGGCCAAAUUUUUAGAAAGCGUGCUUCUUCAAACAUCAACAGAAAUAAUACAAAACCGUCGUUAAAAACACAUCGGUUAAUAUAAGACAGACAACGUGGUAAAGUAGUAACACGGCGGUAAAACAUAAAACCGACGUCAAAAGAACUAAAUAAUAUUUCUGGGAUUUGGUUUUCCUGGAACAGAAAAUAAAAUACAACACUGGCAUCAUAUACUAAACCCUAAACCCUAAACCCUAAACCCUAAACAUUAAAUUAUAAUUUUGUAAAAAAAGGUUUAGGGUGGUUAAACACUGAAUACCUACACCCCUAAAUACCUAAACCUCUAAAUCCCUAAACCCUAACCCUAAACCCUAAAUAAUAAUAUUUUUAAAAAAAAAUUGUACAAAAAUACAAAUGUUUGAGAAAAAUAAAACAAAAAUUGCUACGGACUCCUUACGACAAUGCCAUCUUAAUUAGAUUGCUAAAACCAGUAUUUUAAAAUUUUAAAAAAAAUUAUCCCCACCAAUGAAUGACACAAGCCAUAUGAUUGUUUAUAACUCAAAUUACAUUUUUGAAAGCUUUAGGAUAAAGACAAUAUCUCAAUGGCUGCAUAGGAGUUAUGGUGUAUUUCUUUUUGGAAAUUUUACAAAUUUAUUAUGAAUAUUAUGAAUUAAGGUCAAUAAUUUUUUUUUAUAAAUACAACAAACCACGUCGGUUUUAAAUCCGCAUAUGACGUUGUAUGCAGUUUAAACUUCGUUAUUUAUUCAGAUAACACAUUUACGACGUCAUACCUUUGGACGUUGGUUUGGUACUCCUACGUCGUCUAUGGUAGUAACCGACAUGGUAAGGAGAAUAGACAGCACAAAGCCUAUUCUUAUAAAUAAACCGACAUUGUGGUUUAGUACAGAAGGCAGAAAAUAAGUCAAAACUGCCACUAAAGAUUGUUUAAGACGUCAGGAAUAUAGACGUCAGUUAAAUAAAAUAACGUCAUUGUAAGUAUUUCAAAAUUCAUUUGAAAUAUCAUAAAGUUGACCAAACGAUGGUUUUAAAAAGGGAUGGUCGUUGAAAUUGCAUAAGACGUCAUUUGUUAUAUAGUUAUCAACGUGGUAUUUGCUUACAGGCUCUUUGUUUUUUGUGUUACGUUAAAAGGAAAAACGUCAUUUAUUGACUUUUAAAAUAUACCGUCGUGUUACGGAAGUUUACAUGUCAUUUUAUGAAUUUACUGUCGUUUCUUUAUUUUCAAGUUUCAUAAGACGACGGUUGUUGAAACAAUCUUGUCGUUGGAAGGGACUUCAGACGACGGUUUAAAGAAUUACUUUAGUUUUAAAAACUGAAAAAUAAUUUUAUUGACAGCCAAAAAAAACAUAUACAUUAUACCCUAAACCCUGUACAAAAAAUUGUCUAUUCAAAAAAAAAAAAAUAUGUACAUUUUUCAUAACUAUUUAUAAAAAUCCUCUACUCCAUAUGAAGGCAUAAAAAUCUGCCCAUUCUUUCCUCACUUCUUGGGGGUAUGGUGCUUGAUCUUUGCCCUUUUCAAACUGCAAUCAAUAAAAAUGAUUAUUUAGACUUCAUCAAUGGUUUUGUAGAAUCUGUGAUAGAGAGCCUAAAAACCAUGGCGGUACAUCCAUUCAAACGACGGUAAUUCUAUUUACCGUCGUCCACUUACAAAAACCACAAAAAUCAAAAUCAUAAAGUUUUCCAUUUACGUUCUUCUCAAACUCCAAAGAAUGAUAUGUGAUUAUGUCUCUCAUAAAGCGCAUGACAUAAUAGCCACACUCUACCCUGCUGGGUUGCUUUGGUGUGCCUUGUAGAUUUUUUCAAAUCGGUGCUUUACAGCCUUGUCUGCCUAUGUGUGAAUUAUACAUCUUGAUAGCACUGUUUCAUGACAACAAAGUGUUAUUGAAAAAAAAAAAAAUUAGGCUACAAACACACAUUACACUUUAGUAUAUCAACUUACGUGUUCACUAUGUUUUUUGCAUUCGUCAUCAACCACUCGAUUUCCGGGUAGUGGAUCUAGAAAAUACACAGUCUCCCUCUUUGGUCUCACAAUGACCAAGACCCAAUGACGACUACACAAAAUAAACAUAGAGGUUAAACAAUUUUAUAUACACUGCAUCAUACAAAGAAAAUCGUGUUGACUAACGUACCCUGGAUUGUAAGGCAUAAAGAAAAUAUGUUCCCCAUCUAUCUUUUGAAGUCGAUUGGCUAACAAACGUGAUCUUUGAGUUAAUGAUCCAGAGUUAGCACUAACUUGAGUGGGGUCAACAAAGCCAACCAUGUUCACCAUAUUUGCUGUUUUCAAAACAUCAAAUAGGCACCUACAUAUAUGAAAUGAUGUCAUGAGUUUUUUAAUCUUUUUAAAGAAAGGAGAGUGUGAAAUGACAAUGAGUUGAUAAGGACAAACCUCAUGUAUACAGCAACCACAGUAGCCCCAAUUUCAUUCAUGGUUGCAAACUGUGUAAUAUCUUCAAUCAAGACGAAGGUUUGAUGAUCAAAACCAAACACCUCUUUCUCAGUUGUAAAUAUCAUAUCCUUCUCAUGAACCUUUAAUGUCGUCUUCAUAUAACGACAAAGGGCUUGUAAAGAAGAUGGCAAGACUAGGUUUGAGUAAUCUGGUACUUGUUGUUCCUUGUCAGAAACGUCCAAGCACUUGUCUUUCUGCUUGAAGAAAUAAGGAAAGAUAUAUAAUACAUAAGUGAAAAAACCAGAGUAAACUACACAAACUUAAACGUCAUGGUAAUUGGGAUAAACACGACGGGUAAGAGACAAAAAUGACGUGUAAAUUGAAUAACCACGACGGUAUGUAAAAACCGUCGUCGUAUGUAUUAAUUACGUCUGUAUAAAACAGAGCCCUAGAAAAGUAACAAUUGCCAAUAUCAACUUAAAAGCAUGCUUUAGCAGAAAUACAGAUACCGUGAAAUGCAGAUAAAGAGAGAAAGAAAGAGAGAGUGGAACAGAGUGAGUGAAGAAAAAUUGAAAAAUAAAUGAAAAUACGACACUAUCUGAAUCCCCAAUACCGUCGUGGUAGUUAAAUUCCGACGAUGGGUUAUUUAAAAAACAGACGUGGUAUGAAAUUAAAACGAUGGUAAGUAAAAACCGUCGUCUUAUGUUUUUAUUACUUCGGUAUGAAACAGAGCGCUCCAAAAUUAACAAUUGAAAUUAUCAACUUAAAAGCAAUGCAGAUAACAUCAAUUGCAGAGAGAGAGAGAGAGAGAGAGAGAGAGAGAGAGAGAGAGAGAGAGAGAGAGAGGGACAGAGAGAGUGAAGAAAGAUUGAAAAAAAAAAUUAAGACACUAUCUAAAUACCCCAUACCGUCGUGGUAUUUAAAUGACGACGUCUUAUUAAAAAAACAGACUUGGUAGGAUAUUUAAUACGUCGUUAACCAAAAAACGACGUCUUAUGGCAUAUCUAACGACUAUAUUGAACCCCAGUGACGCAUAUGUAUUUCCAAAUAAGAAAGAAUUUCAAAUUUCAGAGAAUUUACCCUUUCAUCUUGCUUUUCUGCAUCCUUGGAUUUCUGUUUUAAGAAAUAAAGAAAGAUAGAUAAGACAGCUUGUAUAAGAAUGAAAAAUUUCACAAACGUACUGUCGUAGUAAGGAAUACACACGAUGGUUAAUAAUAGAAGAUGACGUCUAAUUUAAAUUGAGAUGACGGUAAAUAAAAGACGUCGUUGUGGGUUGUUUCUAACGUCUGUAAUUAAGGUAACGACAUCUAAUUGGUUUUCAAAAGCAGUAUGCAGAGUUCAUAGAAGUUACCAUUUCUUGUUGUUGGCCUCCAUCUUUGGCAUUAUCAUCCUCAAAAUUGAGGGCUCUAACAUCAAGAGCCCCAGAGCAGCUUGCUUUAUUUGACAUUGGAGUUUUGGGACUUUGCUCAGGACCUUGGAUAGUUGUUAGUUUCAGCAUGCUUGGAUCAAAAUUUGGAAUUAGUUGGCGCAGUUGAUUCAGCAAAUUCUCCCUCUUAGCUUUUACCAAUUGCUUGGUUCUAGCCUCCAUCUUCGAGGUCUCUUCUUUAAGGACAUCUCUUACACUUUCCUUUAAUUGAUCAGCAAACUUUACCCUUUGUUGUCUAGCUAAAUUGAAGUAUUUCCUAGUGGAAAUCCCAACCCCAACACCUCUAACUCUCCCUGCUUGCUCAGGACCCAAAGCCAUAGUCAACACAUCAUUACUUACAGAGACAGUAAGAGUGUCUUCACUGACUUGUUUUUUGCAAUUCAUCCUAAUUAACACAAAGACACAUUAAAGUCAAUAAAAACAUAAAGUUUGUUUCAUAUGCAAGUCUAAUUAAAAUUCCAAUGCAGUUUAAUACAAAUUUAAAACAGAGUGAAAUGAAUUUAGGCUUACAAUUAAUUUUGUUUCUUCGCAACCUUUGGAUCGGGGAUGUUAUCGUGUUUGUCUUCUCUAGCUUUCUUCCACAAGGUAGAUCGACCAAUUUCUACGCUUGGCAUGGUUUCUUCCAAAUCAUUCUCCAAACCAACAUAUCCUUUUCGAGACAAUCGAUGAUUGUACUCGCAUUUCUCUCUCCUCUAUGCUUGUUUAGCAUGGACAGACUCAAAUUGUUCUGAUAACCUUGAAGCUACAAACACAUCCCAGUGUGCUUUCUCUAUGAAUUUAUAUAAUUCAGGGGUUGUCUUAACUUCUCCUUCUCAUUGAUGAAUGGAAGGAUAUGAUGCCUCGUUAGUGUAGACUUGAAAUCCUUCCAUUUCUUGCCAGCAGAUGAUAACACCAUUUUUUUACCCCCUUGCCCUACCACAUAAGCCAUGUCAACGGCUUCCCAAAUAUGCUCUUUUAUAACCUUGGGGAUUUCAGUCCAUUUCUUGUCCAUAAUUGGGACUCUGGACCUUGCCAACACACCAAUAUAGGAUUGCAUCUCAGCAUGUGCAGGGCCAUAUGGUUUCCCCCUUUGGUUGUACUCAAUAACUGGCUUGAUUUUCUUCAAUUUUCUCUUCACAACACGGGGCAUUGUGUUUAUACCACGACUAGACUUUGGCUCCUCAUAAAAUGUUGUCGUGCUGCCUGGUUCUAUCUUAGCAGGUGAAACAAAUUUCAUCUUCUUCGAGGGCUUGGUUUGAGGUUUAGAUACUUUAAGCUCCUUACAUUCAUUUUCGUUCAAGCUAGAAUCCUUACUUGGCGCUUGAGAAACCAUGGUUAUAGAGAAAUGAGACCUGCAAGUACAGAAAAAAUAACAUAAAAGUCAAUAAGAAACGACGCUUAUUUAAAAAAACGAUGUACUAUAAAAUUUCAUACAAAGGAAUAUAAAAACAACCGACGCAAUAAGAAUUAUAUAACGACGGUAGUUAACUACCAACGUGGUUUGAAAGUAACACGAUGUAAAUUUUGAAUUUUUCACGAUGGUAGUAAGAAAACGUCGUGGUUUUACAUUACAACGACGUGAAAUAUAAAAUACCGUCGUCUUAUUAAAAUGAAAUACAAAAUACAGAGUACUGUUUUCAGACCAUUUGGUUCUUGUCUUUAUAUUUGGAAAAACUUAAAUUGAUUUUCACCAGAAAAAAAGUAAAAAUAUAUUUCAACAAACGUCGUGGUAUUCAAUUACAACAACGUUAGUAAUAAAAUAUAGUUGUCUUCUUAAUAUGAAAUUAAAAAACUGUUCCAAGACCAUUUGGUUUACUACUUCAAACACAAAAAGACAGUAGAUUUUAUCAUCGUGGUCAAUGACACUUUGUUCUUUGUCAGUAGAUUUUAUCUAAAAAGUAAAAUGAUUUUCGCAUGAACAGGAACAAAGAUGAGAAAUGCUUACCUUUUGCUUGCAAUGAAAUUUAUCGCUUGCAAAACAAGAACAAAAAUGAUUUUUCAAAGACAAAGACGAAGAGGAGAGGAAGCCGAUGAGAUUCAGACACGGUACUUUGGGAACAAAAAUGAGGACAGCGUGAAAUUUUUUCUCGGGUUUGGAAACAAUAUAAAUGUAGGUCAGGAAAGGCGAAAAGUUUAAAAUAUUAACGAACCGUUUCAUAACACGAUGCUAUUAAUGACAACCGCCCUAGUAAAUGGUUCUACACGGUUGUAAAUAUGUAGUUCACGCCCUGGUAAAGAAUAUUAAACGACACACACUUUUCCGACGUGGUUAGUUUAACUUAUAAUUCAAUAGUGUUAUAGAUGUCGUCGUAGUAUUUUUUUAAUAAUAAGUCGGUAAGUUUACCUGUACUGACGUCUUUACUUUCUACGUCAGUUACUUAAUAGAUUCUGUCAUUGGUUUUUCGCUCUAAGUACAAGACAACGCAUUUUAGUUAUGCGUGUCGUGGUUUCUCUGCAAAAACCGCCCUAGUAAGUCUUUAUUACGUCGUUAAACUAACAGAAACGGAUGUCGUUAGUAUUUUAUGCGCAGGGGCGGAGCUACAGCCAAGCCUGCCAUGGCCCUUGCCCCCCCCCCCACUUAAUUAUUAAUCUCUUGUAAUAUAUUAUAAAAUAUAUGAUAUAGCAAUAUAAUUACUGCAAUUAGAUUAGUAAUGGCCCUCCCAGUUGAAUAUGAAAAACCUAGUAGAAGUGAUUUUGAAAUUUUGGCCCCUCCAUACGAAGAAUCCUAGCUCCGCCACUGUUUAUGCGACUAGAGGGUUGGUACGAACCGACGUAGAUUACUUUUGUUAGACGGCGGUAAGUGUAAUGUAACCGACAUGGAUGUGAAGAAUUUUUUUUUUAAAUUGGGUUUUUUUCACGCGUUCUUUCAGUUUCAGUUUUCAAUUAGGGUUACAACUUCUUCUUGCCCUUGGCUUUGUCUCCCCUCUUUGGAGGCAAUAGUUUGGAUGUUGAUGUGUGUGUGCGUUUGUAUAUCUGAAAGAUACAAAUACACACACAUCAUCAACUUCUAAAAAAUUGUCUUUCUGAAUGCAAAUAUGUGGUUGCCGUCGUCAAUUUUUAGAGGCAAAUUUUUUGGAUGUUGAUGUGUGUGUGCCUUUGUGUAUCUCAAAGACACAAAGACACACACAUCAUCAACAUCUAAAAUAUUGUCUUUCUCGCACAUUGGUGGUCCGAUUAUGAUGAGGAACAGAGUUCCCUCUGGUAAGAUUUCAUAUCUCUUGGGAUCUCAGACUAAUCUGAUUAUGUUGGCGGUUUUCUAUAUAAACCGUCAUGGUUAUUCUCAAUUCUUGUCAUUAUGUUGAUCUACCAUCGUAAGCUACCAAAAUCCAAGAAAUAAAUCGUAAAAAAAAUUAAUAAAUAUUAAGACGACGGUUUAGAUAUAAGGUGAGCCGUAUAAAGUGAAUAAAUACGAUGGUAAUUUUAACUUCACGACGUGGUAAAUUUUAUUAUACGGCAUUAAUUGAACAAACCGACGUGGUAAAGUUAUAGAUACCGUCGUAGUACAAUACAAAAUAAUAAGUCGAUAAAUUUAUCUUUACCAUCGUUGUACAUUGAUUUAAUACGGCGAUAUUUUGUAAUAUACCGACGUAGAUUUUUUUUGAAAUUAUAUGGCUCCAAAUACAAAAACUUGGUCGUGUUUAUUACGGAGUAAAAAUGGCUACUGUUGUUGCACACCGUCGUCUUUACUUUCUGCGUUGGUGGAUUCAUACCUUCUGCCAUUGUUUUUGAGCUCAGAGUUUACCUAUGAGGAAAACCUUUUCAAUAAGACGACACUUUUUUAAUUUGGUGCGUCGUUUUUUAAAAACACCCAUUGGAAUCUCCAUUUUUUAGGUGUUUAAAUUACUCAUACACGGCGGUUUUAUAACACUGUCGUCUUUUUGAGCACAACGAUGGUUUUUUGUUAAACCAUCGUUUUUUUCUGGUCGUUUUUUUCACUUUUUGUAGUAGUGCUAAUGGAUCACACACCUUAAAUGGUUAACUUUGAGUAAUACAAAUGAGAACGAGGAAAUCAAUUUGAUUGAUUUGAUGUAGAUGAUUUACUACGAGUAAAAACGUAUUUGGGCCUCGAUAAUAGUUAACAGGAAGCCCAAAUGGUUGAGUAUCAAGCCCAAGGGCUUAAGACACCUAAAUAUUAUGAUUUAAGUGUCACAAUGCCCAAUUUUGGAAGCUCAAUGGGGUUUGGCCGAAAAUGCAUAAGUAAAUGUGUUUGGGAAUUGUUUCCAUAAGCUCAUUAACACACAAACACAAUCCAAUAUCAACCAAAUAGGUUUAGGAGAUCGAAGAGAGAUAAAAUAGAGUUUUCAAGAGUGAAACACUUUCAUCUUUCAAGGGGUUUAGAUUGAAACCAAUCUUGAGAAUCUUGCACUAGCAUCCUUGUAUUCUCAAGAUACUUCCUCUCAUCUCAAGGUUCCAUUGGUGUAGAGACUUAGAGGCCAUAUACUUUUGUGGCUCACAUGGAGGAGAAAGAUCAAGGAGCAAAAAUCAAGAUCAAAGAGGAGGUCAACAAAGAGGAAUUCAUCAAGAGAAGACCAAACACAAAUUGGUUCAUAUAAUUGCUUCAAGGGUAAUUAGAUCUUAUCAUUUCUCUUGAAUUUUUCAUUUAUGAAAUACAUAUCAAUGUUCAUGGCUUAAGAUACUUGGAAAAAGUUUGUUUUUGAAUGUAAACAAUCACCAUAGACUUCCGCUGCGAUUAAUUUGAUUAAAUGCAUGUUUAAUAUUCAAAUGAACUUUGUAUAAAUGUUUUAAAUCCUACCCAAAAAAAAAAAACCCAUGCCACCCUCAUCUCAACCUCCCCAACCAUCGUCCCUCCUCCUCCCUUGACCAGCCACAACAACAACCACCCCUAGGGCUCGUCAAUGGGCCGGGUCGGGCUAGUCCAAUUCAAAUUUAAUGGACUUGGGUUGGGUCGGGCUGAGCUAGACCGAGCUUUAAAGAUGAGAGAGAAAAUACCGGACCGGUUAUUUUUAAAAAAUUCAAAGCCCAAGCCCAACCCAUGGGCCGGGCUAAGCCUAACGGGCAAGGCUGAAAUGAGCCUACUUCAUUAAAAAAAAAAAAUUCAUAAACUUAAUCAUAAGGGCAUUUUAGUCCAAAUUUGAGAUUAAACUCACUUAAUUCCAAUAAUUUCACAUCAAACCAAAUUCAUAAAACACCAAAUAAAGUCACACAACUUAAUAAGAUUUUUCACAAAAAUAAUAAAACCAAGUAUUAUGUUUGAGGUUAUUACAUAAUUAGACCGUAAUACGUUUUAAAAAAUAAUAAGUAUCAAAUUUUUUUUUUUAAAGGAUGGUAUGAAUAAAUAUGCAAAUAUUUGGUGAUGUGUUCAAAAAAAGCAUGAUUAUAUUUGGUGGUACGAUUAUGUUUCGUGAUAUGAUUAUAUUUGGUGAUGUGAUAUGUUGUUCAUCUUAUAUAUAUAAUUAUUGAAUUAGUAAUUGACACAAAUUAAUGUGCUAAUCAUCCAAUUAUAAACUAGGAAUGAGUAAAGAAAAGUAAAUGAAAUGAAACAAAUUAUAUAUGUGAUUUAAGUGAUAUAAUCCUAAACCUAAACUCUUAUUUAUACAUAAUUAUAUAUGUAUGCGGGUCUAAUAGGCCGGGCUUUUAUAGGCAGGCCGGGCCAGGCUUUCUUGGGCUUAAUCGGGCCAGGCUUAUGGCCUGGGCCGGGCUUCAGACACCUAAGCCCAAGCCUAGCCCAGUCGAAAGCAAGCCGGGCCAUCUCAAAGCCCAUAACGGGUCGGGCCGGGCUUUUUUUCAACGGGUCGGGCGGGCUCCCAUCAGCCCAUGAGCCCGUGGGCCAAAUGAUGAAGCCUAGCCACCCCCACCCCAUCCUCAACCCCAGCCCACCCCAUCACCACCCCUUCCUCAACAUCUAUUGAACAGACCCCAAACCCACUCGAAGUAAAUGAAUAAAUUGAAUUGAUACAAUAAUUAUAAUAAAUAGAUAAUUGAAAAUCCAAAAACCCCCAAUUAUGUACUCUACAUAACCAACACCGUAGCAAAAACCCCCAAUGGCCACAGCUUCGGCAGUGGAGAAACUAUUCAAAUGGCACUGUUAUUGGCGAGUGCGGGAGCCUAUGAGGGAGAUCCAUCAUAACAUCUCGUCCCAAAAAUCACUGUUCAAUUGAUUAUUUAUUAUGAAAUUACAUUUUUGCCCUUAGGUGUAGGGCACUUUAGUCACUUUUUAUUUGGAAAGGAAUUUGGGGAAUUGAGUGGCACCGUUGAGUUGAGAUCAACGAUACGAGUUCGUAGACAGGCGUCAUGUUCAAUUCAGAGUUAAAACGAAGAAGUUAUGAUUUACGGAAAUGUAGUUGAACAACCGCAAUUUUUGCAAAGUUAAAAUUUAAAUAUCCCAGCUUCUCUCUCUCUCUCUCUCUCUCUCUCUCUCCUUCACUAAAACAAACCGGCCACUUUGGCUUGCAUUUUCUCCUCCUUCUGACCACGGCGACCUAUUAAACGUUCAUCUCUUCUUCCUCUUCACGUUCAUACCCAUUUCCACUUUCGAAACUCCAAGAUUGAUCGCGAUUUUGGACUAGAACUGAGCGAAACCCUAAUUUGUGGCCCGGCAAAGUUCGUACGAUUUCUAGCGAUUCCGGCAGCCAUAUGAAACUUCAUUCCCUCAUCAUGCUCUACUUGUUUAUGUACUUAGUUUGGAUCGAUUUUGAGGUUUUACAAAUCAAUUCUUAAACCCAUUUUUGGUCGUGGUCCAAGAACAAAAGUUUAUCCCUUUGUUAGUUUGAUCGUAUUGGUAUAGGUGUUUGUCAGGAGUUUCCGAGAAAUUCCCGUUGCAGGAAAUUUCUCAAAACAACCACGCACUAGCAGCGCCGGGUGACGGCGUGUCGGCCACUGUGUGGCACCCUAUUGAGUUCUAAAUUGUUUCCCUUGUCAUCAUGAGCACGACGGUAUGCUCGGAUUUGGAUUUGGUUAUCGUUUGACAUUUGAACAGAUAUUGCACCUAUUUUGGUUGGGAGGUGUUUGUGGUUUGGUUGUUUGAUUUUAAAACGGUAUUUUCCUAUGAGAGUUUUGUUAACUGUUUAUGAAUUAUUGUUCUAUCACUUUUACUUUCUGAGAAUGAUAUAUCCAUGUUUAUUUUUAUAUGUGUGCUAAAAUGGAUUAAAAAUUGGAUUGUGUUGUUUUCGGAAAUAUGGUUGUCUUUGGAGAUAUUGAUAUCUUCUUCUGACAUCCCGGUUGCCUUCUGAAAUAUUGAUGUCUUCAAACAUCCUGGUUGUCUUCAAAAAUACUGUUGCCUUCGGAAAUAUUGAUAUCUUCGGACAUCCUGGAUGCCUUCGGACAUCCUUGAUGCCUUCGGACAUACAGUUACCUUCGGAAUAUCUUCGGAUAUACAGUUGCCUUCGGAAUGUCUUCGAACAUAAGGUUGUCUUAGGAAUAUCUUCGGACACCUCAGUUGCCUUCGAAUUUGUCUACACACGUAUGACAGUGUGCCCACGAGUUUCGAGGACUCUUGUGUUGGAAAAUUUAAUAUUAACUAAUAUUGAUUUUCCUAUUUGAAUGGAAAUUAAUAAAAUUCAUUGGGUUAAAGGCAUCUUCACAUGGGGGGUGACAACUCUUCAAACCAAGGGAUGCAUUGUUUGGGGUGACAACUCUUCAGACCAAGGAAUGCAUUGUUUGCCUUUUCAGAUUGAGAUACCUUUUUAGAAAGGGUAUUUCAUCAUCUAUAAAUAGAGCAAUCCUCCUACAGUUUUAUUCAUUCAGUUUAAUUCUCUACAUAUAGACUUUCACAUAUAGAAAGCAUUAGAGUUUUCAUAAAGGGAGGUUCCUGCAUAAUUUGGUUCAAAGUUCCUUGUGAAUUGCAGUGCUUCUUUCAUAAGGAGGGGAGUCGUUGUAUCCUGGGAGGCGAACGCUAGUGAACCAUAAGCACCAGUGUGGGGCGUAAUUCGUCUUAAGGUCAGAGUGUCCAACACUUGCCUCGACUCAAUUAAGGUUCUUUUAAUUACAUACUACUGUUGUAAAAAUUUGUUUUGUUUGUAGUGUUUAUUUGAUUAUUUUAUAGCAAUUUAGCACUCAUAUUUCCUACAUCUUGAACCGUGUAAUGCAAGGAUUUGCAUUCUCAAGUGGAGUAUAUCUCCCUGAGUUAUGCGAGGAUUUGCAUUCUCAAGUGGGGUAUAUUUUCUUGAGUUAUGAGAUGAAUGCGGUCUCAGGCCGACCUCGUUUCCUCCAAGUUCUAUGAUGAUAUAUCACAGACGUGGCCACAUGUGUGGUGCAAGGGGAAUUGACAAAUUAUUUGUGUUCUUAGGUUGAGUAUAUCUCCAUGAGUCCUAUGAGAGGAAUUGAUAGUAUAUUAUUGAAAUUGAUGGAUUAUAUUUGAGGUACAGUUAAAAGGAUAUUCUUCACCACCCUCCCUGCUCACAUUAUCUGCACAGGGUUGGCCAAGAUCCCUAGUCACCUACCCGACUUGUCUAUACAGGGGGGUGGUUAGCUAGUUUUCCCUUCCCCUGUUGCCUUCGGAUUUGAUGGUAUUCCCAUAUCCCCUCCCCCCCUUUUAGGGUCAAGCCUCACAUAUCCCUUGAUGGGUGAUUACAGGAUAUAUGCAAUAUGUGGAUAAUUGCAAGUAUGGCUUUCUGGUAAAAGGUUUGGUUAUGUAAGUGUUUGGAUGUACAGCGAUAAACUAAUUGAAUAGUUAGAUACAUAAUUACAUGGUAUGACAUUCAGUUAUAAAGCCCCUCAUUGUGAGAGAAAUACCUUUAUAGUCCGCAAUAUUUCAACGGAGCUCUAAAUAAUGCUCUAUCCACCAUAUUUAGAGCAUCAACCAGGAUGGCCUUAGAUAACCUGAUAAGAUAAACAACGCCAUCCGCCAUACGAAGUGGUGGCGUUAGAUGAGGUUUGUAAAUUAAAUCACCAUUUUUUCCAAUCCACAACGUAAAGAAAGAGUUGAAGGCAUAUAGAAACAAACAACGCCGUCCAAAUAACAAAAUGCAUCACACUCAAACAGGGACAGUGGGACAUUUUUGGUAGGUGCUUUCAGGAAAAAUGGUUAAAAAGAGGUUGAGUAGGUGCUUUCAGGAAAAAUGGUUAAAAAGAGGUUGAGUGGGGAUGGGGAUGGGGCUCUAUAUUUUAUGUAUUUUUUAUUUUUUGUCUCUCCUAAGAGCUGGUUCCCCUCAUGAAAUGAGCAGAAAAAUUCUCCACCACUUCUUAUUUUAGCUGCAUGUAGGCUUCCCAAGAGAUAGAAGAGAAGUUCACUUGGGGUCUGCAGGCUCUUAGAGCAACUCCACCCAUUUGCCUUUUGCUAUGGUAAGGGAGGGGAUAAGGCAGCUACUAUUCACAUGAAUAGUGAUUGCCCUUGUAAAAAGCCAUUUCUGUUUCCACCCGUUGCCAUGACAAAGGGCAAUUACUAUUCUUUUUUUUUUUUCACAAUUUUUUUUACCUCAAUAAUUAAUUUGGAUAAUAUUUUCGGAUAAGAUUUUCGGGUUUCUAUGUGUCAAUACUAUUCAUAGCUCAUAAUCGGAUAAAAUUUUCAGUUUCAAAUUUCAUAUAAAUUUCAAAAACAAAUUGGCAGGUAUUUAUAGAAAAAAAUUCACUAAUUUUUGGGUAUUUUUAAAAAAAAAUUCAGAAUUUUUUUUAGUAUUUUAUGGUAAAAAAAUUGGCUGUCAUUAGAUUGGAAGAAAAAAUCCGAUCGGAGAGCCCAGACGACAUCACAUGGCAACAGAAAAAAAAAAAUUCAAAUGAGUGGGCUGACGCCAGCCUGGCGUCAGCGAUGACAUCAACCCAAAACUCGAGCUCGUGCUUGGGCUGAACUCCCCCUCGAGCCAGCCCAAGGUCGUGGCCCCCACCUCCUGCCCAGGCAAACCUUCGCUGCUGGAAACAUGAUUUGAACUGCUCUUAUACCCAAGCAAGUUGAAGUAUUCCUCCCUUUAUUUAUUUAUUUAUUUUUUUAAGAAAAGAGAAAUAUAUUAGUACUGUCUAUUUUGCCACAUGGUAGGAAAGUCCCCACCUAAGUUUUUCUCUUUCGUGUUUAUCUCCUAGCAUGUUGGAUAUAUAUAUAUAUAUAUCAGUAGUGAAAAAAAUGCUCAUGUCCUCUAAACAAUUGUGCCAAAAAUUAACGGCUGGAAGAAGAAAGAGAGAGAUGGAUUUCUUGAGUUGUGUACUAUUAUGUCUAAUGGUUGCCUGGAUCGUAAUCCAAGCCCUCCAAAAUUCAUUUGCAAGAAGAAUUCCCACAAACCUUCCACCUGGACCAAAGCCAUUUCCUUUGAUUGGAAAUCUCCUAGAGCUUGGAAACAAACCCCACAUCUCACUAACCAAGCUUUCAAAACGCUAUGGCCCCAUUAUGACUUUACAACUCGGCCAACUAACAACAGUUGUAGUUUCUUCAUCCAUCGUCGCCAAACAAGUCCUCCGAACCUAUGACCGAUUCUUUUGCAACCGAACGAACGCAGAUGCACUCCAAGCCUGCAGCCAUGCCAAGCACGGCAUGCCCUUCAUACCUGUUUCAGCUAAAUGGAGAAACCUUCGCAGAAUAUGCAACUCCCAAUUGUUCGCCACCAAAGUUCUCAACGCCAACCAAGCCAACCGUCAACUAAAAGUGCAAGAGCUCAUAGCUGAUGUCAGCGAAAGCGUGGUAAAAGGUAAGGCAGUUGAAGUUGGAAGGGCUGCUUUCUUAACUACCCUCAAUUUGCUGUCACGUACUGUCUUCUCUGUGGAUCUAGCGGACCCGAAAAGUGAGACGGCUAGAGAGUUCAAGGAGUUGGUGUGGGGUAUCAUGGAAGAGGUCGGGAAACCAAACUUGGCUGACUAUUUUCCUGUGCUUAAGAAGAUUGAUCCCAUGGGGAUACGGCGCCGUUUGACCAAGCACUUCCGGAAGAUGAUUGACCUCUUUGACCGCUUGAUCUUCCAAAGGUUGGAAACAAGAAAAUCACAUGAUUAUGUCACAGCCAAUGAUAUGUUGGAUACUCUUAUAAACAUGAGUGAAGAGAAAAAUGAGGAUAUGGACAUUCCUGAAACUCAUCAUUUGUUUCUGGUUAGUUAUGGAUAUAGCUUUCCUACAUAUACUAAUUGCUAAUUAGAGUGUAUCUUUUUGUGAUUAUUAAGGUUGUUUUUGGUUUUGUUUAUACCAUCUAAACUGACUUAAAGACGGUUGAGAUAGUACACGUAGUUUUAUUAGUUCAUUAUUAUACAUAUAUGCUAGCUCCGAUUAAUUUUCUGACUAAGUAAUCAGCCAUUUGGUGAAUAAUAUAGGAUUUAUUUGUUGCGGCCACAGAAACAACCUCAGCCACAUUGGAAUGGGCAAUGGCUGAGCUACUAUGCAACCCUGAAAAACUGUCAAAAGCUCAAGAGGAGCUAGAACAAGUAAUUGGGAAAGGGAAACCAGUUGAGGAAACAGACACUGCUCGACUUCCUUACUUACAAGCAAUAAUCAAAGAGACCUUUCGGUUGCACCCAGCUCUUCCGUUUCUUCUCCCCCGCAAAGCCGAAGCAGACCUGGAAAUCUGCGGGUAUUUUGUACCCAAGGGUGCACAAGUGUUGGUCAAUGCAUGGGCCAUAGGCAGAGACCCUGGCUUUUGGGACAACCCGGCCUCAUUUAUCCCAGAGAGGUUCUUGGGAUUGGAUAUGGAUGUCGCUGGCGGAAGCUUUGAGCUUAUCCCGUUUGGUGGUGGGAGGAGAAUAUGUCCUGGCUUGCCCUUGGCAAUGAGAAUGUUGAACUUGAUGUUGGGUUCACUUCUUAACUCGUUCCAUAAUUGGAAGCUUGAAGAUGGAGUUGUACCAGAAAACAUGAACAUGGAAGAGAAGUUUGGCAUCACUUUGCAAAUGGCUCAGCCUCUGAGAGCUGCUGCCAUGGCCGUGCCAUAAAAUAUCCUACUAGCUAUUUGUUUUUACCUAAGUUAAUAUGUUGUGAAAUUGAAUAAAAACUAUUCAUGCCAUGGAAUAAAAACUAUUCAUGCCAUGGAUACUCUCACAAGUUCCUCCAAAUAGGUUGUGUCCAUUUUCUUGCCAUGGAAUAAAAAUUGCAUAUUUAACUUUCAGUUGUCCAUUUUUUCUUAUGCUCAUCUGGAAUGGAUUUUGUUUACUCAACGUUGUUUUAACUUCUAGUUUCAGGUUUUCUUCUUCGUGUAGAGCAUUCAUUUUAUUAUAAUAGAUUACAAAACCCAAUCUGAUUUUAAACAAUAAAAUUAUUGCCAAUAAUGAACCAUUUGUUUGAAAGAAGAAAAUUAUUGGCAAUAAUUAAUAGUUUUAGGUGGGUCGAGAUGACAUAUGGGAGAAGAAAAUAAUGGAAGGAAACAACAAAGUAAGAUCCAUUUGUUAAUCAAAGAGUUUUUGCUGUUCACAGUCGCUUAAGGCAACUGCGAAAUCAAACUCUCUCUUUAUUUGAAAAACUUCAAAUUUUUCGCUUUCGUACCAACUAGAGAUUAUAACGACCUUUCGAACAAUAAAUCGAGCGAAGAACAAUUCCAACCAUUGCAUUUCUUGCUAAAAUAUGAAACCUAACUUGAGAAUAUUUGUUUGUAGGAAUUUUUUAUGUAUUCUUCUCCUUGUAGGAGAUCAUAUUUAUAAUACAACGAAACUUUAAUGGGCAAGUAAAUAAUAAAUUCAUAUUUCUAUUUACAGUAGGAAAUCAGGAAUUAAAGUAAAUCAAUUACAAUUAUAAUAAGAAUUCUUGGUAUGAAAAGAAAGUAAGUCAGUGGUCCACAAGACACGCCAACACUCUCUCUCACGUUGGUACAUAGAUGUCGUCAAUGCCCAACUGAUCCAGUGAAUUGUGGAAUGCUUUACUGGAAAUUGCCAAUUUGGCGUCAGCAUUGACAUCAGCCCAAAACUCGGGUUCGCGCUCGGGCUGAACUCCCUCCUGGGCCUACCCAGGUUCGUGGCCCCCACCUCCUACCCGGGCAAGCCUUUGCUGCUAGAAACGUAAUUUGGGCUCAAAACGCUCCCAGCCCGCCCCCUAACUUCUCCACUGAAACUGCUCUUAUACCCAAGCAAGUUCAAGUAUUCCUCCCUUUAUUUAUUUAUUUUUUUAAGAAAAGAGAUAUAUAUUAUUACUGUCUAUUUUGCCACAUGGUAGGAAAGUCCCCACCUAAGUUUUUCUCUUUCGUGUUUAUCUCCUAGCAUGUAGGAUAUAUAUAUAUAUAUAUAUAUAUAUUAUUGAAAAAAUAUGCUCAUGUCCUCUAAACAAUUGUGCCAAAAAUUAACGCCUGGAAGAAGAAAGAGAAAGAUGGAUUUCUUGAGUUGUGUACUAUUAUGUCUAAUGGUUGCCUGGAUCGUAAUCCAAGCCCUCCAAAAUUCAUUUGCAAGAAGAAUUCCCACAAACCUUCCACCUGGACCAAAGCCAUUUCCUUUGAUUGGAAAUCUCCUAGAGCUUGGAAACAAACCCCACAUCUCUCUAACCAAGCUUUCAAAACGCUAUGGCCCCACUAUGACUUUACAACUCGGCCAAAUAACAACAGUUAUAGUUUCUUCAUCCGCCGUAGCCAAACAAGUCCUCCGCACCCACGACCAAUUCUUCUGCAACCGAACUAUCCCGGAUGCAGUCCAAGCCUGCAAGCAUGCCAAGUAUGGCAUGCCGUGGCUGACGGUUUCCUCCACGUGGAGAAACCUCCGCAAAAUAUGCAACUCCCAGCUUUUCGCGGCUAAAGUUCUCGACGCCAAUCAGGCCAACCGUCACCUAAAAGUGCAGGAGCUCAUAGCUGACGUUAAGGAAAGCGUUGUGAAAGGUAAGGCGGCUGAAGUUGGAAGGGCUGCUUUCAAAACUACGCUCAAUUUGAUGUCACGGACUGUGUUCUCUGUGGAUUUAGCGGACCCGAACAGUGAGAGGGCUAGAGAGUUCAAGGAGUUGGUGUGGAGUAUUAUGGAGGAGGCUGGGAAGCCAAACUUGGCUGACUAUUUUCCUGUGCUUAAGAAGAUUGAUCCCAUGGGGAUACGGCGCCGUUUGGGCAAGCACUUCCAGAAGAUGAUUGAUCUUUUUGACCGCAUGAUCGUCCAAAGGUUAGAAUCAAGGAAGUCACGUGAUUAUGUCACAGGGAAUGAAUGUUGGAUACUCUUAUAAACAUGAGCGAAGAGAAAAAUGAGGAUAUGGACAUGGCUGAAACUCAACAUUUGUUUCUGGUUAGUUAUUGCUACUCUAGCUCUAUUAAUUAAUUGAUAAUUAAAUUGCUUAGAUAUUAUAAUUAUAACUUAUUGCUAGAUUGUGUACCAUCUUAAUUGAUCAUUUUAAAAGAGUGCUGCUAAAUGAAUCUUAAAAUUAACUGAGUACACUCUAUGAUCUAAGUACAUCUUAAUAUUUAAAUCAAAAUAUAAAAUUAACUAAGUACACCUUAUUUAACUACCAAAAAUACUCAUUGUACACCCUAAUACACUCUAUCUCGUCCAAAAAAAAAAAAAAAACCAACAACAUUCAUCGAUCUCCCUAUGAUCCCCUUUUCUCCAUACUUUGAUUCUCAAAAAUUUUAACUGUAAAAUCUGGACAGUAUUGUUCUUUUUGAUAUAUCCUAAAUCUAACUAUAAUGAUACAAAAACGUUCAACAUAAUUCUUUGAUUUCAUUCCUCUUGAUGCUAAAACGUUCAAAUUAUGAUUUUGCCUGCGAAAACUUCAAAAUCUUCCUUAGUUCUUUAAUGUUUUAGUCUUUAACUCCAAAUGGUAGAGCAAAUAAACAAAGACUCAAACAAAUAAUUAAUUAGGAUUGCAGAUAAGGACUUCACUGUAAAGAUCAAUCAGCCUUGUAUUUAUAUAUGCCUUCAAUUUUCUUCGAAGAAUGCUAGCCAUUGAUUGAUGUGUGUCUCACAGCGAGUCCAUCCAUCAAUGGCUAACACAAACAAGCACUGCACUGUAUUGAAUCAGCCCCUGCAUAUUUCUUUUAAUAGCUUCAAGUUUAUUCUUGGCAAAACGAAAAUUUCAGCAACUGUAUUGCUGAAAUACACUUUGCUUUGCAAACAUAAGAGCAGUUUUUAAUAUGUCUUCAUGUAAAAUUGCAUUUUCAAGAUCUCAUGUUCAGAGACUGUACAUUCAUCAUGAAAAUUUGCAGAGAGCUAAGAAGAAACAACUACAUUGUGUGGUUUAUUAUAGCAAUCAGUCAAGUCUUUGCAGUUAUUUUUUUUUUCUCUUUUUUUUUUUUCUUUUUUUGAAACUGCUACUCGGUAUUGGCCAAAAGAAAACUGCUCUUUAUUCUUCCAGUUUGGUAUUUUGUAUGUUUUAUACUGAGCAGAAGAGUGAUUGAAAGAAGAAGAGGUUCUACUGAGCUUGGUUUUGAGAGAUAAAAGAGUUCGGCUGUCCAAAUGCUAAGAUGGAGAAGAAGAGAAGUGUAGGGAAAAAUAUGCCGUGUCAUAUUUUAGAUGGUUUUUAAAGAGUGUUGCUAAACGAAUCCUAAAAUUAACUGAGUACACUCUUAAAAUAUGUGGUGUUAUGUUUUACAAUUGAAUAUAUCUUUUUUAGUCAUUUUAUAUUAGGGUAAAUUAGUAAUUCAAUAAAUACUUUGAUAGUAGGGUGUACUUAGUUAAUUUUAGAGUUCGUUUAGCAGCACUCUUUUAAAAUUAUGACUAUGGUCACUUUAUUUUUGUUGAGAUGGUAUAAGUACGUUAAUCCUACACUGAUCAAGGUCUUGUGUUCAAAUCCCCUUAUAUCGCUUUUAUAAAAAUAAAAAUAAAAACUAUAUAUAUAUAUAUAUAUUUGGUGCCCAUAUUAAUUUGACUAAUUAACUUUUUGGUGAAUUAGGAUUUAUUUGGUGCGGGCACAGAUACAACUUCAGCCACAUUAGAAUGGGCAAUGGCUGAGCUAUUACGCAACCCUGAAAAGCUAUCAAAAGCUCAAGAGGAGUUGAAGCAGGUUGUUGGCAAAGGAAAACCAGUGGAGGAAUCAGACAUCACUCGGCUCCCUUACUUACAAGCCAUAAUCAAAGAGACCUUCCGGCUGCACCCAGUUGUCCCACUUCUUCUCCCUCGCAAAGCCCAAGCAGACAUAGAAAUCUGCGGUUACAUUGUACCAAAGGGUGUACAAGUGUUGGUCAACGCAUGGGCCAUCGGCAGAGACCCCAGCAUUUGGGACAACCCUACCUCAUUUAUCCCUGAAAGGUUUUCAGGAUUGGAUAUCGACGUUACUGGCCAGAACUUUGAGCUUAUUCCAUUUGGUGGUGGGAGGAGAAUAUGUCCUGGGUUGCCUUUGGCGAUGAGAAUGUUGAAUUUGAUGUUGGGUUCGCUUAUUAACUCGUUUGAUAAUUGGAAGCUUGAAGAUGGAGUUGUGCCAGAAAAAAUGAACAUGGAUGAGAAGUUUGGCCUCACUUUACAGAUGGCUCAUCCUGUGAUAGCUGUGCCCAUCAAGUAUUAGGAGAACGAAACCUAGCUAGCUAUGGUUUCUAUAAUAAAUAGAUUUAUGUUUUUAUUAGGGAGUUACAAUAAUUAAUCCUACUAAUGAUAGGAAAUGGUCAGUUGUCA
rnacentral:lncRNA from 1 species